rnacentral:lncRNA from 1 species
CAACAUCUUGCGUGGCAUCAGGGUUCUGUGACGGAGGAAGGCCAUCGGGAAUCGUCUCGAAGCAGAAGGUAGGGAGGCCAUGUAGGGCGUCGGAGCCCUGAGAUUUGAGGAGCCGUUGAUGGUUGAACUCGGUGUUAACGAAGGUUAUAUGAAAGCCUUUGGAAUGGAGGAUUUUAGCAACUUUUAGCAUGGGGUUUAUAUGGCCUUGUGCUGGGGCUGGUAAGCACAAGGCAUGUGGUUUCUUUUGUAAAGAACCCAUGGAAGCCUUCUCCAUUUUUUUCAAAAUUCUGUUGACAGUAUGCAGUUAAUACAUAAUAUCUUUCUAUUUUUAUAGCCACGUGGAAGAAGCAAAACACAAUUUUUCUUUGAUAUAAAUUAUCAAUCAUUACUUAAAGCGACAGUUUUCUUCUAUGUCAAUUUUGUGGAUUUUUUUGCAAAAAUAGAGCACUUAAGUCUUAUCCAUUCAUUUUCCCAUAGAGUGCAGGGAUAGUGUUAUGGGCCACCAAUUCAAUAAUGAUUAGAUGAAUUUACAUUAAGGCCCCUUUUAAGUUUCACUUUUACCACUUUAACUUAUCUAUAAUUAUAUAAUAUUUGUUCAUGAGCUAUUAGUUUGUUUGAAAUUAUUAGAAUUUAGAACAAGGUUUUUAGGGGAGGUGAUAAUCAGAAAAUAAUAUUUAAUUAGGUUGUUUGGGAUGUGGUUAUUAAACCGGAUGUGGCCAACCUUAUUAUUCUCUCGAAAAUGAUCACGGAGACUAAUAUAUGAAGACGGUUCCUUUUGGUUCUCUUGCGUUAAAUUCAUUCAUAAUCUUAAGCUUGAUGGAACCUUGCCUAAAAAAACUUUAAAAGGUGUUUGGUUCAACAUUUCUUAAAUUUAGAUUGAGUUUGAAGAUAGAGAAAUUAAUUGGGUGAAUACUUUCAAAAGACUAGUGGGAAAGGGAGAAAACAUUUUUUUUAAAUGAUGGCUGGUGUGGUGCAUUCUUUGAAAGAUAGAUGUCCUAAUCUUUAUGUCAUUAAAUUAAUAAAGAUUGCUUAAUCAUGGAUAUUGUGAUUUUCAGUCCCAGUAUGGAAGCUCAACGGAAUUGGUUUUGGUUGAGGCAACCGAUGAGGGGUCGAGAAGCUAACCAACCUUCCGAUUUGAUAAAUCGUCUUGUGAAUUUCCAUUUUUCAGGUUGCGCGGACAGUUGUACAUGGAGAGAUGACAGUAGAGGCGGUUUUGCUGUCAAGUAUGUGAGAUUGUUGUUGGAUACAGAUGGAAUAACAAUUUGUGCUCUUUCAAUUGGGUUAAGUGGAUUCUUAUUAAAAUCAAUUGUUCUGUGUGAAGAUUAUUAGAAGAAAGGAUUCCCACAAUGGUUGUCGGUGCCAACAAACUAAAUAACCCUAGAUAUUACACACAAGAUAACGUAUAAUGGAAAGUGGAUCGAAUCCACGGAGACUAGUUCCGUUUGCAACUUAAUAAAAAUCUUUCGUAUAAAUAUUUAUAAAAUAACAAUAUAACUAAAGAGAGGGGUUUUUAAUACUUUUUUUUGAUUUAAGAAACCUAAGUUAUAUUCAACACUUGAAAAUUACAAUUCAACAAAAAUGAGAGUUCGAUAGAAAUCAGUAAGACUUCCCAUUUUUCAAAACAAUUUUUUUUAUUUUUAACUAAGGAUAAAAUAUUGUUUCCCAAAAACAAUGUCAUGAAAAACAUAAGUAUCAAAUACAAUCAUCCCAAAAUAUGAGAGUAUCAAAGCACGCAGAAUCACAGAAACUGUAGGUGAAUGUGUACAAUCAAACAUUUGUCUUCCCGCGAUCAUCUGAAGUACAUGAAACACAGUAAAUCAACAUCUGUAUGAACGAAUCUUAGUGAGUUCCUGCAAAAUACCACAUACAACAUAUAUAACAAUACAAAGAUGUAUCGGGUCUGUAUCAACCCCGAUUCCAUAUUAACUUCGAGCCUAGAUCGAUUCCAUCUGGUCUGCCUCAACCCCGAGUCCGUAAUGACUCCGGACACAGAUCAGCUCUGUUGGGUGUUAGGUGUUGCAUCAUUGGGCUGUUUUGUAUUUAGUCCAAUAUGUAUACGAUUUGGACAUGUCCAACCAUCUUAUUAAUUAGGGUUUAUGUAUUUAUAGUGCAUGCAUGCACCGUACGAGGUUAACACUUUUAUCUUUGUAAAUCAUUGUAAACCCUAAUCACGCCUCUACAGUUGAAAUUCUUCAUCAAGUGAAACUCAGGUGUGACUUUUAAUGAUUCGAUAUAUGUUUGAUUAUCAUUGUGUUUUUGCAUUACCUAUUUGAAUCUUAUCGAUAUUUUAAAUUUUAAUCUCAUCAACUGGUAUCAGAGCAGGAGACUAUGUAAUCUAUACGCAUUCUUUUGUCAAAAGAAGUUAUUAGGGUUUCCGAUAAUAUUGGAUCUUGUUCGGUCGUCAUCUCUGUGUUCUUGACGUUGUCAUUGUAAUAUCAAUAUUACCCUAAGUUUUUAGACGUCUGAUUCUUGAACAGGUUUCGAAAAUCUUGUUAAAAUGUCGCACGACGAUUCUCAAAUCAAUUCCAUCAACAGUACUGGAUCAACAACAAGGAUUCCCAUUCUCUUUCCCAGCGACUAUGAAGUCUGGGCACUUCACUUUGAAGAUUAUGUUCUAGGUUUAGAAGAUAAUGGUUACUUCAUCUGGCAAGCUAUUACUAUUAGAAGUUUUGUUCACUCUGGAACAAGAAGGGAGAUUAAAACUCAGACCGACCUUAAUCGACUUCUUCUUGAUGUCAAAGAAGUUCCUCAAGAUGAGAGAGACAAGCUGCAGAGCAACAUCAAAGCAAUGAGAAUCAUUAGAUUCGCAUUGCAGUCUAAUACGUUUCCUCUUGUUAGUUCUUGUGAUACAGCCAAAGCCAUAUGGGAUAGGCUUAAAGAGCUUUAUUCAACAAAUGCAGAUCUAGAGCAUUCUACUCAAACGCUCUUGUUGUCUGAAUUUGGUGCUUUCGCACAAAAUGCUGAUGAAAAUCUGAGUUAAACGUUCAAUCGCUACAAUCAUCUUUUGAGAAUGAUGAUUAAGCAUAGGAUUGGACGAGAAACCAUCGAUCAUAAGGUAACAUUCGUGAAUGGAUUAAGGUUGGAAUGGAUGUCAGUGGUUUCAAUGGUGAAAGCUCACGAGCAGUUCAUAAAUUAUACGUUAGCAAAGCUAGUAGGGAUCGUGAAAUCACACGAAAGUGCAGUGAAUAAAGAAACAAAAUUUGUGUCUAGCAUGGGUACAUUGGCUCUAGUUGCAAAGGGGAAACAAGUUGUUGAGGAUGAUGCUGAGUCUAACCUUUCUGACUGUGAACUGACGAAUGAAGAGUUCGCUCUAAUGGUGUCGAAUCCUAAAAGAUCCGCAAAGAAAAAGUUUCCUUUAAAAAUCGAAACUAGCAGGGAAGCUACAGUUCAGAAAAGGUAAAAGAGGAUAAAGUGAAUAGUUUUUAUAAAGAAGAAGAUAAGAAAGAGAAAAAGCUUGCAGGUGAUUUAGUCUAUGAUUGCAACUAUUGUCACGACAAGAAUCACUUGGCUAAGGAAUGCAUGCUGAGAAGAAUGAACGAGAAGAAGGAGGGAGAAUAUGAUGAGGCGUAGCAUCUUCGCAAGCUUGAGGAAAUCAAGCAGAAAAAGAAAGCUUAUAACGCUAUGCCUGCUUUUAGUCUGCCCCAAUUGAAAAUGUAGAUGAAACCGUAGGUCUCUCUAAAAAGACUUACUGGAGAGUUAAAGGAAGUUAUGUAGUUGAACCUUUGAAUAAGGUUAAUGCCACCUACGAAAAGGGAAGUUCCAGUGGUACCAAGGAUAAUCCCACUGACAAUUCCUCAGUUCAUGAAGACACUCAUGUGAGAAAGACAAGGGCCAAAAUGAAUGUUCACAAAUCUACUGAAUAGUUUGUAGCCCAAAAACAUCAACGAAAUGCCAGGUACAAGAAAAAUCUACGGGAACGAAAGCAAUUCUGGAGGUUAAGGAAUCCUAACUAUGUUCAUCAUGAAAAGCGUUUCCAUCCUCAGACGAAUGUUGGAUCAGAUGCCAAUUCCAAAAGCCGAAAGGCCAAUUCGCACGCAAAUCCGAAAGCGCCUCACCUCGUCAGUCUAACAGCCCUGAGGAUCUGAAGCACACAGUUCAUCAUAGAUCCACUGUCUUAAAAACUACUUCUCAUUCAAAUCAUAAAUCAUCUCCCAAAACCACCUUCGUUUCUAAACCAGGAGUUUCGCACUCUUCCAAAUUCUCGCGACAAGAUAAAGGGAAGGCAAAGGUUGCUUCAGAGUCUCACAUUACUUUAAAAUCUAAGGAGGAAGAGAAAAAGUUUGUUUUGAAUCAAAUAAGAAUAAAAAAACUAAUUUGAAAGAUGAUCAUAUUAAGGCCUUCACAAUAAAGAAGAAAUAGCAAACAACCUUAAUAAAAACGAACUUAUAUGAUUGAGCUCUCUAUUGCUUAUCCAGUUACUAAAAAAGGCUCACGAGGAUGCAAACACCUUUGGGUUCCUAAAUCUGCUUAAUUUUUGUAGAUUAUAUGUGACUAAUAGUUUGAUACAUAAUGGUAUAUCGACAAUGAUUGUUUGCGUCACAUGACAGGAAGAAAGGAGCAGCUGAGAGAAUACAGAGAACUGAAGAAUGGUGGUCUUGUAAAGUUUGGUAAUAAUGUACUUGGAGAAAUUAAAGUUUAUGGCAUGAUAACUAAUGGGAAAUUCUCUAUUCACAAAGUGGCAUAUGUUGAGGGGCUACAAAACACCUUAAUAAGUGUUUCAUAAUUGGUUGUUGGUACACGAUUAAAGGUAUCGUUUGACGAUGAAGCUUCUGAAUUUAUCGAAAAGAAGACGAAAACAGUUCUGCUUAAAUCAAAAUGCAAAGGCGAGGUGUAUCCAUUGAACAUCAGUCUAAUACGAGGGAAGCCUUCUAUUUGUCUACUUAGUAAGGCUGCCAUAGACGAUAGUUUGUUGUGGCAUAAGAGACUUUCUGUAACGCUCGUGUUUCUAGGCUAGAAAUUAAUAUUGGCAAAAUGGUCUAGGUUAACCUUUUUAACUCAUUUAGAAGAAAUGAAAAGGAAUUAUGUGAAUUUUAUGUGAAUUAUGUGUUUUAUGCUUAAUUAUUAGGGUUUAAUUAAAUAAGAAUAAAAAUAAGCGUCAAAAUUAAAGUGUGAGAUAAGCCCGAUAUCUUUACAUAAAGUUGUAGUGGUCAAAACAAGGAUUUCAGGGAUAUAAAGAAUGCCAAAAUCCGAGUUAUAACGAAGAAGUUAUGACCUGUCGAAGUUUUGCGACAAAACCGACACGAUGCUGAAUGUCGUAAAAAAAGUGAGUUUUUGAUAAGCUACUUUUUAGCCUUAGUAAUCUAAACAAAAGUCGUAGUAUUCGUUAAACCUAGAAGUUCGAUAAAAAGAACGCCCAAAUCUGACUUCGUAUGAGGAAGUUAUGAUUUUCGAAGUUUCAGCUUAGCAGUAGACACCUAAAAACUCGAAUUUUAGAUCGAGCGAUUUUUAGCCGACACAACCUAAACGAGAAUUGAAGGUCUCGUCAUUAGGAGCACAACGGUAAAAAGUCUGACGAAAACGGACGUCAGAUGAAGAAGUUAUGAAUUUUUAACGGAUUUCCUGUCCUGGUCUGUUAAAAAUAAUAAUAUAAAAUUUAAAGUCAAAAUUAGCCGACGAAUUCUAAACGGAAGUUGUAGAGCGUAAUUUUAGCUACGUGUGCAUAAAAAGAACGUCAAAAAUGAAGCUCGUAUGCGAAAGUUACGAAUUUUAGAAGAUUUUGGCACAAAAUUCGAGAAAUUUCGCAUAGAUAAGCUUCAUCCGGAUGUGCCACGUCACCCUCGCCUCGCAUGUGCCACAUAUCCGAAAUAUGCUGAGUCACCGAAGCCACCUGGCGAGACGUGUCUCCUUCCCUCGCAUCCGAAGUCCGGUCCACUAGAGGUCCGACGCGUGUUCCAUUCCUCGUGUCCGAGCCUCGUAGAGGGAGCCACGUACGAAGCCUCAGACUAGACCGCAGUCCAAUCAGGAGGCGACAACGAGCCNCAGCUGACCAGUCCGAGCCUCGCCGAAGCAGCCACCUGGUCCGAGCCUCGCAGACGCGUGCCAUCCCCUCCUCGGUUCGGAUCCGAGCCUUCGGUCCUCCUCCCCUAUAAAUAGCAGCCAUGCGAGACCUCCCGGGUAACUUUGGAAAUUGGCCACUUUUAACCCCUUUUCCCAUAUUUUCUUCAUAUUAACAUCCCCCCAAAGCCCCGGUAUCGAUUGUAAAGCCCGGAAUACGCCACGAAGUGGCCGAGAAGACCGGAAAAUUUAUUUUUUCGGUUUCGAAGCCCGACUUUUGCAAAGCCCGGUUUCUGAAUAAAACUCCCGAUUUUAUUAGAAACGAUCGUUUUAGGAAAUGAAUUGCAGCUCGAUUAUCACCAAAUCAUGUGAGUGUAUAGUCACUUUCAUUUUACACAUAGAUAUGAAGUAUUUACCUUAUAAUACGUGCUAUGUGUAAAUAUAUUAAUUAUUUAUUUGAGGUGAUUGUUGUGUUGAUGUUUUAUACAAGUUUUAAACUGUAUAAGUAUUUUUAUCUACAAAUAUGUUGGGUAGAACAUGGGUAGAUUGUGAUGUGUGAUAAAAUAAAAUUGAUGAGAGGCCUCGAUGUGUUUUGAGAUCCAGUCAUCUAGCGGAGUUUGGAUGACGACCACGGACUUUCUAGACAGUCCAGUGGGAAACAUUAGCAGGUCCGCAACCUGUAGGUGUUAAUGAACUAAGAGUGUUCAUUCGCUGUACUCCAUCCCCCUCAUGGUUGCCUUUAGGACAUGUAUGGCUGGGGAAACCCCUUAGCAGUAGUGUCCAUCCCGAUGAUAUUCUUUAGGCUAGGUCCCUUGUGAUAAGUGUUUAGGGACAUAAAGUAAGGAUAACGGGAACGGGUAAUCAGGGUUAUUGUUGAUUGAUGAACUUAGUAAGUUUAUUAUUAUUGUGGGUUGAAAACCCUAUAUGCUCACCAGGCUCCCAAGCCUGACCCACUCAGCUUUUUAUGUUACAGGUAGUGGACCCCGAGCAUAGUCGGAGGACGACGAGAGAUUUUUGGAUUAUAGGCCAGUAGUUGUAAAUAACUGUUGAAAGGCUUAUAAUGUCUUGUUUAUGCUUUUGAUCUGUAUCGGAACAUGACAUCCUGAGGUUUUGAUAUAUAUGGAAAAUAUAUACCUUCUUAAUGAAGGAUUUUGAUAAACUUUUAUCAUAUGUUGUUUGGGGACCAAUUCCGCAACAUCUUUUAAAAAGAUUUCUCUGAUUUUAUUUUAAAAAACAUAAAUUAAAUUGGUUCUUUUUGGCCGAGAAAUUAGGGGAUGUCACAGUUGGUAUCAGAGUAUUCGUUUAAGCGAACUAAGAAAUUGUAGGAUUUGUAGACUUAAACUUAGAAUGCUAAGUGAUUAUUGUGAGAUGAGUGUCUACCGUAUUUUAGACUUGAGCACUAGUUUAUUUUAGGAAAGAUGCCUAAAAUGCCCUUAUGUGCUAAAUGUUAUAUGUUUGCCAUAUAUGCCAUUAUUUGUUCGGAUCUAUGGUAUGUUGCCGACCGGAUCUGGAAACCUUAUGUGUGUAGGAUUCUAACCGUACGAUUACGAGAUUAGAACUAACAUGUAAAAGUUUCGGAGUGAUAAGGGAAGUAAUAUGUCUAACAAGGACAAAGACCUAAAUUCGCCUUAUAUGGUAUAUAGAUUGUAAUUGCAAGAACUCGUAGUGGAGUUGCAAAUGCAAACAGAAACAGGGAUCAACAGCCUCAACCUCAAGUAGUUGAGCAAGUACCUGUUGUAAGAGCUGCACCUGAGCCAAUGACGAUGGCUGGGGUACAACCAAUGAUCCAGAUGAUGUUAGAUCGCCAGAUGGAGGAGACAAGGCGAUUAGUACAACAACAUAGGGAAGAGACUAUGAUGCCUGUUGAGCAGCCCGUAUUGAAUGAAGGGCAAUCAGUAGGAGGGAACUAUAGUGGGACUCUUGGUCAAGCCAACCCACCGAUAGUUAGACAAAACAACCAGGAUGGAGGAGUUGAUGGACGCGGGUGCAAAUACAAUGAUUUCAUGGCAUCUAAGCCGCCGUGUCUAUCUGGGAGUCCGACACCGGUGGAAGUCAUGAAUUGGAUCUCCGAAAUGGAGACGAUGUUUGAAAGUUGCGAGUACAGCAACAAACAAAAGACCGCACUUGCAAUUCCUCUAUUAAAGUCUGGUGUGUUGAACUCGUGGAAGUUACUAGCUAAUUCGAUGCCCAAGGGAGAAGCUAGUAAGAUGUCUUGGGAAGAAUUUGUACUACAACUAAAAAUGCAAUACUGCUCUGAGCAGGAUCUUCUGGAAAUUAAUAAUGAGUUCCAGAAUUUAAAGAAGGGAAAGAUGAGUGUUACUGAAUACGUUGCUAGUUUUACUGAAAAGAUGAAGCUUGUUCCUUACCUGGUUCCAACUGAACUCUCUAAGAUCAACAAGUUUGCCCUCGGAUUACCAACGGACUUUGGUCCGAUGGUUAAGAAAGCAACCACUUUGAAAGCCGCCAUCUGGGCUGCUAAGAACGUUGAGGUUCAAAUCAGAGAGAAGGGUCUGGAGAGGGCGGAAGUUGGUGAAAAGAGAAAAUUUGAAGGAACUUCAUGUUCCAGCAAGAGAAGCAAAUUUUCUAAGUUUAAGAAGUUUGUUGGAGGAGGAGGUGAAGUGAAAUGGUGUGAGAAGUGCAAGAAAAAGCACUCUGGGAGAUGUAGUGAGGAGGUGACUUGCUUCAAAUGUGGAAAGACUGGGCAUUAUGCCAACGUGUGUCCAUCCGACAAGAGGGUAUGUUUUGAGUGCCAUGAAGAAGGGCAUGUUUAUAAAGACUGUCCAAAGAGGAAGGAUGCUGCAAAGCCCAAUCUACCACCAAAGCCGAAGGCGAGAGCCUUUUAGAUGACACUUAAGGCUGCAAAAGAAGAAGAUCAAGUUAUAAAGUAGUAAUGUGAUUAGUAACAAGUGGUUAGGCCUAUUAGACGCAUAGUAUAGGGUAAACUUGAACCUUUGUGUAAUCGUUUCAAGGAAAUAAUAUAAACCCUAGUUUUGUCAUAUGAUGAAUUGAAUGACUAUGUGAAAUUCUUGUAUGGCGAUUUGGAGAAACUGCGAGACAAUACUUGGGACGAGUAUGAGUAGGUGCGAAUGGUAGUAGAGGCCUAUACUACCGGAAGCACAGGACUCGUACUUGGACCAGGGAAAGUCACAAGGUUACCAAGGAGCUAGUAUUUGAUUCCGUCUUGUUCUAGUCUGUUGUUACCAUCAUUUCGGUAAUGACUAAGAAGAUGAUUGUUAUUCCGACCUUAGAGGUUAUAUUGAAUCGAGUCCGACUAAGAUGGGUAUGUUACAUGGUUCAGAGAACCAAGUUCGAUGUAGCAUGUGACUUAAGCCAGAAGAUUGAGGUGAAAGAUGAUUAAAGUGAUCAACAGAAGCAUCGCACGCAUUGUUAAAGAAGUUGAUAUUUAGGAAUGAUACAUGUUGAACUGUGAUUGUAUCACAUUAGAACAUGAAGGAAGGUGUAGUUUGUUCCGAAAAUUAUACCAAGGAGAUUUGAGUCUAAGUAGUGCAAUAUACAAUGAGAGAUCACUAGAGCAUGACCCACCAGUCUGUUACAAUAAAUGAAGGAAAGUACUUAUUCCAAGAAAAAGAAGGAGUCCUCAAUAAGGAUUUAUUUUGUAACUCGAAGGUUAAAACUGAAAGUCCUAUGGAGAUCUGAAGCUUUUUAGGAUUAGCUGGAUAUUAUCACUGAAUUAUCCAAGGCUUUUCUUCGAUCGCGACUCAAUUGACAGCUUUGACCCACAAAGGAGCUGUCUAUGCUUAGAAUGAGAAGCAUAAGGAAGCCUUUGAGAAGUUGAAGAAGAGAUUGUGUGAAGCACCGAUUCUUUCGUUGCCUGAAGGAGUUGAUGACUUCGCAGUUUAUAGCGAUGCAUCUAGAGUUGCGUUAGGUUGUGUUUUGACCCAAAGGGAUAAAGUGAUAGCGUAUGCAUCAAGGCAAUUGAAGGAACAUGAAAAGAACUACCCCACUCACGAUUUGGAGUUGGCAGCAGUAGUAUUCGCCCUAAAGAUAUGGAGGCAUUAUCUUUAUGGCACAAAGUGUAAACUUUUCGCUGAUCAUAAGAGUCUUCAAUAUUUCUUUAAUCAGAAGGAAUUAAACAUGAGGCAACGACGCUGGAUAGAGUUACUCAAGGACUACGACUGUGAGAUACUUUACCACCCUGGUAAAGCAAAUGUUGAUGUUGAUGCUCUCAGUCGGAAGGUGAACCUCGAAAAGAAAAGGCCAAGAGCGUUGAGAAUUGAAGUUGUCUCUACAAUUGUGGAAAGUAUAAAGAAAGCUCAAGAGGAAGCUUUAGAGAAAAAUGACCGGAAGGAGGAAUGUUUGAGUAAAACGUUGGUGUUUGAUAUAAACGGUCAGGGAUUGAAGGUAUUCAANUUUUGGAGGAGUCUACAAGAGGAAUUGGGUACCAAGUUGUGUUUGAGUACAGCUUACCAUCCGCAAACCGAUGGUCAGAGCGAGCGAACGAUUCAAACAUUGGAGGAUAUGCUGAGAGCAUGUACCCUAGAAUUCCAAGGUAACUGGGAUGAACACUUACCUUUAGUAGAAUUCUCCUAUAAUAAUAGUUUCCACUCAAGCAUUAAGAUGGCACCUUAUCACGCUUUGUAUGGGGAGAAGUGUCGAACGCCAUCAUGUUGGCUGGAAACUGGAGAAAAGCAGUUUAUGGGACCUGAAAUAGUCCAUGAGACUGCUGAAAAGUUGAAAGUGAUAAGGGAAAGGAUGUUAGCUGCUCAAGAUCGACAAAAGAGUUAUGCUGACAAGAAAAGACAACCGAUAUCCUUCGAUGUUGGAGAUUCGGUUUUACUUAAAGUCUCGCCGUGGAAGGGACUUAUAAGAUUCGGGAAACGAGGAAAGUUGAGUCCAAGGUUUAUUGGACCAUUUAAAGUUCUUCAGAGGAUCGAGAAUCAAGCUUACAAGCUAAAAUUACCAGAAGAACUAGAGAGUAUUCAUAACACCUUUCAUGUGUGUUAUUUGAGAAAAUUCACGGGAGGUGUGCCCGACAUAAUUCCCAUUUUUGAAUUAAGGUUGGAUGAAAACAAGAGGUUAAUUGGAGAACCUUACGCAAUCGUUAACCGUAAGACUAAGAAGUUGUAACGUAAGAUAGUCAAUUUAGUGCCUGUACGUUGGAAACAUAUAAAUGGGCCAAAUCCCACCUGGGAAACGGAGAGUGACAUAGUGAGUUGCUACCCGUAGUUGUUUGUCGCUGUGUGAUUUCGGGGACAGAAUCAUCCUAAGGGGGAGAGAGUUGUAACGCUCGUGUUUCUAGGUUAGGCAUUAAUAUUGGCAUAAUGGUCUAGGUUAACCUUUGUAACUCAUUUAGAAGAAAUGAAAAAGGAAUUAUGUGAAUUUUAUGUGAAUUAUGUGUUUUAUGCUUAAUUAUUAGGGUUUAAUUAAUUAAGAAUAAAAAUAAGCGUCAAAAUUAAAGUGUGAGAUAAGCCCGAUAUAUUUACAUAAAGUUGUAGUGGUCUAAACAAGGAUUUUAGGGAUAUAAAGAAUGCCGAAAUCCGAGUUAUAACGAAGAAGUUAUGACAUGUCGAAGUUUUGCGACAAAACCGGCACGGUGCUGAAUGAUGUAAAAAAGUGAGUUUUCAAUAAACUACUUUUUAGCCUUAGUAGUCUAAAUGAAAGUCGUAGUAGUCGUUAAACCGAGAAGUACGAUAUAAAGAACCCCCAAAUCUGACUUCGUAUGAGGAAGUUAUGAUUUUUCGAAGUUUCAGCUUAGUAGUAGACAGCUAAAAACUCGAAUUUUAGAUCGAGCGAUUUUUAGCCGACACAACCUAAACGAGAAUUAAAGGUCUCAUCAUUAGGAGCACAACGGUAAAAAGUCUGACGAAAACGGAUGUCGGAUGAAGAAGUUAUGAAUUUUUAACGGAUUUCCUGUUCCGGUCUGUUAAAAAUAAUAAUAUAAAAUUUAAAAUCAAAAUUAGCCGACGAAGUCUAAACGGAAGUUGUAGAGCGUAAUUUUAGCUACGCGUGCAUAAAAAGAACGUCAAAAACGGAGCUCGUAUGCGAAAGUUAUGAAUUUUAGAAGAUUUUGGCACAAAAUUCGAGAAAUUUCGCAUAGAUACGCUUCAUCCGGAUGUGCCACGUCACCCUCGCCUCGCAUGUGCCACGUAUCUGAAAUAUGCUGUGUCACCGAAGCCACCUGGCGAGACGUGUCGCCUGCCCUCGCAUCCNNNNNNNNNNNNNNNNNNNNNNNNNNNNNNNNNNNNNNNNNNNNNNNNNNNNNNNNNNNNNNNNNNNNNNNNNNNNNNNNNNNNNNNNNNNNNNNNNNNNAAGUUCGUUAAGUUGACUGGAAAGUUCCUGCAUUUCAGCCAGUGCUAGACGAUACGGGGAUUUGGCUACGGGGGUAGCCCCUAGCACUAAGUCGAUUCUAAACUCGACUUGGCGUUGUGGUGGUAAACCGGGAAGUUCUUCUGGGAAUAUGUCGGGAAAGUCGCGUACUUCUGGGAUUUUCUGGAUGUCUUUCUGUUCUUGNNNNNNNNNNNNNNNNNNNNNNNNNNNNNNNNNNNNNNNNNNNNNNNNNNNNNNNNNNNNNNNNNNNNNNNNNNNNNNNNNNNNNNNNNNNNNNNNNNNNNNNNNNNNNNNNNNNNNNNNNNNNNNNNNNNNNNNNNNNNNNNNNNNNNNNNNNNNNNNNNNNNNNNNNNNNNNNNNNNNNNNNNNNNNNNNNNNNNNNUUUAAAAGAUGACGACAUGGAUAAGAAUAAAUGAUUAAUGAAUGUGUCUCAUGGACUAAAUCCCCAUAGCCCAACAACAGAAAGAAUAGUAUCACUAAAUGAAGAAGAUAGCAUUUGGAUAAUAAUUUCCAUUAGAUUAGAUAUCCGUCAAUAAUACUGGAAUUACAGAUGUAACAAGUUCGGGAAAAAUGGCCUAGAAGUAGGCCUUACAUCAACCAAGAUGGAAAAUUUUGACAGAAUUAAGACUAGAUCAAGACCUAACAGGUCUAAGAUUUAUACAGAUAGGAAAUUAGACCAAAGUUUUACAUAAACUAGGUUAUAUCCAAAAGAUGAGUCGACGAGAUUGUAUUGGCGACGAGAACUGCUAGCAUGAGUCCUUGAUCCCGACAGUAGACGUUCAAUGUCCCUUAUACGCUUGUCUGACCUUGCUUGCUGAGCUCGAAGUUCUCUAACUUCAGCUUGAGUUUCAGCAAGUUCCCUCUGCAGGUUUGCAUUUCGGACCAGAGUCCUUUCAUUAGCAGACUCUAGUUGGCGAAUGUGGACAGUGUUAACACCAGAGUUGGCGUCAACUUCCAAGACUUGAUUGAUAGUCGCCUGAGCUAUUAUCGAGUUCCGAGAAAUCCUACGCACCAUGAUUGGUAGGACUCUAUCACCAGAACCUCCUUCAGUGAGGUUGUAGAAACUGCGGUCUCCAUUGUAGGGAAUGGGCUGACCCUGUUCAUGACUCCAUGUAAUCAAGUUAGUGGCCCAAAGAGGUGUGGGUCCUUGAAACAUAGGGCGAGGGUUUAGGUUUGGGUUUUGAGCAUUUGGGGGUAGGUUGUUGACUUCUGGCUCCGAGUCAGAACUAUCAGAAAAACCUUCAGCAUGGUGAUCAUCCAAAGGAAUUGGGUGAUCAUCUUCUGGUUCAGCCUCUAGCCAACCAGCAUUGCCUUGGUUUGGGAAGUACGGAUCGCCAUGAUGAAAUCCAACCAUUUUAAUCUACACGAGAAAAGGGAUAUAAGAAAUAGCUAAAUAGACGAUCUGAUUAAGAUAAUUACAGUAAGACCAAAUAGCCCUAUGGUAUUUCUUUAUGGUUGUGUUGGUAAGUUUUUAGACUUNNNNNNNNNNNNNNNNNNNNNNNNNNNNNNNNNNNNNNNNNNNNNNNNNNNNNNNNNNNNNNNNNNNNNNNNNNNNNNNNNNNNNNNNNNNNNNNNNNNNUAAAUCGGUCUUUUCUGGCCGAGAAAUUAGGGGAUGUCACACUUUCACACCUCAAUUUCAAAGAUGUCAACAAUCUAGUUCUUGGUGAUCAUGUGCGAGGUCUUCCCCUCUUGAAAUAUGAAAAGGAUCAUUUAUGUGCCGCCUAUGAAUUGGGAAAGCAAAGCAGGAAAAGUCAUCCAAAUAUAGUGACCAUGAAGGUUAUUGAGUCACUAGAACUACUUUACAUUGAUCUUUGUGGCCCAUCUGCAAUCGAAAGUAUACGUGGUAAUAAGUAUAUUCUCGUAAUUGUAGAUGAUUUUUCUCGUUUCACUUGGGUGUUCUUUCUAAAGGGGAAGUCUGAAGCAACUCCUAAGCUUAAAUAUUUUAUCAAGAAAAUUGAGUUACAACUGUGAAAGGUGGCUCGCAAUGUUCGAAGUGACAAUGGUCUAGAGUUCAAGAACCAAGCAUUCAAAAAAUUUCUUAAUGAUAAGGGAGUCUCUCACAAUUUAUCUGCUCCCUAUACUCCACAGCAAAACGGGGUCGUUGAAAUACGAAACCUUUCACUAUGUGAAGCUGCUAGGACCAUGCUUUCAUCCGCAAACCUGCCUUUAUGCUUAUAGGUUGAUGCUGUUGCCACUGCUUGUUUUACUCCAAACAGAUCUCUUCUUAAUAUAAGAUUUUCUGUAACUCCCUAUGAAAUCAUCAAUAAACAAAAACCUAACGUCAAAUUCUUUCAUGUUUUCGGUUGCAGGUGUUUUAUUUUUAAUUCCAAGGAAAAACGAAACAAGUUUGUUGAGAAGGCUAACGAAGACAUUUUUCUGGGAUAUUCGCUAAAAUCAAAAGCAUAUAUGGUUCUAAACAAACGAUCCAAAAGGAUUGAAGAAAACUAUUAUGUCACAUUCGAUGAUAAUUACUUGAAGAAAACUCAAGCGAAUGAUUGUCAAGCAAAAUAGAUCUUUCCUCAAACGAACCAAGUGACCAUUCCAUUGGCUAAUCUUUAUGAAGAAUCCAUGCUUCUAUUUGAUGAACCUGAGAAGGCUAUCUCUUCUGAACCAAAAGCAGCUGACAAAAAGGCCGAUGAAUUGAAGAAGAUAAUUGAUGAAGCUACGAAAGACAUGGACCAUCAGCCAUCAACUAUGAAUGUGCCUCAAGACACGAGCACUACAUUCCAGGGGGAUAAUUCUAACUCCAAUGCAAGUCCUUGGGAGGAACCUUUUGCACCAAAAAAAUCCAGUGAUCCUUUCUAGGGAGAGGAUUCACCUUCAAACGUUGCACAUGAAUGUGCAGUCGAGGGGGAAGAAGCAAAUCCAACCUUUGAGACUCAUUCAUCAUUUAAGGGGGAGAAUACAGGUGCGAAUGAUGAUACAUACAUUCAAUCAGAAUUUGAAGACUUGAAUGUUGAACUGGAUCCAUCUUAUGAUCCGAACUACCCUCCACUAACGAAAUGGACCAAAGAUCAUUCAAAAGCACAAGUGAUUGGUGAAUCGUCUGCAAGAGUUCUUACAAGAUCUCAACUAGCAAAACAUACUGCUUUAUUCUCUCAAGUGAAUACUGCAUGUUUAAUUUGUUUGUCUCUAAGAUAGAACCUAAAACUAUCAAUACUGCUCUCGAUCACUCUGAUUGGGUACUGGUAAUGCAAGACGAGCUCAAUGAGUUCGAAAGAAACAAGGUUUGGAGAUUGAUUAUCACUACACUAGAUGCAUCUUUGGUUGUUUUGAAAUGGGUGUUUCGCAACAAACCAGACAAAGAGGGCAAUGUUAUAAGGAACAAGGCGAGACUCGUGGUUAAGGGUUACUGCCAAGAAGAGGGUAUCGACUAUGAAGAAACCUUCGCACCUGUUGCAAGGUUGGAAUCAGUUUUCAUAUUCCUAGCAUAUGUAGCACAUAAGAAUUUCAGGGUGUUCCAGAUGGAGGUUAGAUGUGUUGGAUUAGUGUCUAAGUCCAUAACUAUUUUGGUAUGUACUUGACCCGAUGGUGCAUGGUCCUUUUGGGUUUCCUUCACCAAAGCAACUUGAUAGGAUGAAUAAUGGAGAGAAAUGAUUAAAUAUGAUUUAUUAAUAUAUUAUGAGAAUAAUAUAUUAAAGGAGAAAUCAUAUUGUUUAAUUAAUAUUAGUCAAGAAUUAAUAAGAAUUAAGUUUGUGACUAAAAGACAUUAAUUAAACUAAGGGACUAGAACUAUCAAUUGUAUGAUAGUUGAAUAUUGAGCUAAUGGACUCCAUAUUAAAGAGGUGGAUGAAUUCUAUUGGGAAACCCAUUAGAAAUCGUCCAAGGCCUUUAAGGAAGGAGCCCAUGGGUUGCUUAGGGCUUAAGCAUCCAAAUUAGGGUUUCCUUGUUAGAUAACCCUAAUAGCCUCACUAUUUAAAGAACCCUUAUGCCCCAAAAAUGUGGCUAAGCUUCCUUCUAGGGUUUUCACACGUUUUGGGCAGCCUCCUUCUCUUCUCUUCUUCAUCCUCUUGCUCUUGGUGUUUGUGAACCAUUAGAGGAGUGACAUUUGUGACUCUAAGCUUUCUAAAGUCAAUACAAGAAGGAUUUGAGAUUGUUAUUGCUACAUAACAAUAAAGGUAUGAUCUAAGACCUAAUUUAUAUGUUAUAUUGAUCAUCAUAUGCUAGAUCUAGGGUUUAUAGUCUUGGAUGAAUUGCAUGUACAAUAGAGAAACCUAGAUCCAAGCAUUAGGGUUUGCAUGAGCACAUAGGAUGUUCUUAUGGCUAAAACCCAUCAGUGGUAUCAGAGCCUUGAUUGGUUUCUAUUGUAUUGAUGCCUUGUGUGUUUAUUCAAGCUACAAAAUCAAUUUUUGGCCAACCUUCCUAAUGAACUCGGCGAGUACCACAGUGUACUCGACGCGUAGGCCUCAACUCGGCGAGUCCAGUGUGGUACUCGGCGAGUUCGAGCGUCAGAAAGAGGGGAUUUCGUUAUUUCUUGCUGUUUUUCUCAUGGAUACUUGCCUUAUCUGUUUUAGAUCAUUAAAAUCCGAUUUUAUACAUAUUUAUGAGUAUAUCCUUGAUUAAACAAAAGAUAAUUACCAAUUGAUUAGAUAAUAACUUCCUUAUAUGAUUAAAGUUGAUUAUUUGUAUUAAUUGGGUAACUUAUUUUGCAAGAAAUUGAAAUUAGGUCAAAUAUAGAUAAUGAUAAAAUUAAUUGUUUAAUUUAUAUUAUUUGUUAUUUGAUCCUUGUGUUAUGAAAAGUUUCAAUUUUCCCCCUUAAGGUUUAUAGUUUAAAUUUGAACUCAAAAGUUUUGUUUUGAAAUUUAAAUAGUUGAAACCCUAAUGUUUUGAAAAGGUUUCAAAACUUGCCCUCAAGUUUUGGAAUUUAAAUUUUGAUUAAAAGUUUAAUUUUGAUGUACANCAAACCCUAAUGUUUUGAAAUAUUUCAAAACUUUACCUCAAGUUUUGGAAUUUAAAAGUUGAUUAAAAGUUUAAUUUAGGAAUGUUAAAUUCUAAAACCCUAGUAUUGUUUUGAAAAGUUCAAAUCCCCUCUCAUGGUUUUAUUAAUUAAUUAAGGUGUAUAAUUAAAAGAGGUUUAAUAAAUCCAUAAAUUUUUGGUUUACAAUUUAAUUGAAUUAAAAGUAUAAUUGUUAAAUUUGACCACNNNNNNNNNNNNNNNNNNNNNNNNNNNNNNNNNNNNNNNNNNNNNNNNNNNNNNNNNNNNNNNNNNNNNNNNNNNNNNNNNNNNNNNNNNNNNNNNNNNNNNNNNNNNNNNNNNNNNNNNNNNNNNNNNNNNNNNNNNNNNNNNNNNNNNNNNNNNNNNNNNNNNNNNNNNNNNNNNNNNNNNNNNNNNNNNNNNNNNNNNNNNNNNNNNNNNNNNNNNNNNNNNNNNNNNNNNNNNNNNNNNNNNNNNNNNNNNNNNNNNNNNNNNNNNNNNNNNNNNNNNNNNNNNNNNNNNNNNNNNNNNNNNNNNNNNNNNNNNNNNNNNNNNNNNNNNNNNNNNNNNNNNNNNNNNNNNNNNNNNNNNNNNNNNNNNNNNNNNNNNNNNNNNNNNNNNNNNNNNNNNNNNNNNNNNNNNNNNNNNNNNNNNNNNNNNNNNNNNNNNNNNNNNNNNNNNNNNNNNNNNNNNNNNNNNNNNNNNNNNNNNNNNNNNNNNNNNNNNNNNNNNNNNNNNNNNNNNNNNNNNNNNNNNNNNNNNNNNNNNNNNNNNNNNNNNNNNNNNNNNNNNNNNNNNNNNNNNNNNNNNNNNNNNNNNNNNNNNNNNNNNNNNNNNNNNNNNNNNNNNNNNNNNNNNNNNNNNNNNNNNNNNNNNNNNNNNNNNNNNNNNNNNNNNNNNNNNNNNNNNNNNNNNNNNNNNNNNNNNNNNNNNNNNNNNNNNNNNNNNNNNNNNNNNNNNNNNNNNNNNNNNNNNNNNNNNNNNNNNNNNNNNNNNNNNNNNNNNNNNNNNNNNNNNNNNNNNNNNNNNNNNNNNNNNNNNNNNNNNNNNNNNNNNNNNNNNNNNNNNNNNNNNNNNNNNNNNNNNNNNNNNNNNNNNNNNNNNNNNNNNNNNNNNNNNNNNNNNNNNNNNNNNNNNNNNNNNNNNNNNNNNNNNNNNNNNNNNNNNNNNNNNNNNNNNNNNNNNNNNNNNNNNNNNNNNNNNNNNNNNNNNNNNNNNNNNNNNNNNNNNNNNNNNNNNNNNNNNNNNNNNNNNNNNNNNNNNNNNNNNNNNNNNNNNNNNNNNNNNNNNNNNNNNNNNNNNNNNNNNNNNNNNNNNNNNNNNNNNNNNNNNNNNNNNNNNNNNNNNNNNNNNNNNNNNNNNNNNNNNNNNNNNNNNNNNNNNNNNNNNNNNNNNNNNNNNNNNNNNNNNNNNNNNNNNNNNNNNNNNNNNNNNNNNNNNNNNNNNNNNNNNNNNNNNNNNNNNNNNNNNNNNNNNNNNNNNNNNNNNNNNNNNNNNNNNNNNNNNNNNNNNNNNNNNNNNNNNNNNNNNNNNNNNNNNNNNNNNNNNNNNNNNNNNNNNNNNNNNNNNNNNNNNNNNNNNNNNNNNNNNNNNNNNNNNNNNNNNNNNNNNNNNNNNNNNNNNNNNNNNNNNNNNNNNNNNNNNNNNNNNNNNNNNNNNNNNNNNNNNNNNNNNNNNNNNNNNNNNNNNNNNNNNNNNNNNNNNNNNNNNNNNNNNNNNNNNNNNNNNNNNNNNNNNNNNNNNNNNNNNNNNNNNNNNNNNNNNNNNNNNNNNNNNNNNNNNNNNNNNNNNNNNNNNNNNNNNNNNNNNNNNNNNNNNNNNNNNNNNNNNNNNNNNNNNNNNNNNNNNNNNNNNNNNNNNNNNNNNNNNNNNNNNNNNNNNNNNNNNNNNNNNNNNNNNNNNNNNNNNNNNNNNNNNNNNNNNNNNNNNNNNNNNNNNNNNNNNNNNNNNNNNNNNNNNNNNNNNNNNNNNNNNNNNNNNNNNNNNNNNNNNNNNNNNNNNNNNNNNAUUUGACUACAUAGUUUUUCAGUUGAUUUUGCAUUGUAAGGACAAAUGUUUUCCGCUGCUUUUAUGAAUAAAAUAAAUUUUGGUUUGACUCAUUUAUUUAUUUAUUUAUUUUCCUUCCAAUGAAAUCAUUAUGAAAAAUUGAUGUUCAUAUAUUUCUACGAGUGGAUGUGAUACUUAAUUAUGAUAAUUGUGGAAAUGUCAAGAAUUUACCAAAUAGGGAGAGUUUCUCAUCACCCAAGUUUCAAUUGGACAGAAACUUGGAAUCAUGCAACUCGGUUGCACGAUGAAUGAGAAAUUUCACAUUUGUAAAUUAGAUUAAUUCAUUGACCAAGUGUCAAGUGAAGGACUAAGAGAUCGAGUACACAAAGUUGUGUGUUGAUNNNNNNNNNNNNNNNNNNNNNNNNNNNNNNNNNNNNNNNNNNNNNNNNNNNNNNNNNNNNNNNNNNNNNNNNNNNNNNNNNNNNNNNNNNNNNNNNNNNNNNNNNNNNNNNNNNNNNNNNNNNNNNNNNNNNNNNNNNNNNNNNNNNNNNNNNNNNNNNNNNNNNNNNNNNNNNNNNNNNNNNNNNNNNNNNNNNNNNNNNNNNNNNNNNNNNNNNNNNNNNNNNNNNNNNNNNNNNNNNNNNNNNNNNNNNNNNNNNNNNNNNNNNNNNNNNNNNNNNNNNNNNNNNNNNNNNNNNNNNNNNNNNNNNNNNNNNNNNNNNNNNNNNNNNNNNNNNNNNNNNNNNNNNNNNNNNNNNNNNNNNNNNNNNNNNNNNNNNNNNNNNNNNNNNNNNNNNNNNNNNNNNNNNNNNNNNNNNNNNNNNNNNNNNNNNNNNNNNNNNNNNNNNNNNNNNNNNNNNNNNNNNNNNNNNNNNNNNNNNNNNNNNNNNNNNNNNNNNNNNNNNNNNNNNNNNNNNNNNNNNNNNNNNNNNNNNNNNNNNNNNNNNNNNNNNNNNNNNNNNNNNNNNNNNNNNNNNNNNNNNNNNNNNNNNNNNNNNNNNNNNNNNNNNNNNNNNNNNNNNNNNNNNNNNNNNNNNNNNNNNNNNNNNNNNNNNNNNNNNNNNNNNNNNNNNNNNNNNNNNNNNNNNNNNNNNNNNNNNNNNNNNNNNNNNNNNNNNNNNNNNNNNNNNNNNNNNNNNNNNNNNNNNNNNNNNNNNNNNNNNNNNNNNNNNNNNNNNNNNNNNNNNNNNNNNNNNNNNNNNNNNNNNNNNNNNNNNNNNNNNNNNNNNNNNNNNNNNNNNNNNNNNNNNNNNNNNNNNNNNNNNNNNNNNNNNNNNNNNNNNNNNNNNNNNNNNNNNNNNNNNNNNNNNNNNNNNNNNNNNNNNNNNNNNNNNNNNNNNNNNNNNNNNNNNNNNNNNNNNNNNNNNNNNNNNNNNNNNNNNNNNNNNNNNNNNNNNNNNNNNNNNNNNNNNNNNNNNNNNNNNNNNNNNNNNNNNNNNNNNNNNNNNNNNNNNNNNNNNNNNNNNNNNNNNNNNNNNNNNNNNNNNNNNNNNNNNNNNNNNNNNNNNNNNNNNNNNNNNNNNNNNNNNNNNNNNNNNNNNNNNNNNNNNNNNNNNNNNNNNNNNNNNNNNNNNNNNNNNNNNNNNNNNNNNNNNNNNNNNNNNNNNNNNNNNNNNNNNNNNNNNNNNNNNNNNNNNNNNNNNNNNNNNNNNNNNNNNNNNNNNNNNNNNNNNNNNNNNNNNNNNNNNNNNNNNNNNNNNNNNNNNNNNNNNNNNNNNNNNNNNNNNNNNNNNNNNNNNNNNNNNNNNNNNNNNNNNNNNNNNNNNNNNNNNNNNNNNNNNNNNNNNNNNNNNNNNNNNNNNNNNNNNNNNNNNNNNNNNNNNNNNNNNNNNNNNNNNNNNNNNNNNNNNNNNNNNNNNNNNNNNNNNNNNNNNNNNNNNNNNNNNNNNNNNNNNNNNNNNNNNNNNNNNNNNNNNNNNNNNNNNNNNNNNNNNNNNNNNNNNNNNNNNNNNNNNNNNNNNNNNNNNNNNNNNNNNNNNNNNNNNNNNNNNNNNNNNNNNNNNNNNNNNNNNNNNNNNNNNNNNNNNNNNNNNNNNNNNNNNNNNNNNNNNNNNNNNNNNNNNNNNNNNNNNNNNUGAGAACGUAGCACAUAAAAUAUUAUGGCAGAAGAUUGAUAAAGUAUCAAAUCUUUAUGUAAGACAUUAUGCAUCGUGUCCCAUACGCUUCGGGUAUAGGAUCGAUUGCAAAUGCUAUAAUAUUUGACCAUUCUAAAAUUUUCCAAAUAUCUAGUGCAUUUAGAGGGAAAAGGACAAGAAUCGGUUUUGACUAAGAUAAUUAGACAACUAUCAAAGGACAAUCCAAAGUUCGCCGAGGAUUGGUCGCUUGUGAGUAGUUGGAAGUAUAGUAUUGGAUGGACCACAUCGACAUUAUUAUGAAUAGAAAAGAUUCUAUUAAGAAUGAGUUGUCAUAUGGAAAAUAUGGAAACGUUUCCAUAUUGGGAAUUGGAUAUUGAGAAUCAAUGUCUAGAUUAGAAACUUUUAUGCAAAAGGAUGUUCAAAGGAAUGUACUUUGAGUGAGAGACAUCAUAUCUAAGGAAUUGUCUUGUAACAAUCUUCGAUAGAGGACUUUGUAAUUCCAUUGGAAAUAGUCACUGUGACUUUUGUGCUAUGGCAUUACGAAAGGAUCAUUGCAUAAAAUGUUAGAAUCUAACAUAUUCUAUAAGUGGAAAGAAUUUGAUAUUCUUUCACUUAUGAAAAAAGGAUUAGGACUUGUGAGAUGAGUAUGAUUGGGAAUGUGCUCAUUUGAUCUAUUUCACAAAGUAAGAACCAUAGAUAAGCAUUGUGUGCAUGCUAAGAGCAUGGGACAAGUGUAGUAGUAAUUCAAGUAAGAUGUUGAUUACCCGAAAGAACAAAUAAUGAGUAAUCGAUAUGGUGAUAAAUAAAAGGUGUUUUAUUUAUACUCAAAGGUUUGAGGCCAUAUGGGAUUAGUAUUAUUCUUGUGUUUCACUUUGCAUGUUUUGACUUCCUGAAUAAUUUAAUUGGUUCAGAACAGUUAAAUUAUUCAAACGGGCCACAGUCGUUCAUAUGUUGGAAGUAGAUAUGAAUGAAGANNNNNNNNNNNNNNNNNNNNNNNNNNNNNNNNNNNNNNNNNNNNNNNNNNNNNNNNNNNNNNNNNNNNNNNNNNNNNNNNNNNNNNNNNNNNNNNNNNNNNNNNNNNNNNNNNNNNNNNNNNNNNNNNNNNNNNNNNNNNNNNNNNNNNNNNNNNNNNNNNNNNNNNNNNNNNNNNNNNNNNNNNNNNNNNNNNNNNNNNNNNNNNNNNNNNNNNNNNNNNNNNNNNNNNNNNNNNNNNNNNNNNNNNNNNNNNNNNNNNNNNNNNNNNNNNNNNNNNNNNNNNNNNNNNNNNNNNNNNNNNNNNNNNNNNNNNNNNNNNNNNNNNNNNNNNNNNNNNNNNNNNNNNNNNNNNNNNNNNNNNNNNNNNNNNNNNNNNNNNNNNNNNNNNNNNNNNNNNNNNNNNNNNNNNNNNNNNNNNNNNNNNNNNNNNNNNNNNNNNNNNNNNNNNNNNNNNNNNNNNNNNNNNNNNNNNNNNNNNNNNNNNNNNNNNNNNNNNNNNNNNNNNNNNNNNNNNNNNNNNNNNNNNNNNNNNNNNNNNNNNNNNNNNNNNNNNNNNNNNNNNNNNNNNNNNNNNNNNNNNNNNNNNNNNNNNNNNNNNNNNNNNNNNNNNNNNNNNNNNNNNNNNNNNNNNNNNNNNNNNNNNNNNNNNNNNNNNNNNNNNNNNNNNNNNNNNNNNNNNNNNNNNNNNNNNNNNNNNNNNNNNNNNNNNNNNNNNNNNNNNNNNNNNNNNNNNNNNNNNNNNNNNNNNNNNNNNNNNNNNNNNNNNNNNNNNNNNNNNNNNNNNNNNNNNNNNNNNNNNNNNNNNNNNNNNNNNNNNNNNNNNNNNNNNNNNNNNNNNNNNNNNNNNNNNNNNNNNNNNNNNNNNNNNNNNNNNNNNNNNNNNNNNNNNNNNNNNNNNNNNGGUGGACGAAUUCUAUGGGGAAACCCAUUAGAAAUCGUCCAAGGCCUUUAAGGAAGGAGCCCAUGGGUUGCUUAGGGCUUAAGCAUCCAAAUUAGGGUUUCCUUGUUAGAUAACCCUCAUUGCCUUACUAUUUAAAGAACCCUUAUGCCCCCAAAAACGUGGCUAAGCUUCCUUCUAGGGUUUCCAAACGUUUUGGGCAGCCUCCUUCUCUUCUCUUUGCCUUACUAUUUAAAGAACCCUUAUGCCCCCAAAAACGUGGCUAAGCUUCCUUCUAGGGUUUCCAAACGUUUUGGGCAGCCUCCUUCUCUUCUCUUCUUCAUCCUCUUGCUCUUGGUGUUUGUGAACCAUUAGAGGAGUGACAUUUGUGACUCUAAGCUUUCUAAAGUCAAUACAAGAAGGAUUUGAGAUUGUUAUUGCUACAUAACAAUCAAGGUAUGAUCUAAAGCCUAAUUUAUAUGUUAUAUUGAUCAUCAUAUGCUAGAUCUAGGGUUUAUAGUCUUGGAUGAAUUGCAUGUACAAUAGAGAAACCUAGAUCCAAGCAUUAGGGUUUGCCUGAACACAUAGGAUGUUCUUAUGGCUAAAACCCAUCAAGAUGUGUUUUCCUGAAUGGAGAAUUAGAAGAGACUAUAUACAUGAAACAACCACCUGGAUUCCUUAAAAUGUAUGGUAUGAAACUCUUACUCGUUUCCUUAAAAUGUCUAAAUUUAAACAAGGUUUGGUUGACCCAACCUUCUUUCACAAGAAAGAGGGUGAACACUUGAUGAUCGUCCAAAUUUAUGUUGAUGACAUCAUCUUCGGCUUUACUAAUCCUAGCUUCACAGCUGAAUUCCAAAAAUUGAUGUAAACUAAAUUUGAGAUGAGCCCUAUGGGUCCAAUUAACUUUUUCCUUGGAUUUAAUAUAAGAUAGGGACCAGAAGGCAUUUUCAUAAAUCAGGAAGCAUGCAUGAAGACCUUACUGUCCAUGUUCAACAUGAUGGGAGACUCCAAAGUGAAGGUUCCAAUGGCAUUCAGAAUGAAACUAACACCCUCUAUGGAAAAACCAGCUGCUGAUAUGACCCUUUAUAGCCAAAUGAUAGGAUCCUUAAUGUAUCUAACAGCUAGUAGGCCAAAUAUUAUGUUUUAUAUGUGUUAUUGUGCUAGGUUACAAGCAAAUCCAUGCGAACCUCAUAUGGUGGCAGUCAAGAAUAUUUUCAGAUAUCUGAAACAAACCUCAUCACUCGGUAUAUGGUAUCCUGCGAAAUCAGGUUUCUUUGUAUAAGCGUUUUCAGAUAUUGAUCUUGGAGGAUGCGGCUCAGAUAGAAAAUUCACAACUGGAGGAUGCCAAUUUCUCGAUGGCAAACUUCUCAGCUGGCAGUCUAAGAAACAAACAUGUGUCUCUUUGUCAACAGCCGAAGUUGAGUACAUUGCUGCUGCAUGUUGUACUUCUCAUGUCAUAUGGAAUCAAAGUCAAUUAUGAGACUAUGGCCUAAAAAUGAAGCGAAUCCCACUCUAUUCUGAUUCUGAAAGGACGAUCCAUAUCUAUCACAACCCAGUGCAACACUCGAAGACAAAACACAUAGCACUGAGGUACCGUUUCAUCAAGGACCAUGUAGAAGACGGCAACGUAGAUAUACAUUUCAUACGAUCUGCAGACCAAUUGGCAGACAUUUUCACAAAAGCCUUGUUUGAAGCAAUCUUUAAUAGAAUACUUUAAGGCCUAGGAAUGAUGGAAGCUGAAUCAGUUCCAAAACUACUUUCGCUUUUGCAGUAAUCCUUUCACUUUCCUUUUUAUUUUAAGACACACGAAGUGGUACAAACGCUCGCUCUAAUUCGAUUCUGAAUUCUUGGACAUGAAUUGAGAGAAACGCUCAUCCUAUCUCGUGUCUCAAAUUUUUCUUUAGAGCGAAUGCUCUUAGUCUAAUCUUUUUGUAUAUUUUGUAUAUUAGACUUUCUUCUUUUGUUUUACUUUUCUCUAAAAUUUCAAAAUACAAAAAUAUUUUAUUUUUGUUUCUUUUUCAGAAAAAUUUCAAAAUACAAAAAUAUUUUAUUUCUAUUUUUGUUUCUCUUUCAGAAAAAUUUCAAAAUACGUAAAUAUUUUAUUUCUUUUUCAGAAAAAUUUCAAAAUACAAAAAUUAUUUCCUUUUUAAUUUUGUUAUUUCCUUGAGAAGCAUUGCAGGUUAGCAUGCAAAAACAAAUGAUAUGGAAUGUUGGUGAGUUCAUAAGCAGGUUUGAUGUGAAAUUGUUUUGUGUAGUUUGAAAGAAAACAACCCAAAAAAUCCGAUAUUUUCUGAAAACGUCUAUAAUUGAAAAACUUUGAAUUAAAAGUACCAGUGAAAAAUGUUGAACUUCCCCGGAAAACCCGAUGUUUUCCGAAAAUAAAAAUAUCAUAUAAUGGUUCAAAUUGUUAUCCCAUCACGUGAGUGAUUUUGACUUACCUUGAUUACUUGAUUUAUAUUGGAUUCAUUUAUGAGAGUCGUUAUAACCACUCAUGAUAAUGACUAGUUCGUCUGUCUUGACACUCUGGUGAACGCUGGAAUUGAUCUUAAGAUUUUGUCACCCUAGACUGGCCGAGUCUAACUAUAGCGAACAGCUGAGGUGUGGGGGAGUCACCCCCAUAUAGAUCUAUACACAAACUCUCGCUCUCCCUCCAGGAGACUUUGAUUAUAAAUGCAGACUACGACCGACAUACGUUGGUGCCACCCGUUAUUACUCACUAAAUCCCAAUUGACUUUGAUUACUAUUGAUUAUCGACCUGUAUUUGCUUACUUGGAUUAACGAUAUGCCUAAUAAACGAGGAGAAGAGAAUUACAAGAUCCUACUAUUCCCGCGUAUUAUGUAUGGCUAUUGAUUAUAUGAAGGACACGCUGACCCAUUUCGCAUUUGAUUUACUUGGACCAUACUAGCAGUGCUAACGGGCCACUAAGGCCCAAUAGCAUUUAAAAGCCAUUGAGGGUCCCUUAAAUAUGAAAUUGGGUCAUAGAAGGCCCAAUAACAUUUAUAAUUAUCCCUUGGGCCCAAAAAUCAUGUUAAUGGGUCACAAAGGCCCAAUAAGCAUGUUUGGAACUUUCAAGCCCAAAGAAUUUAAUGUUUACUUGUUUUAGGAAUUGUAUAAUUGUUGGAAGGUUUGAUUGAACGAUUGUUAUUUUUUGUAUCGACACGAGACCGGUCGAUUUGUUUAUAACGAUAUUUGGAUUAUACGUAUAUUCAUCUCUCUAUUUUCAUGAGUUAUGAGUUUUGGUAUUUUUGACUCAAAGAUCUUAGAAAUAGAAUAAUUGGUUCAAAAUGUUGGUUUGACCCCUUUUAGCCCUUUUUAAUAAAAAUUACCUUUUUUGGUCCUUUAUACAAAAAAAAAGACGUUUUAAGCCCUUAAAGCAUUUUCUUGACACAUUUGACCUAUAGGCUUACUCAAUUGAUAUUUUUAGCUCAAAAAUUAUUCUUUGGAAGUUUCAACCCUUCCAGAAAAGUGAUUUUCAGUUAAAGCCCAAACUUUUGCAACUCUUACAAUUUUGGCCUAAAAUCCAAAAAAAGUUUACAUUUUUUAUCCUUGUUUGGAAAAUACAUCAUUUUGACCCCUGAAAUAGUUUUGUUUACCCUUUUUACCCCCUAUUUUGAGAAGUUUAUCAUUUCACCCCCUUGAAAGUUGAAAUUUUCGCAAGUCAUGGCCUAAUGGGCCGAAAAGCCCAAAAAUUUGGCCAAUUAAGCUACAAUUUACACUUCUAGCCCUUAAAAGAGUAUGAUAUCCAUAAAAACAUUUAUUUUUUCUGAUUUGACUCUUUUUGUCCUUAAGAAAAAUCGUAAAUGGCAAUUUUAACCCAAACUUUUUUUAUUUGACAAUUUAAGCCCAAAACUUGUUUUAUGUUGCAAUAUGUUGAUUUAAAUCUUAGGGGAUACUUCUCUAGACUUGUUUAGUGUAGUAUAGUAUACAUUAGAUCAUGUUUGAUUUCCUUUUUAUGUCAUAGAUCUCGAUAUUUCUUUCCUUUUUGUUUACAUAUAUAUUCAACAGAUAAGCACAUAAAUUCAAACAUACAUACAUGAAACCAUAUAUAGCAUACACAUACACAUAGAUCUACACAUUUAAAUUGUAUUCUCCCUGAUAAAACUUGUAAAAACGAAAAAGAGAAGGGUAUGAACUCACCUUGCUUAGUUUUUCUCGGUUUGAAGAAGAAAUGGGAAGAGUUUGAUGCUAUUUUUCGGCCCUAUGAAGCUUUCUUGGGUUGAUUUCGAACUUAAGAGCUUCUAAAGAGUAGAUCAUGAGAAUUGUUUGUGUUAGGAAGAAGUUUUGAUGAAGGAAAGAGUCUAGGUUAUGGAUCUAAACAAUAACUGUCACACCCCAAAACCACGAACGGCGGAAACGUUCAGGGGUGGAGGACGUCAUGUGCAGUAUCACAACAGUGUAAUAUAAUAAACAAGCAACAACAUCAUCCAUUGCAUUAUAAGUAAAGUUUAAUACAUGUGUGCUCUUUCAUUGUAAUAAGACACCAAAAAUAUACAAUCAAAAUAAACGACGAGACUUGUCUGCUCCGUCUUCUCAAAACCAGGCCUCCGUACCUGUCUACGGAUGACCUGAGAAUACAAGUUAUUUUGAAAGCGAGUAUCAACUUUAAAGCUGGUGAAUUCAUAAGUAUAUAAGUGUCAUUGCCUUGUUUGUGAAAAUCUGUUAUGAAAGCCAUGUAAACCUUUAAAUGAAAAUGUUGAGGUAAGUAUGAAAUCCCUAGAAAAACCCUUAUUUUCUAUAAGUAUGAAAUGUAGUCUUCUACCAACACCCGAAUGUUCUGUACGUAUGAAAUGUAGUCUUCUACCAAGACCCGAAUGUUUUGUAAGUAUGAAGUGUAGUCUUCUACCAAGACCCGAAUGUUUUGUGAGUAUGAAGUGUAGUCUUCUACCAAGACCCGAAUGUUUUGUAAGUAUGAAGUGUAGUCUUCUACCAAGACCCGAAUGUUUUGUAAGUAUGAAGUGUAGUCUUCUACCAAGACCCGAAUGUUUUGUAAGUAUGAAGUGUAGUCUUCUACCAAGACCCGAAUGUUUUGUAAGUAUGAAGUGUAGUCUUCUACCAAGACCCGAAUGUUUUGUAAGUAUGAAGUGUAGUCUUCUACCAAGACCCGAAUGUUUUGUAAAAUGAUAGUUUUCCCUUUGUAUUGACUAAUACUAAAAGUGCUUAGUCUAACUCAUCGAUUAUGUGAAGGUAUCACAAAAUAAAGUAAACAGGAAAAAUGUACUACUGUAAGUGUUGUCACUGGGUACUAGGACCAACACAACAUCGCAUUAAGCGAAAUUGAUAACCUAAUGAACAUCCGAAGAUUAUCCAAAACAAGUAUUAAUGUAAGUGUCAUCGCUGGGUACUAGGACUGACACAGCAUCGCAUUAAGCGAAAGGUAUAACUUAAUGAACAUCCGAAGAUUAUCCAAAACAAGUAUUAAUGUAAGUGUCAUCGCUGGGUACUAGGACUGACACAACAUCGCAUUAAGCGAAAGGUAUAACCUAAUGAACAUCCGAAGAUUAUCCAAAACAAGUAUUAAUGUAAGUGUCAUCGCUGGGUACUAGGACUGACACAACAUCGCAUUAAGCGAAAGGUAUAACCUAAUGAACAUCCGAAGAUUAUCCAAAACAAGUAUUAAUGUAAGUGUCAUCGCUGGGUACUAGGACUGACACAACAUCGCAUUAAGCGAAAGGUAUAACCUAAUGAACAUCCGAAGAUUGUCCAAUUGUCCUCUGUAGCAACAGCAGGUGGGUGGAAGGGUUAGUCCCAAAUCGAUCUUCCUAAUAUAAGUAGUAACCUUAGACCUCCGUAGAUGGUCAUCGACCACUGGUGCUAAUCAGUGGGGUUUGGAAUGGUAAGUCCCGCCUAGCUAUCCCAUUGAACCGAGAUAGGAAAGACAAUUUACAAAGUAAGUACUAAUAAAUCAUCCUCGUAGUUCUAAGUACAAGUAUCCAGGUAAGUGAAUACAGGAUAAUGCACCUAUGUAAAAGUGUUCCUGUAUGGUAUUCAUGUAUGUGUGUCCAUGUAACAGGUAAGUAUAUGUAAACAUAUUCAUGUAUCAGGUAAACAUCUGUAAGUACUCAUGUAUCAGGNAAGUAUAUGUAAACAUAUUCAUGUAUCAGGUAAACAUCUGUAAGUACUCAUGUAUCAGGUAAUGUACUAGUAUAGACUCAUGAAUGAACUGACUCUUGUGUGAUUCCUUGUAAUAGAAGUAAUGUUUGAUAUCUUCAAAUUAUCCCUAUGAUAAUUUACUAUAAUAUAACUAGUUGAUCAUGUAGGUUUGUACACUCUUACUACUCAAGGGUGUGGGAAACUAAAUGAAAGAUGUAAACUAUAACAUCAAUACAUAUAUAAGAAUAUAAGUGUAUAUGCAUAGUUUAGUUCAAGAAUGUAAAAUGGUUUUGUAAGACAUCUUAUGGGUUUUGAACAAUAAUUAACAAUGACUUGAUGUCAUUUUAAUAAACAUUUCAAAGGUAAAACAUUUGGUAACAAUGUGCUUUUAAGAUGUAAAACCAUUUCAUGCAUCACAUUUUGUAGCAUGUGAAAUCUGUUAAAUGACAAACACAGUUAUAAAAUACAUAUCAAUGAUUUAAUAACAUGUUUGUUUCUACUUGUAUCCCCCCCAUUAAAGCAUUUAAAAUCAUUUAAAAUAUUGAUUAGGGGUAUGAACUCACCUGUAGUUGGUGAUUGGGAUGAACUGAACGGUAUAGGAUGGCUAGGUGUCAAGCGAGGACUUGUACACACACUACGAUCCUAAUGAACAUAUAAUCACACAUAUAUGCAUUCAAUUAGUCUUAAAUCACUAAUUGAUAAAGUUAAGACAUCCUAGACAUAAUAAACACUUUAUAUAAGUGUUUUAAGCCCUAAGGAUUGCAUCUAAGCUAUUGUGGGACAAGGUAUUUGUGUUUAGGGUUCCAAAGGACCCUAUAAGUGAGUUUACUCCCCAUAAACCAUCACACAUGGAGUUUACGGUUGUAAACUCUUGAGUUUACGGCCGUAAACUCCCAAACAUGUGUGUUUGGUGUGUUUUGAAGUCCCAAAUGCUUUCUAGAAUUAUUCUAACUUGGUGGUUCCAUUCUUGAAGGGGUUUAAGGUCUAGAAAUACUCCAAAUAGGAGUUUACGGCCCUGAGGCCAAUCCCCUUAGAGUUUACGGCCGUAAACUCUAAGUAUUGGGUGUUUUUGUUGUUUUCAAGUCUCUUGCUUUUGAAGGACAUGUUCUAGACAAUUGUUUAAGGCAAAUGAGGACCCUAGGCACACUUUGGUGCCAUUCUUUCAUGUUUACGGCCCAAGAGCAUUCUCUUGGCCGUAAACUCACUUUGCUAAGUGAUUUGGAUGAGUUUUGGCCCUUCAAUUAAGUGGAAACAAUUCCUUGUAAAGGUCUAGGGCUUUAGGUGUCAUGAAAACACCCCUUUUGUCCAUUUUUAUGGAGUUUACGGCCUAAGAUACACUUGGGCCGUAAACUCUCAUUUGUUUGUGUUCUUUGAUGUGUUUAAUGCCUUACACUAAAUGGGAUCUAGUCUAGAUAAAAGCCUUAAAGUGUUAGAGUCCUUAAAACACCAUUUUGAGUGUGAAAAGGGAGUUUACGGCCAAUGAAUCUCUUUGGCCGUGAACUCCCCAAACAUGGGUGUUUUAUGGAUGUUUUCUUGUUCCUAACAUGCAUACAUAAGAGUCCUAAGCAGUUGUAUAAUACAAAGGUCGAUUUUGGCUUCAUUUCGGGAGUUUACCGCCCAAGAACACCUUGGGGAGUAAACUCCUAGAUCUAAUGAUUUAGCCAUCUAAAUCAUGUUAUAAGCAUCUAAUAAGCAUUCUAAUCACUACUAGAAAGAGUUACUCACGUUUUGGUAUAAAAACCCGAAGAUCCGUGAGAGAGAAAAUGGCUUUUCUCUAGUUGGAAAUGUGAAUAAUGAAUGAAUUUGGUUCAGAAAUCUAUUUAUAGUCCUGAAAUAUUUUUGGCAGAAAAUAUUUUUAUUCCUGAAAUGAUCUCUAAUAUAAUAGAGUGUUGGAAUAACAGUGUUGCACAAAACCCUAGUGCACCCACUCUCCUGAUAUUUCCUGAAGUGUAAACCUUGAAUUACUCAAACUUAUGUGAAAAAGUUUGAAAAUUAACAGUGACACUAUAACUUCUAUUGAAGUGAUAUAGAUUGUACAGAAUGGAAAUUUCGGGUUGUCACAAUAACUUACCAAUGAUGAUGAUUAUUGUGGAAUAACCUUCUUGAAAAGCCCUAGAUGUCGAAAUUUUGGUGGAGGGUAAGAAGAUCUUCUUGAAGACUUAAAGAGAGUUUGAAAGAAGUUUGAAGGUGUGUGUGUGUGUGUUUUUCCUCUUGAUCUCGGCCGAAGAAGAGAAAGAGAGGGGGGAGAAAAGAGAGAGAGUUGCAUGGAUGUAUGGGAUUGAGUAUUGUUUAGUGGUUAGUUUGCAUAGAUUACCUCCAUGUAUUAGUGAGGUGGCAUCGCUUGGAUAAUUAGCCAUUUUCCCCUUUUUUGUUUUCUUCUUGGGCCGAGAAAAAGAGAAGAAGGAAAGAUUUUGGGCCCUUUUGUGCUUAAGUCCAUAUUAGGGGCCCACUUUGAUGAUUUUCGGCUCAAUUGGUCUUUGGAGGUAAUUCACGGCCCAAUAUAUUUCAAAGAAUGGGUUUUAUGGCUCAUUAGGUUAAUUAGAUUUGUUAUGGACAAUAAGGUCCAGUAGGGUAUUUUAUUUCAUUCUAGGCUCAAUAUGGCCCAAAAUGUUAAAAUAAAUAGAAGUGAGUCCAAUUAUAGCCCAUUUAAGAGUUCUUAGCCCAAAACAAUCAAAUUGGAAGCUUAUUGGCCCAUUAGGCCCAAUAAGGAAAUCCUAGUCCAUAAUGGACUUAAACCGGGAUUUCUAGGGUUUCCAAUUCUUUGUUGACUAUUUGAAGUGCUUGCAUAGAGCAUUUGAUGGAAAAUUUGUUGUUAUUGAAUAAGCACCAUACGUGCUUUCACAUUUUCGGUUCACAAAUGUUAUCAUUGUUGUUAUUAGAUGGUAUAGAAUUCCUAGUUGUGACAUCAUCCCCCCGUUAGAGGGAAUUUUGUCCCGAAAUUCAUUCUAAAGCUAGAUUCAAGAAUGAGAGAAUAGGUGAGGGUACUUCUGCUUCAUCUGAUCUUCGCGUUCCCAUGUGAAUUCUGUCCCACGCAUUACGUUCCACCGUACCUUCACAAUUGGAAUGCGACUUUACUUAGUACGCUUUGCCUCCCUGUCCGUGAUUUCGACUGGCUCUUUGACGAACAUGAGAUUCUCGUUGAUUUCUAUUUCUUUAAGUGGAAUGACGAGGGUUUCUUCAGAUAAACACUUGUUCAAAUUGGAAACAUGGAACACGGGGUGUACACUGUUGAGCUCGACAGGUAGCGGUAGUAUGUAAGCCACUGGACCGAUUCAGGCAAGGAUCCCGAAGGAUCCAAUGUAUCGUGGGUGCAACUUUCCCCGUUUUCCAAAACGAAUAACCCCUUUCCAGGGAGAGACCUUUAACAACACUCGAUCCUCGACUUGAAACUCCAACGGCUUCCGCCGUUUAUCAACGUAGCUCUUCAGUCGGUCUCGUGAUGCUUGUAGUCGAGCUCUGAUUUGAAUUAUCUUCUCCGUUGUUUCGCGUAUCAUUUCUGGUCCCGUUAACGCAUUGUUUGAUGUCAAUCUUCUUGCUAGUUGGGUGUCACCUACCUCAGCCCAACACAAUGGUGAUCUGCAUUUACGUCCAUACAAUGCCUCGAAGGGAGCAACUUUGAUGCUCGGGUGAUAACUGUUGUUGUACGAGAAAGGAUAUACUUCAAGUGUUUGAAUGGUUCAUUCGCUUUGACCAUCUAUUUGUGGUUGAUAAGCGGUGCUCAUGUCGAGAUGUGUUCCCAGUUCUUUCUGAAGUGAUUGCCAAAAACGUGAAGUGAAUCUACUAUCUCUAUCUGAGAUGAUAGAUACUGGCACUCCAUGGAGUCUCACAAUUUCCUUGAUGUAUAUCCUCGUCAACCUCUUCAUCUUGUAGGAUUCUUUUAUUGGCAUGAAAUGAGCGGAUUUCGUCAAUUUGUCGGCUACUACCCAUAUGGUAUCCAAUCCAUCCAUUGACUUGGGUAAUUUGGUCACAAAGUCCAUAGUAAUCCUUUCCCAUUUCCACUCGGGAAUUACUGGUUGUUGUAAUAAUCCCGAGGGCUUCUAAUAUUCCACCUUCACUUUAGCGCAAGUAAGGCAUUUGCUAACAUAGGUGGCAAUAUUUGCCUUCAUGUUGGGCUACCAAUAAUGUUGCUUGAUAUCCAAGUACAUUUUAUCUGAACCCGGAUGGAUGGAGUAUCGUGUCUUGUGGGCUUCAUCCAUGACCACUUCUCUGAAUCCCCCAAGUUUAGGGAUCCAAAUGCGGUUCAUAAAAUAAUAUGCUCCAUCCUCCUUCACUUUGAAAUUCUUUUCGAUCCCUCGUAACGCUUCACUUGCUUUCUUUUCCGUCUUCAUGGCAUCAGACUGGGCUGCUCUGAUUUGGGAGGUCAGAUGGGAUUGAAUGGUUAUGGAGAGAGUCUUUACACGACGAUUUGAGUAUUCUUUCCAACUCAUGGCUUCAGCUACCACGUUAACCUUGCCUGGGUGGUACUUAAUUUCACACUCAUAAUCGUUUAGUAGGUCAACCCACCUUCGUUGCCUCAUGUUCAAUUCUUUUUGAUUUAGGAUAUGUUGUAGACUCAUGUGGUCCAUAAAAAUGGUGCACUUGGUACCACAAAGGUAUUGCCUCCAAAAUUUUAAGGCAAAGAUCACAGCUCCCUAUUCUAAAUCAUGGGUGGUAUAUUUCACCUCGUGUGUCUGUAGUUGUCGGGAUGCAUAAGCUAUCACCUUCCCAUGUUGCAUGAGUACGCAACCUAAACCCUGAUUCGACGCAUCGCAGUAAACUACGAAGUCCUCCGUUCCUUCUGGUAGUGAUAGUACCGGUGGGCUGCAGAGUGCUCGCUUCAGAGUUCGGAAUGCAACCUCUUGCUUAUCUGUCCAUUCGAAGGGUACACCCUUUUGUGUAAGCAUGGUAAGUGGCUUGGCAGUCUUAGAGAAGUUUUGGAUGAACCUCCUGUAAUAUCCUGCUAGACCUAAAAAUUGACGAAUUUCUGUGGGUGUCAUUGGGGUCACCUAUCCUUCAAUGGCUUUGACCUUAGAAGGAUCCACGUGUAUCCCUUCUUGACUAAUAAGAUGACCCAAAAAUUUCACACUGCGGAGCCAUAACUCACACUUAGAGAGUUUUGCGUAUAGUUUCUCGGUUCGCAGGGUUUCCAGGAUUUGUCGAAGAUGUUGGCCGUGCUCCUCUUCGUUUUGAGAGUAAAAUAGAAUGUCAUCAAUGAAAACGAUGACAAAGUUGUCAACGAAUGCUCGACAGAUUCGAUUCAUUAGAUCCAUGAAUGCGGCAGGGGCAUUCGUUAGACCGAAGGGCAUUACGGCGAAUUCAUAAUGUCCAUAACGAGUUCGGAAAUCGGUUUUGGGGAUAUCCUUUUCCCAUACCUUGAGUUGAUGGUAUCCAGAUCGUAUAGCUAUCUUGGAGAAAUAGCUCGCGCAAUGAAGUUGGUCAAAUAGAUCGUCGAUUCGUGGAAGUGGGUAGCGCUUUUUGGCAGUGAUCUUAUUUAGUUCCCUAUAGUCAAUGCACAUCCUAAAGGACCCGUCUUUCUUCUUAACAAAGAGAACCGGAGCUCCCCAAGGUGAGAAGCUAGGUCGGAUGAAUCCUUUGUCCAAAAGCUCACUGAGUUGGCUGGACAAUUCUUGCAUCUCCGCAUGAGUGAAUCUAUAGGGCGAUUUGGCGAUGGGAGUAGCUCCUGGUACAAGAUCAAUUUGGAACUCGACUUGUCUUUCUGGGGGUAUUCCUGGAAGAUCAUCAGGGAAGACAUCCGGGAACUUGCAAGCUAUUGGAAUGUCUCGAAUAUUGACCUCUUCCUUGGAUUUAUCCACUAUAUGAGCCAGGAACAUCAAGUCUUUCUUUCUUAGAUACUUUUGUGCCUUAAUGCACGAGAUCAGACGAAGGUUCAUGCUGGGUUUGUCUCUGUAUAUAAUUUGGGUUUCACGGUUUGGAAGGUGAAGGCGAACAACCUUCUCGUGACACAUAAUUUCAGCAUGGUGGGGGCUUAAUCAAUCCAUGCCAACAAUGACAUCGAAACUCCUAAUGGAAACAGGCAUUAUGUUUAUUUGAAAGAUGUGUUGGUCCAAGGUUAGGGUACAUCCGAUAUAGAUUUCCCUAGUGGAUUUUGUUUUCCCAUUGGCCAUUUCCAUCGUAAAGGUUUCAUUAAGCUUCUGGGGUUGUUGUUUUAAUAAGUGUUUAAAUCUAUUGCUCACAAAGCUUCGUUCUGCUCCGGUGUCAAAUAGGAUGCAUGCAUAAGUGCAGUUUAGGAGAAACGUACCGGUGACAACAAUGGGAACCUUAACCGCUUCUCCCUGACCCAUGGUCAGCACUCUUCCUAUUCCUCCAUUCCCAGGGUUGUUGUUGUUGGGGCAAUUUCAACGGAAAUGCCCAGUCUUUCCACAUCCAUAGUAGGUGUGGCUCGGUCCUGCAUUGUUGCCGCAGUUGUUGUUGUUGUUUUUGUUGUUGUUGCAGGUUUUGCUGUUGUUGUUUCCUUGCUGCUUAUUCUGGGGAGGAUAGGUCCUGCAAUAUUUUUCCGUGUGACCCUUUCGAUUGCAACUGGUGCAAUGCAUCUCUCUGCAAUCUCCAUUAUGAUGGAGACUGGACUUGUUGCACUUUGGGAGAUUACCAGAAUACUGUCUAGGUGCACUAGGAGCAGUUGAGACUGGAGCAUGUGGUGUGGAGGGAACUUGAGUGGUUGCAGCAUUAACUGUCACUUUUUGUUGCUUCUUGGACGACUCCGAGCCUUGUCGCCCCUUUCUCUUGUUAUUCUUUCCCUUCAUGUUGUCACUCUCCCUCUUGCCAUCAAUUUCCACUGGCUUCUCGCCCUUCUUUUUGUUGUGGUCGUACAGUUUCUUGGCCAAUCUCUUGGCACUGUCGAAGGUUUUCGGAUUUGCAGCUAUCACAUUUCCUUGGAUUGGGGAGGUUAGUCCUAAGAUGAAUCGUUCGAUUUUCUUUCCCUCUGAAGUAAUCAUGUCAGGGCACACUAGAGACACUUCGCUAAACCUUGAUAUGUAUGUAUCAAUGUCGGAAUUUCGGACGGUAAGAUUCCAUAAUUUCUGUUCCAUUUUCUGAAUGUCGCCUCGCGGACAGUACUCGGCCAUCAACAUUUCUUUCAAAUCCGCCGAGGGCAUGGAGUUGGCUACGGGGAGAGUCAUGGCUUCUACAUGACCGUUCCACCAGGUGAGAGCUUGAUCAACGAACGUGCAUGCGACAAACUUCACCUUCAUCUCCUUAGGGCACUCACAUAUCUUGAACACCGAUUCCACCUUCUCAAUCCAUCUUUUUAGGGUUAUCAUUCCCCCGGUGCCAUUAAGGGUUCGCGGCUUGGCAUUGGUGAAAUCUUUGUAGGAGCAUGUCUUGGUAGGUCCUUGAUUUAUCCCGUUUUUUCGAACUUCCAGCCCCUUUUCAAUUGAUUCCACCAUUGUUCCCUUGAUGGAUUUGUGCCAUGGCUGCAGUAACCGCAUCAUAUACAACUGCAUGGAAUGCAGCUGAGUUGACUUCGGGUGGGGUUGGCCUAGGGUUUCCGUGGGCUGGUCGUCGAGGCAUCUUUCUGUCACGAAACAGAAAAAUGUUGAGUGCCUACGUUUUGUGGGUUUGUGGAAUUAUGACUAGGUUUAUGUCAUGUAUUUAAGUAGUUUCGCAUAUCAACAUAUAAUCAUAGAAGCAUAGCACAUAACAGAUAUUAACAUCAAAACAAAACACAUAUAUUUUCCAUUAAUAAUAUUCAUACUUUGAUACAUGAAAAUUUGCUCGAAAGAGCAUACAUAAGGAUAUAAGUUCGGCAGCAAAACGACGCUACGAGUAGUGUAAUCACUUAAACAUAGAGUCGAUGGUACAUAACAUAGAUCAUAGUACUAGCAUAAUACUAAAAAUGGAUACAGCUAGUCCUAGUCAUGAUGGGAUGUGUCAGGGGGUGGUGCUGAGGAAGUGGACGCUAAUAAAGGCAAGCCACCCGUCGUUCCGCAUCUUGGAGUCAAGCCUCCCACCUUACCUACCUUAUGUGGAACUCUCGGAUAACCUCUCGUGUCUCCUGCUCUGCAUACUCGACCCUGGUCGGCAUCUGGUGCAUCUGAUCAGUGGUGCUCUGAGCUAGAUCGCCAGUGUUCCGCAAUCGUCUCACCAUGACCGGAAGUUCACGAUCAGCCGGUCCUCCCUCCCUUAAGUCAUAGAACUCGCGUGACAUGCCGAAUGGGGGUCGCUGUCCCUGCUGUUUGCUCCACCUCCAAAGGUCGAUACCCCAAGGGGGUGUAGGACCAGUGGGGCCCAUCCGAUGAGCGGGCACCCUAAUCGGAUAAGGGGGGUUGAUGACUUCGGACUCCGCGUCCGAAUCACCGUCUUCGUCAUCGUUGAGUUCCUCCUCGAGGUCUUCUUCGACUUCCUUGUCACACCCCCAAACCAAGGAUGGCGGAAACGUUCGGGGGUGGAGGACUUCAUGUAUAGUAUCACAACAACGUGUAUAAUAGUGCUCAAAGUAAAAAAAAAACCAUCAUAAAUAUAAUUGAGAAAGUUACAUCAUAGCAAGUUUAAAUGUUUCAAAAUCAAUUACAUUAUGAUGACAAAAUGAAAUGUUUGACGAUUUAUCGUCCCAUCCUCAAAAUGUUGUUGGUUUUCCGGUUUCACUGAUUUUCUGAGAAUACAAGUAAUUUUAAAUAAAGUGUCAACAAUUAAGUUCGUGAGUUCAUAAGAGUUUUGUUUUAGAAUGAAACUGUUUUCCUUGUAAAAGCAACAAAAUAUGUUUCCAGAAAAUCCAAUAUUUUCCUUAUUAUGUAUGAAAUGAAUGCUUCUAUGUUAUGCGAUAAUAAAUCCUAGAAAGACCCAUAGAUUCCUUCUAUAAUCACUCAACGUAUAUAAAUUAUAUAAAAAUUUAGUUAAAUAAACCGUUGAGUAUAACGGGUAUGCCCCAGGUCCACAACCAAACGAGGAACAGGAGAUAAGGCGGGCCCACCAAUUCUAAGUCGAUUGUGACUAGAUUCUUAUAUAACUCUAGCAUAUACAUUUAGCAAUUAUAGCUGAAGUCUAACAAUUCUAGAUGAAAUAUAGUUUUAAUAUCAUAAAAACUAUUUCGUGUGAACCUGGUACUUUGUAUUUGUACCCCUUUUUGUUUAAAAACCUGGUACUUUGUAUUUUUACCCCUUUUUGUAUAAAAACCUAGUACUUUGUAUCUGUACCCCCUCUUGUAUAACACCGGUACUUUGUAGCUGUACCCCUUUUCAUAUGAAAACCUGGUACUUUGUAUUUGUACCCCUUUUUGUAUAAAACCGGUACUUUGUAUUUGUACCCCUUUUCGUAUAAAACCGGUACUUUGUAUUUGUACCCCUUUUCGUAUGAAAAGCCUUUUGUUAUGUAAAUGAACAUAAACUAUAACUAUUAUAGUUUAUCAAGAUGUUUGAAAUGUAUAAGCAACCUAACUAUACCUAUUAUAGUUUAGUAUGUUUGUCUGUGGUGUAUAAGAACCCUUUCCUAUGUAAGUCGAAUGUAUAGCAAAAUAUAACUAUGUUUAUCUUGCUUUGUUUUGUACUAAUGGUAAUGAUGGAGGAUUCUUACAAUUCAGUGAGUAUUUUCUGUUAUAUAAUUAUACCACAACAAGAAACACAUGUAAAAUAUGAAGUCAUCAAAGAUUUAACACUUUGCUGAACAUGUUACAAAGUGUGUUGAAAGUUAUAAACUGUUAACAAAUUUUUAACCUUUCUGCACUGUUUUAGAAAGAUCAUAGAAAAAUCAUACGAAGUCGAAAACUGAAUCCAUAAAUUCUGAGAGUUCCUAAAAUGUGUCUAGUUAUUCAUAAUUUUUAGCAUGAUUUUCGGAAGCCUUUAACUUGUGUUAAAAUGUUCAUAUUCACAGCCUGGUCCAGAUUUUUUCAUGAAAUGAUAGGCUGUUUUCAAAAAUCACCAUAAAUUGUAGAAAAAUCGUGUGGAGAUGUGAAAGUAGUCAUUUUAAAGCUAAUAACUGGAACUACUCACACCUAAAACAGUGUUAAAAACUAAAAUGUUUAAGUUGCCCAAAACAGUCCGUGAAUGGAGUUGAACUUGUCUGAUGAAGGCUGUUAAAUGAGUUUAGUUGUGUUCUUGGUGUUUUAACUUGUAUUCCCCUCCCCCCACCCCCCUUAAAACUUAAUAAAACAUGAAAAUGUAGGGGUAUGAACUCACCUUAUAUGAUUUCAGUGGGUGAAUGUUGAAGAAAUGAAGUGUUCAACUCAAGAACACUUGAAGGAUCACUUGAAGAUUUGAGAAUCUAACACACAAAUGAUGGAGUUUGUGUGAGGAAUCAUUGAUUUGAUUGAAAAGGGAAUGUAAUAACCAUAAGGAGAGUGAUGAUACUUACCAAAUGAAGAUGGAAAGCUUGAAAAAUGACUUGGAAAUCUUGAAUUUGUAUGAGAGAUUUUGAGAGAAGAGAUGUGUUUGAUCUUUGGUGGGAAUGAAAGAAAUGAGUGAGAAUGAGGAGAGAGGGUGGGUUUUUAGCUCUUGACCAAGAGUAUGGAUGGUCAAAUGGUGGGGAAGUGCCCUUGAAUGACCAGGUAGGGUGGGGAGGACAAUGGUUGGUCAUGGAGUGGGUAUGGGGGUGGUUGCUUGUGUCAUAAAUCAAAGAUAAGUCAACACUUCACCACAAGAUCUCCUUUAAUAGAUUUUAUUCUAAAAUAAAAAUUUUCAUAAAAAUAUGUUUAUAUUAUGAAUAUUUAGGGUCUUAUAUGUUAAAAUAUGAUUUUUGGAGAAAAUCCCACGUUAAAAUANNNNNNNNNNNNNNNNNNNNNNNNNNNNNNNNNNNNNNNNNNNNNNNNNNNNNNNNNNNNNNNNNNNNNNNNNNNNNNNNNNNNNNNNNNNNNNNNNNNNNNNNNNNNNNNNNNNNNNNNNNNNNNNNNNNNNNNNNNNNNNNNNNNNNNNNNNNNNNNNNNNNNNNNNNNNNNNNNNNNNNNNNNNNNNNNNNNNNNNNNNNNNNNNNNNNNNNNNNNNNNNNNNNNNNNNNNNNNNNNNNNNNNNNNNNNNNNNNNNNNNNCUGCGGUCAGCUUGUUGCGGCUGCACCCUGGGGCUUCGGUCCUAGCUACUUCCGGUCCAAGAGGGUCCGACCCUAAGAGGCUUCGACCCUAUAAAGGGGAUUUCGGGUCCUUUAAGGUAUUUUCUCCAUUCUAACUCCAUUUUAAGCGGUUUUUGACCCGGUUAAGGGUCGGGAUGGCCCGAAAGACUACAAAAUGUUUAAGGAACUUUUGAGAGAGAUUUGGGAGAGAUUUCACAUACUUGGAGAGAUUUCUCAUAUGGAGAGAGAUUUGGGAGAUAUUUGACAUACUUGGAGAGAUUUCUCAUACAAAGAGAGAUUUGGGAGAGAUUUCACAUACUUAGAGAGAUUUCUCAUAUGGAGAGAGAUUCGGGAGAGAUUUGACAUACUUGGAGAGAUUUCUCAUACAAAGAGAGAUUUGACAUACUUGGAGAGAUUUCAGAUAAAGAGAGAUGAGUGAAAACGAUUGAGAGAGGUUUCGUGUGUGACAUUUGUGAGUGUUUGGCUCCGCAACGCAAGGUCCGUAAGCCCCGUUAAGCCAUGUUGAAGGAUCUUACACACUCCCGAUGAGUAUGCAACAUUGUUUUAUCGGUUUGGUUCUUUACUUAUCGUCGUUUUAGGUUAAUGAAAUCUAGAUAUACGAACUUUUCCAUUGGUGAUUUCUCAUUAGAAUAGUGAGUUGUUUAGUAAUUACAUAACGUAAACCCUAGCAUACAAGGGUUAACUGAGUUGACCAGUUUGACUUGUUAACUUUAGUUGACUUUGACUCGACCGGAAAUUAACGGUUGUCACAUUCCUCUUCUUCCAGGUCCACCACUGGCUCAGCAGGUCCGCCCUUGACUUCUGCCUCGGGUUCCCCUUCCGAUUCUUCCUCGGGGUCGUCUUCAGGUUCCUUUUCGGACUCCUCCAACCUCCCAUUAUUCCCCUGAUCUGGGAAAUACGGAUCUCCGGGGUGAUGGAAACCGGCCAUGCUAUCUGCGAGAGUGUAUAAAUAUGCUAAUAUUACUCCUAAGAUGUUUUAACUAUUGUAUAAAUCGAGUUGAUGUUCUCUUCUUGGUAAUAAAGGGGUAUGUUUUUAGGUUUACCUACCAUCGCGGUUUCCUCGGGGCAUGUGAUUGUACAAGUACGGGUGUUUUAUCGUUGUUUUUUAUUUCUUUUGUUUUGUUCAGAGUUGCUUUGUCCCUUUUUGGUUUAUAGUUUCAUCUCAAUGUGUUGUUAGAUAUGCUAGUUCACCAUAAACAGUGCUCUGAUACCAACCUGUCAUACCCCCUAACCAGACGGCGGAAACGUCUGAGGGUUCACGUGACUAAAUUUGAAUAUCAUCACAAUGAAUAUACAUGAAUCAUAACAUAAACAUCACCAUGCAUCAAUAUAUUACAAUUGACGUUGUUUACAUCAAGUACAUUGUUUUAACAUUACAAUCCAUAACAUAAAAUGUUCGAUAGUUUUCAAAAGCACAACACACUAACAUACUUGGUACUACUCCUCUGCUUACCUGUUACCUGAGAAUACAGAUUAUUUUGAAAAACGGUCAAAAUAUGGAAUGUUGGUGAGUUCAUAAGUAGGUUUGAUGUGAAAUUGUUUUGUGUAGUUUGAAAGAAAACAACCCAGAAAAUCCGAUAUUUUCUGAAAAGACCAUUUUUAUAUAAAAGUGUGGAGAUCCGUAAGUAUAUGCAUGAUGAUUUCAAAACGUGUAUAAUUGAAAAACUUUGUAUUAAAAGUACCAGUGAAAAAUGUUGAACUUCCCCGGAAAACCCGAUGUUUUCCGAAAAUAAAAAUAUCAUAUAACAGUUCGAAUUGUUAUCCCAUCACGUGAGUGAUUUUGACUUACCUUGAUUACUUGAUUUAUACUGGAUUUAUUUAUGUGAGUCGUUAUAACCAUGCAUGAUAAUGACUAGUUCGUCUGUCUUGGCACUCUGGUGAACGCCGAAAUUCAUCUUAAGAUUUGGUCACCCUAGACUGGCCGAGUCUAACUGUAGCAAACAGCUGAGGUGUGGGGGAGUCACCCCCGUAUAGAUCUAUAGACAAACUCUCACUCUCCCUCUAGGAGACUUUGAUUAUAACUACAGACUACGACCGACACACGUUGGUGCCACCCAUUAUUACUCACUAAAUCCCAAUUGACUUUGAUUACUAUUGAUUAUCGACCCGUAUUUGCUUACUAGGAUUAACGAUAGGCCUAAUAAACGAGGAGAAGAGGAUUACAAGAUCCUACUAUUCUCGCGUAUUAUUUAUGGCUAUUGAUUAUACGAAGGACACGCUGACUCAUUUCGCAUUUGAUUUACUUGGACCUUACUAGCAAUGCUAACGGGCCACUAAGGCCCAAUAGCACUUAAAAGCCAUUGAGGGUCCCUUAAAUAUGAAAUUGGGUCAUAGAAGGCCUAAUAACAUUUAUAAUUAUCCCUUGGGCCCAAAAAUCAUGUUAAUGGGUCACAAAGGCCCAAUAAGCAUGUUUGGAACUUUCAAGCCCAAAGAAUUUAAUGUUUACUUAUUUUAGGAAUUGUAUAAUUGUUGGAAGGUUUGAUUGAACGAUUGUUAUUUUUUGUAUCGACACGAGACCGGUCGAUUUGUUUAUAACGAUAUUUGGAUUAUACGUAUAUUCAUCUCUCUAUUUUCAUGAGUUGUGACUUUUGGUAUUUUUGACUCAAACAUCUUAGAAAUAAAAUAAUUGGUUCAAAAUGUUGGUUUGACCCCUUUUAGCCCUUCUUAAUAAAAAUAACCAUUUUUGGUCCUUUAUACAAAAAAAAAAAAGACUUUUUAAGCCCUUAAAGCAUUUUCUUGACACAUUUGACCUAUAGGCUUACUCAAUUGAUAUUUUUAGCUCAAAACUUAUUCUUUGGCAAUUUCAACCCUUCCAGAAAAGUGAUUUUCGGUUAAAGCCCAAACUUUUGCAACUCUUACAAUUUUGGCCCUAAAUCCAAAAAAAGUUUACAUUUUUGAUCCUUGUUUGGAAAAUACAUCAUUUUGACCCCUGAAAUAGUUUUGUUUACCCUUUUUACCCCCUAUUUUGAGAAUUUUAUCAUUUCACCCCCUUGAAAGUUGAAAUUUUCGCAAGUCAUGGCUUAAUGGGCCGAAAAGCCCAAAAAUUUGGCCCAUUAAGCUACAAUUUAUACUUCUAACCCUUAAAAGAGUAUGGUAUCCAUAAAAAUAUUUAUUUUUACUGAUUUGACUCUUUUAGUCCUUCAGAAAAACCGUGAAUGGCAAUUUUAACCCAACUUUUGUUUAUUUGACAAUUUAAGCCCAAAAAUUGUUUUAUGUUGCAAUAUGUUGAUUUAAAUCUUAGGGGAUACUUUUCUUGACUUGUUUAGUGUAGUAUACAUUAGAUCAAGUUUGCUUUCCUUCUUAUGUCAUAGAUCUCGAUAUUUCUUUCCUUUUGUUUACAUAUUCAACAGAUAAGCACAUAAAUUCACACAUACAUACAUGAAACCAUACAUAGCAUACACAUACACAUAGAUCUACAUAUUUUACUUAUAUUCUCCCACAUAAAACUUGUAAAAACCGAAAAAAGAGGGGUAUGAACUCACCUUGCUUAGUUGAUCUCGGUUUGAAGAAGAAAUGGGAAGAGUUUGAUGCUAUUUUUCGGCCCUAUCAAGCUUUCUUGGGUUGAUUUCGAACUAAGAGCUUCUAAAGAUUAGAUCAUGAGAAUUGUGUGUGUUAGGAAGAAGUUUUGAUGAAGGAAAGAGUCUAGGUUAUGGAACUAAACAAUAACUUACCAAUGAUGAUGAUUAUUAUGGAAUAACCUUCUUGAAAAGCCCUAGAUCUCGAAAUUUUGGUGGAGGGUAAGAAGAUCUUCUUGAAGACUUAGAUAGAGUUUGAAAGAAGUUUGAAGGUGUGUGUGUGUGUGUGUGUGUUUCCUCUUGCUCUUGGCUGAAUAAGAAAAAGAGAGGGGGAGAAAAGAGAGAGAGUUGAAUGGAUGUAUGGGAUUGAGUAUUGUUUAGUGUAUAGUUUUCAUGGAUUACCUCCAUGUAUUAGUGAGGUGGCAUGGCUUGUAUAAUUAGCCAUUUCCCCCUUUUUUUUUCUUCUUGGGCCGAGAAAGAGAGAAGAAGGAAUGAUUUUGGGCUAUUUUGUGCUUAAGUCCAUGUUAGGGGCCCACUUUGAUGAUUUUCGGCCCAAUUGGUCUUUGGAGGUGAUUCACGGCCCAAUAUAUUUCAACGAAUGAGUUUUAUGGCUCAUUAGGUUAAUUAGAUUUGUUAUGGCCCCAUAAGUUCCAUUAGGGUAUUUUAUUUCAUUCUAGACCCAAUAUGGCCCAAAAUGUUAAAAUAAAUAGAAGUGGGUCCAAUUAGAGCCCAUUUAAGAGUUCUAAGCCCAAAACAAUCAAAUUAGAAGCUUAUUGGCCCAUUAGGCCCAAUAAGGAAAUCCUAGUCCAUAAUGGACUUAAACCGGGAUUUCUAGGGCUUCCAAUUCUUUGUUGACUAUUUGAAGUGCUUGCAUAGAGCGUUUGAUGGAAAUUUUGUUGUUAUUGAAUAAGCAUCAUACAUGCUUUCACAUUUUUGGUUCACAAAUGUUAUCAUUGUUGUUGUUACAUGGUAUAGAAUUCCUAGUUGUGACAUUCAUCAUUUAAUUCUUACCGUUUCCAAAUAUUCUUAAGAACCCUAAAGGCAAUCUCUGCUUACUGCUCAUCUUCUUCUUUGCUCAACAACAAUGGCUCUUUUUUCGUCAUCAAAUGAACAGUUUGCUCAAUCAUCUGUCCUCACCAUCAAACAAAAUCAAAACCUGAUUAUAGACUCGAAUCCAGUCAAGUGAGACGCAUAGAUGUUAACGAUUAUCGAACGCCUAAAGUACUCACCUUUGGUAACCGCUCUAAUCAAGUUCAAGAGUGUUCCGAUGUUGCUACUAUCCAAAGUUUAUUCUUCAGUAGCCUACAUCAAAGAGGCGGAACGGAUUACCUUUGACAUAUUUGAGAAGAAAACUUCAAUUUCGAAGGCUAGGUUUUGCUCACUUCUAGGGCUUACUUUGGUCGAUUCAAUGGUGAACCCAGACUCAAUCUCUACUGCUCAAAUCGUGGAAAUGUUUUAUCAGAUGGGGUACACGAAACUUAUACCCGCCAUCUCCAAGUUUAGAAAACCUAACCUUCCUCUUCAAUGGAACGAUCUCUUUACCUUACUCUGUAAGGGUUUCUCUGAAAUGGUAACUGGGCCUGAUCGUGCAAGUAAGUUGUUCAUGACCAUCAUCUAUGGUCUCUAUCUUGGCAUCAGCCUGGACUAUGGUUCUGUUUUAUGGGUUUAGCUAGUGCAAAGCACUAAUUCCACUAGUCGACACAUUGAGAUUUCAUGUGCUCGAUUUUGGACCAUCGUGGUGCAGCGAGUAAUUGACAAACUCAACAUUCCAAUCAUUGCAGACUCUCUGAUGUCUUUAAUCUCCACGUUUCACACCAAAAAGAUCAUCAUUGAUGAUACCUCCAUGUUUUCAUUUGUGGGAUCAAUUCCUGAAUCCAUGUACAGGUGUGUGUCUGGUGCAAGCAAAAUCAUUGGGGAAUACAAGAAGCUUCAAGGUUCGGGUCCAAGGGCUAUCACUCCCGAGAUGCAGCAAAAUCUUGAUGUAGUUGAUAAGGUCAAGAAAAGAGGAAAACCAAAGCAACCAAAAGAGGGUCCAUCUGCCCUAGUUCAGACUCCAAAAAGAAAAAGGCAAAAGGCGAUUCUUCCAAGUCUACUCCAUCUUCUCCCAAACGAAGGCGAGUCAAGAAGCCCGCUCGUAAGGUUCACAUCCCUUCUUCAACUUCCUCUGAAAACGAAUCUAAUGGUGCUCAUCCAAGUGAAGCUGAGGAGGAUGUCAACCAAAACGGCCCAGAGGUAAAUCUCUCUAUUACAUCCCCUCCACCAUCACCUACUUCCACAUCAAUUCCUAUCACAAUUGCACCUUCCCACCUCCUUUUAUCCAGUUAACCACUUACUUCUAUUCCACUACAAAACCCUAUUUUUACUAAAACAACAACCACUACGACUACCACAACAGGUGAACCUUUUGUUGAUGUCAACACAUCUCAUGCGGAGGCAAAGACUUCGGGUUUUGAAACCUUUUCUACAACACCUCCCACUUCUUAAACUCAAGAUGACUCCGACAACCCUCUCAGUGUUGAUGGGCUCGACUUUGAUACUUUUCACUCUAGUGCAUUCUCAGGGCACUUAUUGAAAAGUUGGAAUCUCUCAUUGCUUCAUCUACUACCUCUUCAAGCCAAGCAUAUUCCGAAGCAGUCGAUAAGGGUAUGCUCGAUACUCUUGUGAAAGAGCAUGCUGCUAAUCUUGAAAAAGAAAACAAAGCAGUUGAAAACUCCACUCUUUCCUGUCGGCAAGUGACCGAAAAAUUAGAUAAACUAAUCUCAGAAAUGAAAGCUUUUAUGACAGAGAUCAAUACCGCAGCUGAAUCGAAUGCCUUCGAAGCGAAUGAUGUGAUUACGAACUUUAACACUUCGCUUCACAAAGUAAGGAGAAUCUGGAGAAGCUUUGUACAAAUAUCACUACUGAAAACACAACAUUUCAAACUUCGAUUUUCUCAAGGCUUAGCAAGUUCCAAGAAGACCUAGCUGUUGAAAGUAAGAUAAUGGACGAACAUGCUCUCCGAACUACUCAACUCAAAUCUCAGUCCAUCAAGCUCAAGCACGCGAAUAAAGAAAUUGAGGAUCUUAAAAUUAAACGAACAAUUCUAUAACGAUGCGUGGGAGAUGUGAAUACGUUACUCUCCAAUCUUCUUGAAGCGCAUGAUACUAUUAUGACCAUUAGCAUUUGCAGACACUUGGCAGAUAAGCUUCGUCCAUCUCUCACUGUUCUUAAUAGGAUUGAAGGUGUUUCUGAGGGCUCUGUCCCUCCGGAACAAGGGGGAGAAGAUGAAGUUACUAAGACGGGGGAAACACAAAUACGAACCGAAGGGUAAUGUAGCUUCAGGUUCGAAAGGAAAGAAACCAAUGGAGGAUGAUUAUGAAGAAGAAGAAACUGAAGAAGAUCAACUGAAAAGAAAGGCUCACGAUCAUGAGUUAAAUGAAAAUUCAUGAAUUGCGAGAGAAGCCGAAGAGAAGGUGAGAAAAGAAAAAGAAUUCUCAAUUCGACAUGCCUAUAACACGAAAAGCUUUCAUCUUUCAUUGUUUUGAAUCUAUUGCAAUUGUUCCCUAUCAUGAUACAAAAGUGGAUAAAUCCUUAAUUGACUUUUAUCUCAAUCAUGGCAAACCUCAGUAUCUAACCUGGAGUGCUCAGAAGAUAACUACAUUCAAAGUUUCAGGGCCAAUCGUUACAGGAGGUUUGUAAAUGCGAAGUUCAAGGUAACAAGAGGUUCUGAAAAAUGUUUUGUACGAAUUCACUUUUGCUAAUCUGCCCAAUCUCAAUCCUCAUGAUUGGAUUUUGUUGGUUAAUUUUUUGCUGAUUGAAGAACAAAAGUACAAACCCAUUCUGGCUCACAUAAAGCGAAUGUUGGUUUCGUAUAUAUAUGAAGUGGCGAAGCUUGACACCGAAAUUGUUGUUGUUUUGAAACAAAAUCCUACUGUCAAUCCGAUUGGAAGAGCAAGUGAGAUGAGUGAAAUGCGAAUGGGUAAAAUUGAUUUGGAGCACUAUAUUGCAAUGUUCCAACGUGGAAAAGAUGCUUCUAGAUAAUUUCAAAAAUUUCUUUUUGCAUUGUUUGAUAAACCUUUGUUCUCCACAUCUUGUUCGGAACAUAUUUUGGAGAUUCUCAAUAAGUAUAAAUCAAAUGAUGUUCCUACGACGAAGAACUUCAAUGAUAUAAUUCGGUGGUAUAUCGUCUUCUGCAGUACUUUACUCGCUGUGUUUCCUAAGCUUUUCAAGACGAUCAAGAAGACUCAACAGUAAAGCACCACUCGCCCCAAUUGAUACAAAAGGGAGAUUGUUGGGUUUUUGGCGUUGCAUCAUUGGGCUUUUUUUUAUUUUGUCCAAUAUGUAUACGGUUUCGGCCUGUCCAGCCAUCUUAUUAAUUAGGGUUUACGUAUUUAUAGUGCAUGCAUGCACCGUAGGAGGUUAACGGUUUUAUCUUUGGAAGUCUUUGUAAACUCUAAUCAAGCCUCUAUAGUUGAAAUUAUUCAUCGAGUUAAACUGAGGUGCGACUUUUAAUUAUUCGACAUCUGUUUGAUUAUCAUUGUGUUUUUGCAUUAUCUGUUUGAAUCUUAUCGAUCUUUUAAAUUUUAAUCUCAUCACUUCUUUCUUCCCUCGGACUGAAAGCUCGCACCAUAAACGGUCUACGGCCGAUAACCCUCGGACCGCAAACACGCGCGCCUGGUUCUAGAAACCUUAUCUUCUCGGAAGGAGUUCCCAAUCGAGAACCCUCGCGUCGGUUUGACUUUCUAGCCGCAAACCUCGCCUCGGUUUGUGUUUUCAUCCGAGAACUCGCAUAUAUAUAUAUAUGAGGUCCGAAAUCUUCCUUCAUGCUUACACAUUUAGCCGAAAACUACCCUUUUCUCUCAAAGAAUCUGACUGAAAACUCCUUCCUCUUUCCUCUCAAGAACAUGCGAAGCCUCUUACCCUCUUGAUCUUCAUGCGAAAAUCCUUUAUAUCUUCUUAAACAUCUUGCAAAUAUCAUCCAUUGAUCUUGUUAUCUUUCCAUAAAAACCUUGCAAUCUUCUUAUUUUGGGUAGAAAACACUAAAAUACAUUCGUUUUCACGAAGAACACGAAUGUCACACCCCGAACCGGAGAUACAGAAGAAACGUCCGGGGGUUAGGUGACUUCAUCUUGUAAUAUCGUCACAGUGUAUAUAAUUGAAACAAGAAAACAUCAUCAUCACACAUCCAAUAAUACAACAAAACAUGGUUUACAUCAUUGUAAUUGUUUAUAAAAGUUACAUCCCAAAAACAUAAAGUGUAUGAAAGCAAACAAAUCUAGCAAAAAUCCACAUGUUCUUGAAGUCCACCUGCUUAACGAUUCGUUGAGAAUACAAGUUAUUUUGAAAACAUAGACAUGUUUAAAUAAAAAGUUUGUAUUGCUUUGUAAACAAUUGAAAAUAUGAUAUUUUCUGUAAAAAUCGUUUCAAAGUUUUGUGUCCAAUCCUAUAUUAAUGCAUGUGUGUAACUGUUGAAAAUGUAUAACGUGAGUAUUCCAAAAAAUCUUAUAUUUUUUGUUGUAAGUAGAAGUUUUGGUAUAAUUGUAUGUUUUCCUAGAAAAUCCGAUAUUUUUUGUUUAUAAAAAAAUGUUGUGGUCUUAAAACCCUAAGACCGAGUAUCAAUGUAUGUAUGUUUUUGUAUCGUUAAAACCGUAUGUGUAUUCCGUAAAUUUUAAAUGGACUUAGUCUCCAUGUGAGUUGUUAUAACCAUACUUGAUAAUAACUGAUCCGCUUAUUAUGACGUUUUUCAGGCACCGAGUUGUUUAAGGUAAGGUUUGUCACCUUAGACUGACCUAGUCUAACUGUAGCGAACAACUCAGGUGUGGGAUGUCACGCCCGUAUAGAUCUAUAAACAAACUCUCGCUCUCACUCCAGGAGACUCUGGUUAUAACUACAGGCUACGGUUGUACACUAGAUAGGUACAAACAAAUGAAAUGUCUCAUAAGAGUCUUAACUGAAUUUACGCGUAUACUAUAUUACAUUAUGUACGUAAUAGAUAAUGUUUUCCAUGUAUGUUUUAAGUUUACAAGGUCCAACGAGUUUGCAUGUGAACCACAAAAUCCCAAUAAACAUGCAAUCUAUAUUACAGGCCCAAUAAACAUGUAAAAGGCCAACUAAGGCCAACUAAACAUGUAAAUUAUAUUUCAGGCCCAAUAGUAGUGAAAAUGUUGUGUUUAGCCAGUUUAUUAUUACUUUGUUUGUUUUACCCCAAUUAUUUGCCAAAAUGACACAAAAAGCCUGCUUUUUCUAAUAAUUACAUUUUUGGUCCAUUAGACUAAAAAUUUACUAGUUAGGCACAAUAUUAGUAAAAAUAACACUUAGGUCCCUUAAGACCAAUACUUUACAUCCUAGGGCUUGUUUUAAGUAAUAUAACUUUUUUGGCCUACUUUUGUUAGAAAUAUCAUUUUCGGCCCAAUUUUAUGAAAGUUGGCAUUUUCGGCCCAAAUGCAUAGAAAUUAACCUUUUUGGCCCAAGUUUAAUAAAAUUUUCAUUUUCAACCCAUUUAACAAAUUUUACAUUUUUGGCUCACAUUUAUUAAAAAUAACAAUUUAACCCACAAAAGUCCAAAAAGUUACACAUUAGGCCCAUGAGUCGUGAAGGCCCAAUUUACACUUUUGGUCCUUUUAAUACCAUGAAUAUCAUAAAGACACAUCUUUAAUUAAAAAUGACCCUUUUUGUCCUUUUAAAAACCAUGGGUUAGCAUAAGAAUCAUACUUUCUGUUUAUGUUGCCAAAAAUGGCCCUUUUCAUUAUUUUUGUUAGUUUUUCAAGCAUCCUUAACAUGUUUGAUCCCUUCAUCUUCAUGAUAAGUUGCAUAAAAGGUUUUAUUUUACAAACAUCACCAUAUUUGAAUAGAUAUCUUGAAGUUUAGGAAGUUUCAACACAUAAUCACAACAUAUAUCAUGGAAAACACACACAAAUAUUCAUAUAUGCAUAGAUCUAACACAAGCAACUUGUAUCCUCCCUUGAAAUGUAGUAAAAACCAAAAAUAAGGGGUAUAAACUCACAUUAGGGUGUUGGAUUCGGUUUUGGUGUAUAGUUGGAAGGAGUUUUCAACCUAGCUUAUUUCUUGAGGAGAGUUUUCGAGUCUAAGAUGGUUCUAGGAGCAUAAAUCACGAAAUAAGAGUGUUAAAAGAAAUAAGUUUAACAUAAACAUGAAGUUAAACUUCUUGAGUGGAAGUAGCUUACCAAGAUGAUCGUAUUUGAUGAAGUUUUCUUGAGGCACACACAAAAAUUUAGAGGGGGAAAAGUGAGAAUUUCUUGAGGCCUUAGAGAGAAUUUUUGUGUGUUUGAAGUUUGAAUGGAGAGUGGAGGAAGGAGAGGGGGCCGAGAAUAAGGAGAGAAGGGAAGGAGUGAGAAGACAUUGCAUAGAAGUAUGAGAUUUAUUUGUUGUAUGUUAUGUAUUGCAUGUAUAUUCACCAUGUAAACAUGAGGUAUCUCUAUGAUAUUAUCCCAUCUUUUCUUUCUUUCUUUUUUGUGUAUAAGGCCGAGAUUGAGAGGGAAAGAAAGAAAGAGUGUUUUGGGCUUGUUCAUGCUUUGGCCCAUUAGGGAGUUUUGAUCCAUGUUGGACCAAAUAGGUGUUUAUGGCUCAUCAUGACAAAAAGAAUGGGUUUUCAACCAUUGAGGUUCAAUGAAGUUGUUUAUGGCCCAAUAAGGCCCAUGAAAGCAAUGUGAGACAUUUUAGGUCCAAUAAGGCCCAUAAAAAGUCUUAUGGUCCAAAAUGUUAUAAUUUAAUGAAUAUGGGUCCAUUUAGGGCCCAAAUGAGGAUUCUUAGCCCAAAUUACUCAAGUUGUGGGUUUAUUGGCCCAACAGGCCCAAUAAAAGGAUUCUUGUCCAAUCUGAGUUUGAACCGGAACAUUAGGGUUACAAAUUCAAAGUUGAGUGUAUGAAAUGUACUGAAUUAGGUUUAGGGUUUCACGGAUGAGUUUUGAUUAAAAUAGUUGUUUUCGGGAUAAGUAUGUUGUAUAAUUUCAACCUAGUGUUACAAGCUACAACAAGAGUUGAUUACAUAUAAUCAUAAUUUCCUAGCCAAAAAUGUUGGUUGGGAUAGGGAAGAACACGAAGAACACCCACACACUAUUCUACGGAUUAUUGACUCGGUAUUGUCACAAGUUCUAACUUGGGGAUCUACACAAAUAGUCGAGAACUCAACCAAAAUGUGAGUUCAUACCCCUACNNNNNNNNNNNNNNNNNNNNNNNNNNNNNNNNNNNNNNNNNNNNNNNNNNNNNNNNNNNNNNNNNNNNNNNNNNNNNNNNNNNNNNNNNNNNNNNNNNNNNNNNNNNNNNNNNNNNNNNNNNNNNNNNNNNNNNNNNNNNNNNNNNNNUAUAUAUAUAUAUAUAUAGAAUUUGGAAUCAAAAGAUUUAGAAUAUAUAAUUUGACCCCAUUUCCUGUUCCAUGUUUGGUUAUGGGCUUAGGGUAAAGUUAUUUAUUCUGAUGUCUAAUUAAUCACAAUUAUACAAAUAUUAUAUUUAUAUAAGUAUAAAAUGGUUUUCAAACUUGGUAAACAGAAACAUAAUUUUUGCAAACUUUUUUAGUACUAUUUGAAUAUAAAAGUGGAUUUCAAGUAACAAUAGUAUUACAAACAUAUAAACUAUAAUAGGUAUAGUUUAUGGAACUUAUUCAUUGAUUUCAAGGUUCAGAUUAGAAAACAGAAAACAAACAAAGUACAUUAUAGAAAACAAACAGAGUACAUUACUGAAAAUAAACAUAUAAACUAUAUUAAAUAUAGUUUAUGAAACUUACUUACAGUGUAUUUAUUACAAAGUAACUUUUCAUUAUUCUACGUGUAAUAACCAAUAUAGAAUUUGUGAGACAACCUUCAAUUACUUUUCUAAGUACCUACCAAGUCCUAAAAUUAUAACCAGAGUCUCCUAGAGGGAGAGUGUGACACUUGUGUAUAGAUCUAUACGGGACUGACAAUCCCGUACUAGAGCUACUUGCAACAGGUAGGUCGGCAGACCUGUGGUGAAAAACAUCCUACUGAUUACGACGCCUGAAGAAUGUCGUGGUCAGGCCAUCUUAGGUCAACAAACAUGGCUAUAAUAACUCACAAUUUGGUAUUGAACACAAUGAUUAGUGUAUGAAUAAGUAAACAACUUCACAUAGUUUUAUUUAAUAAUAAAACUAUAAUACCACAUUUUACAAGUAUAAGUACAAAAUACUAUUUUAGUACAGAGAGAACAUACUUUUGAUGGUUUUAUGUGAAAUAAACUACAUUUUACAACUUCAGAGUACAAUACAUUCACACAUUGUAUACUACAACAGAAAAUAUAGGAUUUUCUGGGAAAAACAUGUUUACAUUAUCAAAGAAUAAGAAAACAUAUUUAAGUUACAAACAUACUGAUGAACUCACCAACUUAAUUGUUGACACCUUUUCAAAACUACUUGUAUUCUCAGGGAAUCAGUAGACAGGUACACACCUGGAUUUUUGAGAAGACAAUGCUCUAUUGACUCAUGUCUUUUAACUUGUACCUUUUGGUGUCAAUAUACAAUGUUUUGAAUAGAUAUGUAAAAUUUAUAACAUUUUUAAUAUAAUGGUUGUGGUACUUUGAUUACUAUUAUGCAUUGUUGUGAUACUGUACAUGACGUCCUCCGCCCGUAAACGUUUCUGCCGUUCCGGUUUAGGGGUGUGACAUGAUUGGAUUUAAAUUUGUACUUGACUAAUAUCUGGAUAUUCAAACAUGUGUAUGAAUAAGAUGUAAUCUCCUCUGAAUAUGAGACAUCACUUUUGUGUUGAACAUUGUUGUGUUCUAUAUUAGCAUGUUAUUCAAUCCUUGAAUAAUGUAAUUAUUCAAAAUUUUUCUAUAGUCAAUCACUGUUGCGGGAGCAACUGUGAAUUAAGACUAAUAUGAAUCUACUUUGUUGAUUUCAAGAGGUGAAAUAGCAAAGUAUUGCAUCCAAAUUCAUAUGUACUUGUUAGAGAACAACUAUUGGAUAUGACACGCAUCAAGAAUCACUUCAUGGAUCGAUAUCAUAAGUGAAUAUUGAUCACAUGUAAAUAUUUUUUAUGUCUUUCAACCUGAGAUGCAUAUUCAAGAACUCAAGUAUGAAGAUUGUUAUACUUUGAAAUGGUUAAACACUGUUCGUAACCGUGAAGUUAUAAAAGCCUUUGUCGGGUACAACAAACUAUAUGAGAGUACGCAUGUGGUCAAGAUGGGAUUUGUUCCUUUUAUGUGUUGAGAGUUAGACAUCUAAGACGCCUUUCUUAAAAGUUAGAUGUAAAAUGAGAAUGAUCAUGUUCCAUGUCUCAUAUCCAACAUGAUGUCUGUAGCAAAGAGAAUAUUGAUACACUUACCUUAUAAUUCAAUUGUAGCUAGUGAGCUCUAGGAAUUGGAUGUUGAUUGAUGGCACCCCUUCGUGUGUUAUUAGGGGUAAUAUCCCGUUGCUAGACGUCAGCUACUGUCUAUGUCAGUCUUUAAUUGAAUCUUGUGCAAGUGGGAGAGUUUUGGAUCUAUAUGCCUAAGAAUCAUUAUUAAGUGGCAUUGCUAAUAACAUAUGAUCCUACAGGGUCACACCUUAAUCAAGUUGGUACUUAUUCAAUAUUUAUUAUGUAUUUGAUCUUAAAAAAGUAAUUCAACUAUUGUAUUUAAUUAGAGAAAAUUUAUUGUUCUAUGAAAACAAUGUUGUAAGAAGUAGAAAAAUAGCAUUUAUAUGAUAAGGUAUCAUAAAAUAAGUCAUGUAAAAAGUUUUGGACACUUUGAUUAACCAUGAUUAAAUCAAGGGCUUACUCUACCAUGGUUAAAGGACAAAGGAAUGAAUUUUUUAUUCAAAAGGCCAUAUGGCCAAAAACGGGUAAGAAGCAUGGAUGUUGCUUGUUAACCUCCAUGAUAAUGUCCCACAUGCCUUAAUUUAUAGCCCAUACUUUUGAAUAUAAUAUUCAAAAAGCCAUGCUUGGAUGAGGUUAUAAAUAGAGGGUCUUAUGUGUGAAGAUAUUACAACUUGUUGGUCAAAAAUCUUAUUGCUCUUCUCUCUCAAAACCAUGAGCUUCAAGAGCUUAGAGCUCUUUCCUCUUUUGAAGAUAUUACAAGCUUUUGGUGUUUACUUUGUGUCUUUCUUUUGGUGCUUAAUUGUUUAAGCACUUAAGGAUUCAAGAACAAAGUUGUACAAGAAGAAAUCUAGCAAUUUUGGUACCUUACUCUUGUUGGUGGAUUACUUGUUGAGAAGAUCAAGCUCCUUGUUCUUGCCAUCUACUUCAACAACCCAAAUCCAAGAGGGUCCAAAGGAUACAAAGGUUAUAUUUUCUAAGCACCCUAUGGUUAUAAUAUCAAUCUAAUCUCUUUAAAAGGAUCAUUGAUGGUUUGUUUUGUUGCUAGACUUGAAAUUUAUAAAAAAAUUUUAAAGCUUUCAUUGCCGACUUUUUGUGAAAAACUAUUUAUUUUAUGUAACAAAAUCCCUUCAAGUUAUUGGGAUCCUUUGAAGAAGAGAUGGUUGUUUGAAGAAUAAAGAAGAUGAAUAAGGGUGGCAUAAAUGGAGAAGAUAAACUUUUAGGGUUUUUGGUAUUCUUUCUUUGAUACCAUAAAAUCCAUUUUAUUUUCCUUGAUUCACAAUGAUAAAAUUGGUGUCAAUAUGUACAAAGAGCCUAUCUAUAUUUACGUGAUUUUUGUCAACAAUAAAUUUGUAUAAUUUACUUUCUAUAAGAAACCUUCAUCCUAUUGAGAAAGGGAAUAAUCGGCUAUAAUGGGGUCACCACCCUGUUUCUAUAAAAAAAUGCCCUGAUUUUUCCAAAACAACUGGGACGAUCCCCUUUUUUGCUAAAGGCUCUAAUUGCGUGAUUGUUUGAUGGCAUUACUAGUAUAUUGAUUGAUCAAUGUUUGUUACAUCUCGAAGAUGAAAAGAAAUAUUAUAUUAUUUGUUGUCUUUAUCGAAAAAAUGUUUCAAAUAUACAUGUGGAUAUGAUAUGCUAAUUUACGUGGCGCACAUGUUCAGAAAAUACUGAAAAUCAAGAUAAUUUGCUCCACCCAUUUAACAAUGUUUUAUCAACUCCUUCAAGUUCGUUGCCCUAAUCUCAUUAUAUUGCAAUCGAUAGGCCUAGGAGGGUUAUUAGGCCUCAUAGUAGGUUCACUAAUGUUGAUAAUUUAGUAGCUUAUGUUUACUUAGUUGCCAAGGAAAUUGAAAAUUAUAAAGAGUCGUCAUCCUAUAUCGAAGCAAUUUCUACUACUGAUUUUGAUACGUAGAUACUACAAUUCAAGAAGAAAUAGAGUCUCUAGAAAAGAACCAAGGAACUUGUCAAAUUAUUCAAGAAAAAGAACCCAAUGGGUUUAAAUAGGUGUACAAAAAAAAAGAGGAUGCCAUAUUCAAAACGCGAUUUGUUCCAAAAGAUAUAUACCAUUUUUAAACAUAGCUUCAUCCGUACUUUACUUAGCAUUGCUGCAAUGUAUGAUUUGGAACUUCAACAACUCGAUGUGAAUACUGCUGUCUUACAUGAUGUUCUUUCAUUUGUUGUUUCCAUUUUUAAUCAUUACACAAUGCAUUCUCGAAAUCAUUUUAUCAAUCUUGAUGGUGAGAUCAAAAUGACUAAUAAUGGUGCUCUAAAGCGAAAAGACGUUCCUUGUAGCUUGACUGCUAGUCAUUUAAUGAGAAAUAUAACCACACUUCAUAUUAACAUCUUAUUUUAGUUGAAGGAUCACUUGUGUUAUCAUGACAUACUUCCUGGGAGAAAUCAUAAAUAUACUGCUAAGUAGUGGCAGGAGGGAUCGAGAGGUAAUAUGUGCUGCUCCAUAAAUUUUCCGGUAUAUUGUAACUCUGACGUUCAACCCCUAAAAUCAUUUGCGCUACACCUUUGAAUAUUGUUUUAUUUUAUUUUAUUUUGUUUGUUCAACCUGUGCUGCUAAAUCAAAAUUCGUUGCAAAAGUGGUUCUAUGGUCACAUUAAUGGAUUUUUAUUCAUACGAGGAUGAUACUUAAAAGAUCAAACUGUAUACAUUUCAUACCUGCCUCCUCCUAUAAUAUAUAUAUUUUGGAAUAAUCUUUCCGGUAAGCUUAACCUUAAAUGAUUUGGAAUUAUGCGGUCAAACUAUAUCGAUGUCAUGAAUGUCCCUACCCUUUUUUCUUUAUCUACAAAAAAAUGUCACACCAACACAAACAACAAUAAUUUCGUCAUCCAAAUUAAGGCAAAAUAUUGAAAUUACAUCUACAACAUAACAUCGAUCACUUUUAGUAAACCAAUGUUCCUCUGUAGAAUAUGAUAAACACGCAUGCAUCAUAAAUAAACAAUGAACUAUUCUGUCGAUGUUUGUAGCAGAUGAAUUACUUUAUCCAAAUUAACAAUGGAUGAACCAAAAGGAGAGGCACAUGCUUUUUCAGCUCUAUUCUUCAAGUCGAUUGCCUUCUUCCUCAACUCGGUCCCCCUUUCACCAUUCAUCAACUCAAUGACAAGAUUGGCAACUUCUUCUCUCUUUACAUCAUUGUCAAUCUCCAUGGCAACCUCCCACUUGUUGCAACACGACCAGCAAUUUGGUUGUUGGUCACCAAAAAAUGGCCAAGAAAUCAUUGGGACUCCACUGGAAAUACUUUCAAUUGUCGAAUUCCAUCCACUGUGUGUUAAAAAUCCUCCAAUCGAUGGGUGAUUCAGAACUAGUUCUUGUGGGCACCAACUAGCCAACAUCCCUCUACUGUUUGUCUCUUCCAAAAACUCUGGUGGAAGCAUGGCAGAGUUGUCAACCACAAGGUCUGGACGUAUUAUCCAUAAGAACGAAUAAUUGCUCUUUGCAAGUCCCCAACAAAACUCGACUAGGUGUUGAUGUGUCAUCACUGUGAUGCUACCGAAAUUCACAUAAAUAACUGACGAUGGUGGUUUAGAAUCUAGCCAUUUCAAACAUUCGUGCUCUUCCUUCCAAAGAUUUGAUUUGAGGGAUGAUACAGAUUCAUCAACAAGCUUCUUCUCUAGUAAAUUCAAAGGACCAAUUUCAUAGCAUGGUGGAAAUAUUGAACCAAGCAUCUCCAAAAGGUCACUUUCUAGUUCAUGAAAGGUGUUGAAUAUAACAGCAGAAGCUCUUUUUGCUCUCUCAACUUGUAAACACAAAAACUGAAUCAUGUAUUCGUCACCAGGGUUGGAAUUUCUAAAGAACGAAAUCAUGUCUUUUAGACGUAUACCAGGCAUGGUUGGAACACAAUCUAUCUUGGUAUCUAAAUACCCAUCUUCUAAAACACCCGAUUCUGUAUAAAGAAAUAAUGGAAUUAGCUUCAAAUUAGCAACAAAAAAUGCAAACAUAUAUGAUUGUAUAUAUAUACAGACAUAUAUAUCUAUAUUUGAACAAAGAAUGAGUGUAUAUUACCUUUUGGCAUCAAACCUCUCUCUAAAAGAUUGGGAUACUCAUGAAGACACAUAAGAGAACCAACUCCACUGGUCCAUAAGACUAUCUCAGGGAUAUCAAAUUCCGUAGCAGCAUCAUGGGUGAAGCCCAUAAGGACGUCAGCCACUAUGCAAGUCACCGGAGAAGAUGAAGCAUUCAGUUUUGUGAGGAGACUUUUAAAGGGACCCAAACACGUUUCAUCGACGGACUUGCAUAAGGAUGGAACAUCUUGGGUGGCAUCAGGGUUUUCUGGUGGCGGAAGGCCAUCUGGAAUAGCUUCAAAACAGAAGGAAGGGAGACCAUGUAGGGCGGCGGAGCCCUGAGAUCUAAGAAGGCGUUGAUGGUUGAACUCAGUGUUAACGAAGGUAAUAUGAAGCCCUUUGGAAUGAAGGAUUUUAGCAAGUUUUAGCAUUGGAUUGAUAUGGCCUUGUGCUGGCGCUGGUAUGCACAAGACAUGUGGCUUCUUUUGUAUCGAACCCAUGGAAGCCUUUGCAGUUAACACUUAACAUAUGUCUGUUUUAUAGGCAUGAAUUGGAAAAAGCAAAAUCGAAGUCCUCUUUAACAUAAAAUAAUGUUGUUAUCGUUUGUUCAGUUUUGACCAUGGAAAUUUUGUCACUGCUUGCAUGAUUGAUUAAGUAACUUCUUUUAUAUCGCUUUUGUUGAAUCUGAGAACGCUUUCAUAGCAAAACGUUUCUAACUCUCAUCAAUUGGUUAUUCAUGUCCAUUUCUCGUCAUCAAUUGUUAUUUAUAAUAUUAAUUUAAAUUGGAGAGCAGGUAUGUCGUCAUUAUUUUUCUUGUUUUUUUUUUGUGUUCUUUCGAUCGUAUGGUAAAUGAUAUAUACAGAUUAAUGAAAUACACGACAAAAGAGGAUAGCUGCCGGAUUAGGUUUAUUUAAAUGAUAUAUACAGAUUAAUGAAUUAAACGACAAAAGAGGAUAUCUGCCAUAUUAGGUUUAUUUAUUUAUUUAUUUAUUCGUUUCUAUGUCUUAUCACUUCCAAGGAAAAUGAAUUGCUAAAUAGGUAACUUUAAUUUAGGCAACUUUAAAAACAAAAGAAAGUUAUUUAACAAUUUUCAUAAAUUCUUACCUAAAUUUUGCUUAUAAUUUUUUUUAAACUUUUUUUUAUGAGAAAUUAAAUAUCUUUCUACCAUUUGUUUUUACUUUUCCUCUUAUCAUAUCAAAUGUUGACAUAUAUCACUUUUAAUUACACAUUUAAUUAAAUUAAUAAUCAUUUAAUCCAGUUGUCAACAUUUGAUAUGAUAGAAGGAAAAAUAGGAACAAAUGGUAGGAGGAUAUUUAAUUUCUCUUUUUUUAUACUUUCAUAAAAAUUAAAUACAAAUGCUUUUAAACAAAAAAAUUUAUAAAUGUUUUAUAUUUUUCUUACAAGAUUUUAACUUGUAAUUUUUUAUUUUUUAUUUUUUAUUUUUUAUUAUUUUUUUUUUUACAUUUUCAUACAAUUAUUUUUCUAAUUUUCAUACAUUCAUUUCUAAAUUUUAUUUUACAAUAUUAUUAAAUUGCCUCACAGAUUUUGUAUGACAAUCUAAUAUUUUUUUAUAACAUUUUAAAAUACUUUCUUUAAAUAAUAGUUUAAAACAUUUCAUAAAAAAAAAAUUAAAAGUUUAUAAACUUCUAAUUAAAAAGUUGCAAUAAUUUUAAAACUUUUACAUUCUAUAGAAUUUUUUUUUUGUUUUUUUAUUUGCUAGGUAAUAUAUAUAUAUAUAUAUAUNNNNNNNNNNNNNNNNNNNNNNNNNNNNNNNNCCAAUCUUAUAUAUAUAUAUAUAUAUAUAUAUUCUAUACUUACUAUUACAUAUUUAAUUUUAUUGUUAGAUACCAUUUACAUUAAAAAUAUUCUAUAUGCUAAAAGAGAAAAGAACAAAACAUAUUAAAGAUUAUAUGAAAUAUUUUACAAAACAAAAACAUAUUUUUAAUUAAAAAGUAAAGUUUAUAAUUGAUCAAUAUUUAAUUAAUAUUUAAAAACUUAUGGAUAAUUAAAAAAUUAUGUUUGAAAAAAUAAUACAAACAAAUGUGAAAAACAAUCGCUAUUAAAACAGGGGAAAAUAAUUUAUCAGAGUAAUUAAGUUUUUGUUUUGUUAACAUUUAAACAAUUUUUUGUACACAUUAAACAUUUAAAUUAUUAAUUUUUCACAUUUACCAUUUUGACGUGCUAUAAUCGGUGACAAUAACAACAGGUGAACACAUAUAACAAGUUAAAUGAUCAAAUGUAUACAAAAAUAAAAAAGUUACCUAAAUGUAAACGAAUCCACAAAGAUAAUUACCAUGGUAAGUCAUUUUCCCUUGUGUAUAACCAUGUUCAAAAUUUCGUCACGUACUUGCAGUGACAUUAGACGCAUGAUAUAUUCUCAUUUUCAAGACAUAGAAUUUAGACCAAACAAUUCGUGUAUUCGUAUAAUGAAAACGUGUCAGCUAUAAAUUUGACACGAUACGAUUACAUGAUGAGAAAUAAUAUUUAUCUCAAUUUUUAAGAUGUAUUCGUGUCGUGUCUCUCACAGAUUCGUGUAUUCUUGUCAGCAAUUAUCAGGUCUAAUAGAAUUAGUUGGAGUAUAAAAAAACGGUAGAGAACUAACAAAUUUUUUUUUAUUUAUAAUGAAUUUACAUACCAAAGUUCACAUGUACACUUAAAUACAUAUUUCUAUGAGAAUCGCAAAUAUAUAUACACACAAAAAAAAUAUGAAUAAUAAUUAAAAAAGCAUUUAAAAAAAAAAAUCUUUUUUUGAAUCUUAAUUUCAAAAUUUGAGAUAUAUUUUAACAUAUUUGUAAAAAAAAAAACUUUUUUUAGUUUUUUAAUUUUUUUAAUUUUUUAAUUUUUUAAUUUUUUUUAGUUUUGUAAUUUUUGUAAUUUUUUUUAAAUCACAGAUAAUAUUUAUACUAGACAUUUAAAAAAAACAUUUUUAAUGCUUCUAUAUGUAUGCAUAAGAGUAAGCAUAUACAUAUACAUAUGAAAAAAAUAUAUACAUAUACAUAUACAUAUGAAUAAAUAUAUGUAUAUGCAUAUAUGUAUGCAUGUGCAUAUGGAUAAGAAUAAAUAUAUACAUAUGACAAUUAAACACAUAUAAAUAUGUUUAUGUAUAUGCAUAUGCAUAACAAUAACUAUAUGACAUAUGCAUAUGCAUAAGAAUAAGUAUAUGCAUAAGACAAUUAAAUACAUAUGAUUAUGUCUAGGUGUAUUCAUAUUCGUAAGAAUAAAUAUACGACAUAUGCAUAUUCAUAAAUAUAUGCAUAUGAAUAUGAAUAACUCUAUAUGCAUAUUCAUAAGUAUAUGCAUAUAAAUAAGAAUAAGUAUAUUCAUAAGGCAAUUAAAUACAUAUGAUUAUGUUUAUGUAUAUGACAUCCUGUAAUUUUCAUAACCAAUUAAAACUUUUCUUUACGCUUUAAAAAUCAUUUAAAUAUAAAGAUCAUUUUGAUUACAAGUGUUUGUUUCCAAAAUGUUAAAACCCUAAGGAUGUCAUAAUCAAUACAAAUACAUAAGUUACGACGUAGAGACCUGAUGGUUCAGAACUUUAUUGGAAGCUAUCUCUUAAUCACUUAGCAUCCUAAUCAAGUUCCAGUAGCUUAAGUCUUGAUACAUGCGAUGCAUAUAAACUGAGUGAGUAAGGUUGGGAAACCUGAUGAGAUACAUAAGGAUUUCAAUCCCAUAAUAUUUUCAUGAUAAUAUUCCUUAAUUAUCAGACCUGUAAAACAAACGGUUACCAAAUACUAUAGAUCAAGUUUAAUGAUCUAUAAAACCUUCAACCCAUCCUAAUCGAUCCUCACAGAUCCUAGUCCACGAUUAUCAUGAAGUUUUAUCUUAUGUGAUGAACCGUUUAAAGGGUUUGACUUCACAGCUAGGGGGCUUCCCUGGCCAGUGGAAGUCAUAAAGGCACAUGAUCCAUUAGAGUAUUUCGAGGAAUAGGAUUUUACCUUUCAUCUACGUCUAUAGGUUAUGAGCCUACACUAGCAACGUAAUUCACCAGANAGCCGUAAAUCAAGGGUUUAUGAUCGUAAACUCUUUUGAUAGUGACCACAAAACCGUAAACUCCCUAAUGGAGUUUUCCUUGAACCCCAAGCACACUAUCCUUUCACUACAGCACUUAGAUGCAAUCCUUGGGACUUAUAACACUUGUAUAAGGUGUUUAGCAUGUCCUAGGGUGUCUUAACUUUGUUUAUUAGUUGUUUAAAGACUAACUGGAUACAUAUAUGUGAUAUUAUAUGUUAACUAGGAUCAUAGAGUGUGUUCAAGUCUUCACUUGACACCUAACAAUCCUACANNNNNNNNNNNNNNNNNNNNNNNNNNNNNNNNNNNNNNNNNNNNNNNNNNNNNNNNNNNNNNNNNNNNNNNNNNNGGGGGUGGGGGGAAAUACAAGUUAAAUCAUGUUUAGUUAUUAUAUCAAUCACAUGUGAUUAAUAAUUAAACAUGCAAAUGGCUUUACUAUACGUUAACUGUUUUACCAAUCAGAUUUCUUCAAAUGUUUAUCUUAAACGUUUUUAGGUGUUUAAAACACUUUAUUAAACUGUUUAUUAAACAUUGUUUGUUCGUUUCAAACCCUGUUAUAUUUGUGUUUCAAACAAAGGUUCCUUUAUACUUAAACUAUUUUUAUCAAACAAAUACUUUCAAACCGCUUUAUAAACUGACAUCAAGUUGAUAUUUUCUUAGGUAUUAAUCUUUUUCAAAGGUUUUACAAAACUCCUUAUAUGCUUUUAUAUUGUCAAAUGCAUGCCCAUAUAAGUAUACUUAUAUAAGUAAUGUUUCAAGGACUUAGGAAGGUUAACUCACUCUAUUUCCUUUUCCUCAUGGGAUGUGGCUAUGGAGUAUCGGUUAUCCGUCCGAAUGUCAUCUAAAUAUUAGCUAUAUAUCAUGUAUACAUAUGUAGGCAUAAAAGUUUUCAUCAGUCAGUUCAGUACCUUUGGGUAACAAAGGCAUACUUCAGGUUAUACACGUACAUGGUUAGUAACUAUUAUAGGUAUAGUUAGGAGAUACUACUUACCAUUACAAGUACAAGGAAUCACACAAGAGUCAGUUCAUUCAUGAGUCUAUACUAAUACAUUACAUGUUACAUGAGUACAUUUACAUAGGUACGUUUACAUGAGUACAUUUACAUAGAUACGUUUACAUGGGUACGUUUACAUAGAUAUGUUUACAUGAGUACGUUUACAUAGAUACGCUUACAUGAGUACGUUUACAUAGAUACUCUUACAUGUAUACUUUUACAUAGAUAAUAUAUGAAGAGUUACUAUUACAUAUUAUAUGUAUAGAUACUGUUAUAUAGUUUACCUUCUUAUCUUUAUUUUGUGAUACAAUCACGUAAUUGACGAGAUAGAUUGGACUUAAUAUCCUAGUACCAAAGGAUACUUUGCGGGACUAACCAUUCCUAAAACCUUGUUAGCUACAUAUGUAAAUGCACAUCUACGGAUGUCAACGGUUGAUCCCAUUAUAGAUAUACUUUAAGGGACUAACUAUUCCUACACCCAACUGUUAGCUACAGAGGUAAAUGUACAUCUACAGAUGUCUUCAGUUAACACUGUUAGUUAUCCUAGUAUAAAAGGAUAAUACUUAAGUUAGUUAUAUUAUUACCUUUAUCUUGUGACUCAUUCACAUAAACGAUGAGGUGAAUUAUAUUUGAGUAUCCUAGUACCAAAGGAUACAAUUUCUUAUAUUAAAAAUAAUAGUCAAACAGUCGGGUCUUGGUAGAAGGCUACUUUCAAAACAGUCAGGUCUAGGUAGAAGCCUACUUUCAAAAUAGUCGGGUUUUGGUAGAAGGUUACUUUCAAAAUAGUUAGGUCUUGGUAGAAGAUUUCAUCUAUACUAAUAGGAAUCAUAGAGAUUUCUAGGGUUUAUCAAACGCUUUCAAUUACUUACAAACAUUUCCACACUUAUACGAACUUUCUUUCAGAACCAUGUCAAGUCUUUCUUUACAGGUUUUACAAAUCAAAGACACAUUAGUACUUAUGAAUUCACCAGCUUUUUGGCUGAUACUCGCUUUCAAAAUAACUUGUAUUCUCAGGUCACAAAUAGACAUGUACGACGACCAAUUUUUGUGAAGACGGAGCAGUCCAGACUCAUCUUAUUUUCUGAUUAUUCAUUUUAUUGUUGUAUAUUAUGAAAGAACUCAUUUGUAAAUAAAAUUAUACUAUUAAUGCAAUGGAUGAUGUUGUUGCUUGUUUACUACUUUACAUUGUUGUGAUACAUUACAUGANNNNNNNNNNNNNNNNNNNNNNNNNNNNNNNNNNNNNNNNNNNNNNNNNNNNNNNUAUAUAUAUAUAUAUAAAAGUAAAGGUUUGUAUCGAUCGGAUACACUUCAAGUAUAAAGAACAAAUGUAAAGUAAUAUAAAGAAAAUAAAGAACAGAAAAUAAGUAACAUAAGGAGUUCUCCAAACUGUCUUUCAUCAUGAUAGUGUUUUGUCUUCACCCAGAAGAUGGGUUGUCACAAAGAUGAUUACAUCACCAAGCUGUGUUCUCAACAUUAGGGUGUACCCUAAUGUUGUAUAUUAUGAAAGAACACACUUGUAAACAAAAUUAUACUAUUAAUGCAAUGGCUGAUGUUGUUGCUUGAUUACUACUUUACAUUGUUGUGAUACAUUACAUGAUGUCCUCCUCCCCAGAACGUUUCCGCCGUUCUCGGUUUUGGGGUGUGACAGAUUGGUAUCGGAGCAUUGUUUAUAGUGAAUUAAGUAUAUCAACCCAUAAAAGAUAUACUAACUAUAAAUACAAUGGGAUUAAAAAUACUCUGACCAAGAGUAUAUACUUUAAAUAAUAAAAUAUUUAACGAAGUAUACGUGCCUGCAUUCAUACUAAAAUCCGUGUCACAAUGACAAGAACAAAAGUAUUACGAUUGUUGAAUAUCACAGGUAAGCUCGGGGAUGUAUGGUUUGUCUUGGGAGUGGCAUAGCCUGAUCAACUAUGAUGGUCCGAGGAGUGAUUAGCAUAUGCCCAAGAAUGGUUGUGAUGUGGCAACAAAUCAAAAAAAAAAUUACCAACACCACUGCAAUGAGAACAUUAUAACAGAACCUAAGUCUAAAAUACCAUAGGGGUGUUUUGUGUUACUAUAAUUACUUACUUGAGAACUAAAAAGGAUCUUCAUUGCUAAGUUGAUAGUUACUAAGUGGAUACACUAAGGCUAUAUGUAAAUAGGAUGUUAUAGACUUAGAAUCUGUGAAAUUUUUGCUUUACCCCUAUUCCUUGGGAAUUUGGAGUUAAGGUCACUUACUCGAAGGCCUAUCAUGUGUUAAUUACAUAUAAUUGAUAUGCACUUUACAAAUAGUGAUGUAACUAAUGAAGAUUUUCUAAUAAUUAUCUAGAUAGUCCGUCUAAUAAUUAAUUCCUUACCCCAAUUCUCGCGUAGAUAACAUGGCUGGACUCCAUCCCCACGACAACCCGUACCUUCCGAACGAAGUCAUUGCUGGAUGGUUUGGAGAAGAACCAGAGAAUGAUCAUCCGAUCCCUUUGAAUGAUCACCACGCUGAAGACCUCGCGGAUGAUGAUAACUCCGAACCCGAAGUUGAGAACCUACCCCCGGCAGCUCCCUUUCCAAAUCCUAACCCUCGUCCGGCUUUUCAUGGCCCGACGCCUCCUUGGGUAGAAUGCUUGGAAACAUGGAGCCAAGGGCAAUAUCAGACCAUGCCAUUUAAUGGUGACCAAAGCUUUUAUAACCUGAGCAAUGGGGGCUUAGUAGACAGAAUCUUGCCAAUCCUGGUCCGCAGAGUGGCCCGAAAUGAGAUUCAAGGCAGGACAGCCCUACAUCAAAUCACAGAUGUUGUCGCCAAUGCGAGAAAGCAUACCCUUCGCACCAUUCGCCUGGAAGAUGCUCGCGAGAGAUCUGAAAGAGACCAUGAAACCCUGCUUCAAGCACUGGCUGAAUCACGAGCCGAAGUCAUAGAACUCCGAGUACGCCAGAGGGUGUACGAAACACACUUGCUUGAUAUGGAACGUCAACUGGCUGAGCUAUGAGUGCACCAGAGGGAUGAUCGUCACCAGUAGGAGAUACUUUACUUCCGUUCUUGUUUUAAAGAAUUGUGUUCCUGUCUAUGUCCUAUGUGGCAUUUUCUAUGAAACUGCCUUGUACUGUAGGUACUUUUAGUUAGGCCUUUAUGCGGCCAAAACCUUGCUACUCAGGAUAUGAUGUAAGACCUUUUUCAAGGUCAAAUUUUCCUAAACUUAUUACAUAUUAAACAUCGAUGAUACUGACAGUCGGCUAACUUCCGUGUCUCGCUUUGUUCAAAUACCCACAUCAUACCUUCGUUGGAGUCUAUCUGAAACAUGCUUAGGUCAAGUCUUUGGACUAUAGUAAUUUAACUCCGGAGACAUUUCCAAGUCUCUUUCAGUGGUUGGAUCAUGUUAUUCACCAACCAACGAUACCUCGGCUUGAACGACAAACGUCUUAAGACCAUUUUACGAACUUACUUUCACUCUUUACUAGGACUGCAUCAUAGGGAUGUAGGUCGAACCUACGAGAACAUACUUCUAUUCUUUACAUGAACGAUCGAACUACAUCUAGGUCCAACCAUACUCACUCGCAAAUUCAUUUUCUUUCAGUGUAACAGAAUCAUGUCACCAAAGAAAAACGAUCAACCCAUCAACCAAACACCAACUCUUCAGAUUGAUGCGGCUACCUUUCAAGCUGCAGUCUCGGCUGNNNNNNNNNNNNNUCCCUUCCAAGCUGCAGUCUCGCCUGCCGUGACAGCUGUUCUGACCCACCUUAACGCUAACAACGCGAAUGUUAGUGGGAUUGUUAAGAAUAAUUCCAAUCCUGGUAACAAUCAAGUACCUCAACGAGCAACAAACUACCACGACACCCCGAGUUCCAAUACCAAGAGUAACAAACAGAAGUUUUCGGCUAAAUCCAAGGACAAAUCACUUCGAGGGGCGAAUAAGAAACAACCACGGGUAAUGACCUUCACAGCUACGACAUCUGUACCUCCUACUACCAUUCCUUCUGGUAUCCCAAUUUUCCCUACACCAUGCCGGAAACCUACCGAAAUGAUAUAAGUGUAGCUUUCAUCAUCUGGGUAGUUGUCAUCCUUUACACUUCUUUAAGUGCAACAAGAAUGGUCAUACUACCAGCUGCUGCAGGACCCAGAUCCAACACAUUACUUCAACCACCAAUGUCCAAACCUCUCGGAUAUGCCAUCUACAUGGCGUAAUGGGACACUUCAAGAGGGACUGCCCAACAGAGAAGAACGACGGCGAAUCCGGAGGAGUUUGACCUUAGAAUGAAAAGAGGAGACGAAGGACCCUACUAUAGUAUAGGUUCACUUCCAAUCGUUAGUAUUUUGCAUGGUUUUUAAAACAUGUUUACAACUAGUGUAACUCGAGUCUUAUCUUUUGUGAGAUCCCGUCAGUUAAGGGACCCUCACGCUGCGUAUACUUGCCUUUUGUAGUAUACUUUGUUCGCAGCAGUAUUCCUGUAAUUACUCUAAAGUACUGUAACCCUGAUAAAAGUUGAACCGUUAUAUUUUGUCUGUAACGCCCUUAUGUUCAAAUCUAAUGUCUUUUACUUAUAAGUAAGUCUGACAUUAUCAUACAACUUGAGAUAAUCUGAUCCGCACAAAACAAGUUUCGUGCGCACAUCUCCUUCUCCGAAAACGUCUUUCUAGCGAAGCCGUCAUUCCAGAACAUUGAAGUACUCAUGCAUGGAGUACCUCAUGUUUCUUAUCCUUUCCGAAGAAAACUCAGCAAACCUCCCCAAAGUACCACUCGUACAGUACGUCAGGUUCAAUCCAAAGAUCCAUAGGGUUGAUCUAUCGCUGAAGAAUGUAUACAUAGCGGUGGUAUAUAAUCAAGGUCCUACAGGUUUAGAAUGGAUGAUUCCAGUUUAACUUCUUAUUCUCAUUGGAAUGUGAGCCUAAAGAAGAAUUAGUUAUUCGACUACCUUUUCAAUCUUAAUUAUAUACGACUCGUAUACACGAGGCUGCGAUUGAUGAACCAUGUAUGACUUCUAAUAUGAACUUCAGGACGGAGACUGCCCAAGAUCCGAAUACCACCAGUUGCGAGGAGUUAGUGAAGGAUGUUCUGAGGACAAUCUUCCAAAAUCGAUACGGAGACUACGAGUCUAUAGUGAUACCCCUUGGAUAGGACCAAUAUGCCGGUGGUAUUCGUGAACUUAAUGAAUAUAGUACACCAUUCUUACUAGGAUCGAUUCGUCAUUGUCCUUGUAAAUGACUUACUUAUCUACUCUCGUAGUAAGAAGGAAAUCAUAAUGAGCAUCUACAACAAACCAUGGAAACAUUACGAUCAGAGAAGCUUUACGCAAAGUUCUCUAAAUACGAGUUUUAGAAUUGAAGAGUCAAAUUCCUAAGACACACUAUUAGUGAUGUGGGAAUUCUUGAAGACCCUUCCAAAGAUCAAAACUGUUGAGAAAUUUUCAGCACUAAAAACGCUUAUGGAAUUCGCCAAAUUCUAGGUCUCGCUGAUCUAUCGUCGUAAGUUCAUUCGGAACUCCUCGCGAAAUUACGGAACCCCUUACAACUUUGACUUUGAAGGGAGUGACCCUUAACUGAGAAGAGAAACAAGAAGGAGAAAUGUUGAAAUCCCAAGUGAGACAAAAUCCUUUUGGAAGCCUCACCCUGGGAAGGCUUGAUACACUUCAGAAAGCGUGGAGAGCUAAAUCCAAGAGAGUUAGGACCUCCGAGAUUCUUACCCGAAUUGGUCCUGUAACUCAUAAACCCAACCUACAUCGCGAACUCAGUGACAUACAAUCCUCCCUUCACGUCUCGAACUUGAAAACGUACCUUUCCGUCAGGACUCUCGAAGUCCCACUUGUCGAGAUUAAGAUCAAUGAGAGCCUCGCCUUCGUGGAAGAACCGUGGUGACCAUGGACAGAGAGGUCAUGCGAACAAAUCAGAACUGCUUUCCAUUAGUGAAUGUUCGCUGGAACGCCAAGUGAGGACUGGAAUUCACUUGGGAGCAUGAGGAUUAGAUGAAACUGAAAUAUCCUCGUCUUUUUACUUAGUUAUUUGUAACUACUUAUUUUCUUAAAUUCUAAUUUCGGGACGAAAUUCCUUCUAAGGAGGGGAUGAUGUGACAACCCGAUAUUUCUAUUCUAUACAAACAUAUCAAGUCAACAGAAGUUAGAACAGUUACUAUUAAUUUUCAGACUUUUUAGAAUAAGUUUGAUUAGGAUUCAUACUUUAGAGAUAUCAGGAGAGAGGACGCACUAGGGUUAUUGUGAAACACUGUUAUUCCAAAACUCUAAGAAAUUAGAGUUUACUUCCUAAAUAAAAUAUUUUCAGCCAAAAACCCUAAAUUUGGGAGUAUAUAUACGAGAAUUUAUCUUUAUUUACACCUUUUCUAAAAACUCAAGAUCCAAACGCAUUUCUCUCUCAAGUAUCAUCCAAAAGAUUUUCAAGAUCUUAAAACUAGUAAGUGAUUCUAGCUUUCUUAAGUGAUUAUAUGGCUUAAUCUAGUGUUUUAACACUCUUCUAAUCGUGAAAUCAUUCCAAAAGGUUGAUUCUUCCUUUUUCACCAAGAACACACACUAGUGUUCUUGGACUUUUAGCUCAUUUCAAGCUUCCAUAUAGUAAGUACUUCUAUCCUAGAGUCUUAUAAAGCUUUUUAUACAUCUUUACAUCAAGAAAAUGUCCCAAGAACACAAAUAACAAGGUUUUCACGGUUCAAGAAGUUCUUGAACCGUAAACACCAAGUAAAGGUGCCAAAGUGUGCUUAGUCCUUUCGUGUGCCUUACUAACUAACAUGGAUCCAUUCCUUGAUGAGCUAAGGACUUGAAAACCCCCAAAAUACCAUAAAUCUUAUGAGUUUACGGUAGUAAACACAAAGAAAAAUGGUUUAGGAACCGUAAACUCCAAAUAGAAGUGAAAUGGUUCCCUAGUUCCCUCCAUAGAUACAUACUUCAAGUAGAAAAGAUUCUAGGGACUUUUAAGGCUUCAAACCAAUAUAUGGUUAAAAGUGUAUGAGCUUACGGCCGUAAACUCAAGGGUUUACGACCGUAAACUCUUUUGUUAGUGACCACAAAACCGUAAAGUCCCUUAUGGAGUUUUCCUUGAACCCCAAGCACACUAGCCUGUCACUACAACACUUAGAUGCAAUCCUUGGGACUUAUAACACUUGUAUAAGGUGUUUAGCAUGUCCUAGGUUGUCUUAAAUUUGUUUGUUAGUUGUUUAAAGACUAAUUAGAUACAUAUAUGUGAUAUUAUAUGUUAACUAGGGUCAUAGAGUCUGUUCAAGUCUUCACUUGACACCUAGCAAUCCUACAUCUUCAGUUCAUCCAAACCACCAACUACAGGUGAGUUCAUACCCCAUGAAUUAACCUUUUAAAGGUUUUUAAAUGUUUAUAAAUGCUUUAUAGGGGGGGGGGGGAGAAUACAAGUAGAAUCAUGUUUAGUUAUUAUAUCAAUCACAUAUGAUUAAUAAUUAAACAUGCAAAUGGCUUUACUAUACAUUAACUGUUUUACCAAUCAGAUUUCUUCAAAUGUUUAUCUUAAACAUUUUUAGGUGUUUAAAACACUUGAUUAAACUAUUUAUUAUACACUGUAUGUUUGCUUCAAACCCUGUUACAUUUGUGUUUCAAACAAAGGUUCCUUUAUACUUAAACUAUUUUUAUCAAACAAAUACUUUCAAACCGCUUUAUAAACUGACAUCAAGUCAAUCUUUUCUUAGGUAUUAAUCUUUUUCAAAGGUUUUAAAAAACUCCUUAUAUGGUUUUAUAUUAUCAAAUGCAUGCCCAUAUAUGUAUAGUGAUAUAAGUAAUGUUUGAAGGACUUAGGAAGGUUAACUCACUCUAUUUCCUUUUCCUCGUUGGGAUGUGGCUAUGGGGUAUCGGUUAUCCGUCCGAAUGUUGUCUAAAUAUUAGCUAUAUAUCAUGUAUACAUAUGUAGACAUAAAAAUUUUCGUCAGUCAGUUCAGUACCUUUGGGUAGCAAAGGCAUACUUCAGGUUAUACACGUACAUGGUUAGUAACUAUUAUAGGUAUAGUUAGGAGAUAUUACUUACCAUUCCAUGUACAAGGAAUCACACAAGAGUCAGUUCAUUCAUGAUUCUAUACUAGUACAUUACAUGUUACAUGAGUACGUUUACAUAGGUACGUUUACAUGAGUAUGUUUACAUAGGUACGUUCACAUGAGUACGUUUACAUAGAUAUGUUUACAUAUAUACGUUUAGAUGAGUACGUUUACAUAAAUAUGCUUACAUGAGUAUGUUUACAUAGAUUCUCUUACAUGUAUACUUUUACAUAUAUAAUCUAUGAUGAGUUACUAUUACAUAUUAUAUGUAUAGAUACUGUUAUAUAAUUUACCUUCUUAUCUUUAUUUUGUGAUACAAUCACGUAAUUGACGAGAUAGAUUGGAGUUAAUAUCCUAGUACCAAAGGAUACUUUGCGGGACUAACCAUUCCUAAAACCUUGUUAGCUACAUAUGUAAAUGCACAUCUACGGAUGUCAACGGUUGAUACCAUUAUAGGUAUACUUUAAGGGACUAACUAUUCCUACACCCAGCUGUUAGCUACAGAGGUAAAUGUACAUCUACGAAUGUCUUCAGUUAACACUGUUAGUUAUCCUAGUAUAAAAGGAUAAUACUUAAGUUAGUUAUAUUAUUACCUUUAUCUUGUGACUCAUUCACAUAAACGAUGAGGUGAAUUAUAUUUGAGUAUCCUAGUACCAAAGGAUACAAUUUCUUAUAUUAAUAAUAAUAGUCAAACAGUCGGGUCUUGGUAGAAGACUACUUUCAAAACAGUCAGGUCUAGGUAGAAGGCUACUUUCAAAAUAGUCGGGUCUUGGUAGAAGGUUACUUUGAAAAUAGUUAGGUCUUGGUAGAAGAUUUCAUCUAUACUAAUAGGAAUCAUAGGGAUUUCUAGGGUUUAUCAAACACUUUCAAUUACUUACAAACAUUUCCACACUUAUACGAACUUUCUUUUAGAACCAUGUCAAGUCUUUCAUUACAGGUUUUACAAAUCAAAGACACAUUAAUACUUAUGAAUUCACAAGCUUUUCAAAUGAUACUCGCUUUCAAAAUAACUUGUAUUCUCAGGUCAGAAAUAGACAGGUACGACGACCAGGUUUUGUGAAGACGGAGCAGUCCACACUAGUCUUAUUUUCUGAUUAGUCAUUUUAUUGUUGUAUAUUAUGAAAGAACACACUUGUAAAUAAAAUUAUACUAUUAAUGCAAUGGAUGAUGUUGCCGCUAGUUUACUACUUUACAUUGUUUUGAUACAUUACAUGACGUCUCUGCNAUAUAUAUAAAUAAAUGUUUGUAUUGAUCGGAUACACUUCAAGUAUAAAGAACAAAUGUAAAGUAAUAUAAAGAAAAUAAAGAACAGAAAGUAUGUAACAUAAGGAGUUCUGCAAACUGUCUUUCAUCAUGAAAGUGUUUUGUCUUCUCCUAGAAGACGGGUUGUCACAAAGAUGAUUACAUCACCAAGCCGUGUUCUCAACAUUAGGGUAUACCUUAAUGUUGUAUAUAUACUAAUUUAUACAAGUAUAUGCCUUUAUUGAUAGGUUUUCGUCUAAUCUAUAGUAAGAACCUGUCUUAUCACAAAGAUACCAAAUCUAUGAUCUAUUUUAUACUUAUCUAUAUCAUUACCUAAUAUACAAAAGAUUACAUAGAAUAACUAUGCUAUGCGUUGACGCUGAUAAGCUUUAUACGUUGGCGUUGGUUGUAGAGUACGCGCUGACGUUGAUGGAUGUGGAGAGUGUUUGACUCAUCAGAUCUUAAGAUGUGGCCUUAUAAUCUCCCUUAUCUGAUGAUGUCAAAAAUUAAUCUUCAAAGAAUUCUUCAUUUCAUGCUCCCCUUGAGAGUAACAAUAAAGUUUUAAUGUUUCAGCUUUAACUAAUGCUCCCCUUGUGAAGAUGAAUGACUUAUCAAGCAGUUGAGGCAACAUUUAUGAAUCACUACAGAUGAUGGAUGAAUAGGUGAAGGUGACGAGUUGGGCUGAAAACGUCGGUCAGCUUGACUCAACUAGCUGAGAAUGUUAAUAUUAUCUUGACUUGACUCCUCCUUAGAUUGUGCUUUCGCUUGUCUCAACUAGCUGAGAAUGUUAAUAUUAGCUUGACUCGACUCCACUUAGAUUGUGCUUUUCUAUGUAGAUUUAGAUUAUGUUCCCCCUUUUGACAUCAACAAUAAACAUAGGAUAAGAGUUCUUGUAGUUUAUAGUUUACUAAAACUAUAAUGUCUCUUUAUAGUAUUGGCUUAAACUAUGAUUCAUUAACAUAGUAUUGCAAGAUUUCAUCAGUGUGUGGUUUCAUUCGCUGAUUCAUUAAUCACUUUUAUUAGAAGAAAAAGGGCAAGAGUGGUAUAAUGUGUGUGAUAAGUUGUGGUGCUUUAGCUUAACCAUCGGCAUAGCAUUGUUAAGCUCUCAUCAAUGUAUGGUACAUUACACUAAAUCAUAAAAAUUUAAAGAAGAAUACAAGGGCAAGAAUGCAUUGGUGUGUGUGAUAUUCUAUAGUAUAUAGACUAACCAUCGGCACAGUGUUUCAAACUUUCAUAAAUGUGUGAUAUAACACAGUGAUUCAUUAUGUUUUAAUAAAAAGAUAAAGGAAAGAAUGGUUUGUUUCAAUCAAGCUGAUGUAAAAUCAGUGUGAUCCAUACACAGUUUAACUCAUCAUCAAGAAGUUUUUUACACUUCUGUAUCAUAGAGUAAGUUGCAUUCUAGAAUCAAUAAUUCAGCGUUAACUCAUAAUGGUACCAUGUCAUACCUUAGACUAGGAGGUCAUGGACAUGAACAACCCUUUGUCAUUUUAGGACCAAACAUGUAACUAUUACACUGUUCACUAUGUAAUCAGGGUAAGCCAUUGGGUUAUGCUCAAUGUUUCAGCAGAACAUGAGACUUGAUGUGUAUGACAAGCAAGCUUCCAAGGAUAGGGUCAGGUUGGAUAGCUAACUAAGAAUAAACACCCAAGCCUUUUUAUAAAAUUUUUUAUUUGGACCAGCCAAUUUAAAUUAGAAUGUUUAAAUAAUGCUAGAUAGUCAGCAUGAGUGGGUGACUCAAUGUUCUCAUCAGACGGUCUCGUUGAUUAGAAACAUAAAGAGAUUUAGUAAGAUACAACAACAUGUUUCUAGGGAUGAUGAUGUAUCAAAAGUCACGUACUAGGCUUAAAGUGUCCACCGUCAAAUUCUUUUUAAAAAUGGUACAAAAGAAUAAGAAAAUAUAAGAAUACGAACAACCGAGUUAGUCAAAAAAGAAAAUAGUUUAAACAUCAAAGUAUGUACAACUUUUUUAGAAAGGUGAUAAUGACUCGAUCCAUAAAAUCUUUGGAAUGGAAUAGUCAUAAAUAUACUUCCAUUUUCCGAGAUAUCUACUCCUUAAAUUUUGAGUAUAAAAGAGACCACAAGUAAAAAUAAACUCAUCAGUACACAAAACAUCUCACUAUAAAUCAAGAAUGAUGAGGCUACUUAUCAUUAAAGUGUUUCCAAUGCUUUCCAAGGUUCAUGUUCACUAGGAGCAAAAAAGAGUAGAAACCAGUCUUUGUAUCCUAUAAAAUAACUUACUGAAAUCUAUAAAAAAACUUCGUGUCUUCAAGAUCAACACGAGGGAAUUCAAUGUGUUGUCAUAUUAUGAGUCAGUAAAUGAAAACAAGACUUAUUUCAUUGAUGGUUUCUCUUUGCAUCCGCGAAAAUGAGUGUAAGGGAAGGAGGGUGAUCUCAAGAAGAAAAGGACAUGAUGCCAUUCUUUUUCUCAACACUGGGAGCACUAAGAUCUUUCAAUAAGGCUCCAGCCCUUACUCAUUCUGAAGGAAUAAGAUGAAAAUAUAUCAUAGACAGGCUUGAAGGAAAAUACAUGUAAAUACUAAAUGUAAAAAAUUUCAAACAUACUAAAAGAAGCACUUGUUUUUGUGUUUUUCAUAAGGCAGAAAAUAGUUAGAAAAUGAUUAAUUCACUGAAAGCAUGCCAAGUUCUGUAAUUAAUUUUUUGAAACUCUUUUUGUCCAAUAUCUUGGUGAAAAUGUAUGCCCUUUGAUCAGUGGAUUGAAUGUAAAACAACACUAAUUUUCCCUUUCGAAUGAUCUCCUUGAUGAAGUGAUGACGAAUAUAAAUAUGCUUGGUCUUGGAAUGUUGUAUUGUGUUCUUGUAUCAUCUGAUGGCAUUCUUGUUUUCAUAGCAUAUGGGAGUCUUUGAGAAGUUUAGACCGUAGUCCAAGAGCAGAUUUUGAAUCAAUAGAAUAUGAGCACAACCCCUUCCAAUGGCUACAUAUUCAACUUUAGCGGUAACACAAGCAACUGAUAUCUGCUUUUUGUCGGACCAGCUUACCAAUCUAUUUUCAUGCAUGUGAACUCCUCCUAAAUUGCUUUUGCGAUCGAUGUUGCAUCCACCAUGAUCAGAAUAAGUGUAACAAACAUAGAUUGAACUCAGAAUCAUGAGGGUACCAUAACCCAAGAUUAGGUGUAUACUUUAAGUAACGAAAGAUCCUUUUCACACCGAGAAAAUGAUAUUCCUUAGGAUUAGCUUGAUAAAGAGAACACAAUAUAGUAGAAACAAUAACGUCAAUGCGAAUCGCGAUAAGAUAGAGUAGAGGGCAUAUCAUUCCUCGAAACAUAACUGCAUUCACGUAAGCGCCAUUUCGAUCAGUGCUAAUAGACGCUGAUGAGGAUGUCAGAGUCUUUUUCGAUUUGCAAUCAUAAAAUCCAUACUUCUUCAGGAAAUAUGCAAUAUAUUUAGCUUAGCGAACAAAAAUAACAUCAGUUACUUGUUUGACCUGCAAACCAAAAAGAAGGUUAGUUCACCAUCAUUCUCAUCUCAAACUUUUUGCACAUGAUCUCUGAGAAUUCUGCACUUAGCAUUUCAUCAGUGGAUCUGAAGAUGAUAUCAUCCACAUACUCUCAGGCAAGAAUGAUAUGGGAUUCUGAAUGCUUUGUGAACAAAGUGUUGCCACUCUUCUUUCAUUGGUAUCCACUUGAUAGAAGAUAGAUUGGAAAUGUGUCAUUCCAUUCCCUAGGGGAAUGCUUUAAGCCAUGGACAGCUUUAUCAAGACGAUACACAUGAUUUUGAAACUCUUCACUUUCAAAUCCUGGAGGUUGUUUUAGAAAAACUUAUUGUUGAAGAUCUCCAUGCAAGAAGGCAGUCUUAAUAUCCAUUUGAUAGAUGUUUAAGUUCUUGAAAAUUUUUCAUCAUACUAUAACCCUUUCAAGAUCACAGACACCUUAAGCCACAAGCCUAGCUUUGUUUCUUAUGUGAAUUCCAUAUUCAUCCAUUUUUUUAUUGAAAACCUAGCAAGUGCCAAGGAUAGUAUUCCCUAGAGGUUUUGAAAUAAGAGUCCACACAUUAUGACGUUCAAAUUCUUUCAGCUCAUCCUGCAUAGCCUUGAUCCAGUCAGCUUCUUUUAAUGCAUCAACAACAUUCUUUGGUGCAGUCAUAGAGACGAAGUUGACAAACAUGCAGAAGUUGUUGCUGACUCUACUGCGGGUGAGAAUCCCAUAAUUUACAUCUCCAAUGAUUUGAGAUUCAGGAUGAUAUCAAAGAAUUCUUGGAUUAGAACUUCCAUUUGUAUUACUUUCAUCAGAGUCUUGCUAAUUUAAUGGUUCAACUUCUUCAAGAAUGGCAACUUGAUCUUUAGAGAUAGGGUAUGAACUGGUUAAUUGAUCAACAUUUGGUAUAACAAGCUCAACGUCACUUGGAAAAAACUCAGGAACAGGGUCUGAAGGAUUAUAAGUAAUUUCAUUUAUAAUUGAUGACGGGUGAUCAACUUGAUCAUGAAUAAACGACUCUUCAUUAAAGGUGACAUGAGUUGUUUCCACAAUAGUUUGCCUAGAAAGAUUCAAUACACUGAAGGUUUUAGAUAUGCUGGAAUAACCUAGAAAUACUCCUUCAUCAGCUUUAGCUUCAAACUACAAAAGCUGAUCUAUUUGAUUUUAGAUGUAAAAAACACAUCCAAACACAUGAAAAUAGUAGAUGCCCGAUUUCCUUCCUUUCAGUGUCUCAUAAGCAGUUUUCCCAUGAUGAUUGUGACAACCCGAAAUUUCCAUUCGGUCAAACCCAAAAAGUCAACCACUUCUUGUUAUAAGUUAAUGUCAUUAUUUCUUAUUUUUAACAAAUUUAAAGUUCGUUUGAUUAUUUUAAUAUUAUUUUUAAACGAACGGGUGAAAAAAAGUGUCAUCUCGGGUUUUAAAUUUUAAAAACCGCAAACACCUAGUGUCUUAGAAGUUCCCGGCCAAACUAUUAUGUUUGGGUUGAAAAAUCACCCAAAAACCGUGAACUCAUGCAUAAGCAUGAGUUUACUCCCCAAGACUAGUCAUUCUUGUGUUUAGUCCCCAUUUACCAAAAGAGUAAACUCAAAAUCCUCUCAAGUAUCAUCCUAGAAUUUAUUCAAGAUCUUCAAACUAGUAAGUGUUCUAACCAUUUCAAGUUGGUAUUACACUUAAUCUAGUGUUUGUGCAUCUAUUCAUCCAUUCAUUUUUGUAUUUUGACCAGAUUUCCAAAAACACCAAGAACACACACUAAGUGUUCUUGAACUUUUAUCUAAAAUCAAGCUUCCUUAUAGUAAGUACUCCCAUCCUUGAGUCUUAUUAAGCUAGUAUUACAUGAUAGCAUCAAGAAAAUAUGCCAAGAACACAAGGUUUAAGGUAUUCACGGUCCAAGAAUGUUCUUGGGCCGUAAACACCACGAAAGGCACCAAAGUGUGCCUAAGUCCUUUAUCUAAGCCCUAGUUUGAUGUUUAAGCCUUCCUUUAUAUGUUUAAACCUUCCCUUGAUGUGUUUAAGCCUUGAAAAACAACAAAUUCCAACAUUAUUAAGUGUUUACGGUUUGGGGAGCUCCUAAAACCUUAAACACCCUAAAGUGUGUUUAAAUGGGCCAUUUUCCUUCCUUAGGCCUAAAAACUAACCUUGACAAUUACCUUGAUGAGUUAAGGACUUGAAAACAUGGAAAUAGCCUUUUCCAUAUGGUUUUACGGUAGUAAACCCAAAGGGAAAUGACCAUGAGGCCGUAAACUCCUCAAAGGCGUGUUUUGUUGCCCUAGUCCCUUCCAAAGGCCAAACCACCAAGUAGAAAUGCUUCAAAAGACUUGUAAAACAUCAAAACAACAUAUGGUCUUAAGGAGUAGAGUUUACGACCGUAAACCCUUGAGUUUACUGCCAUAAACUCCUUGGGUAAUGGUCAUUAAAACCGUAAACUCCAAAGGAGUUUACCCUUGAACUCCAAACACUCUAGCUUUGCCCUACAAACACUUGGAUGCAACCCUUGUGAUCUUUAACAUUUGAAACAAAGUGUUUUCAUGUUCUAGAGUGUCCUAACUUAAUUUAUUAGUUAUAAUUUGGGUAAUUAGUUAUAUAUAUGUUCAUUAUAUGAUAACUAGGCUCGUGCGUGUGUACAAGUCUCCAUUUGUCACCAAGCACCAUAUCUGACACUUCAAUCCAAUCCACUCACUGCAAGUGAGUUCAUACCCCUUUAACUAACCUUUGAAAUACUUUUAAAUGUUUUAAAUGCUUUAAAUGCUUUUAUGGGGGGGAAUACAAGUUGAAUACUUAUAGUUAUUACAUCAAUCACAUGUGAUUAAUAACUUCAAACCAAUGAUAUUGUUACUGUUCAAACUGUUUUACAAAUUCUUUUACUUAUCAAAUACCUUUACAUAAACUCUGUUAUACUUAUUAUAAAUUGCUUGCCCAUAUAUGUAUAGUUAUAUAAGCAAUGUUUAAAAGGCUUAAGAAGGUCGCCCGCCCUAUUUCGUUUUCGCGGGUGAGAUGUGGUCUGGUGGGGUAUCGGAUAUCCAUCCGAAGGUUGUUUAAAUAUUAGUUAUAUAUCAUGUGUACAUAUAUAGUCAUAAAAGUUCUUCCAUAUUCAUACAAACCAGUUACAUCAUUAGUAAGCUACCAUAUGGGUACCACAGGAUAAUACUUAUACUAUUACUAGAACAUUGAGAUGUUCAAUGAGUCAAUUCAUUCAUGAGUCAGUACUUACUACUAUGAGAACAUAUACAUUAUAUUACUAUGAGAACAUAUACAACUAUACAAGAAGAAGAACAUAUACAACUAUACUAGAAGUAGAACAUAUACAACUAUACUAGAAAGAGAACAUAUACAACUAUACUAGAAAGGGAACGUUUACAACUCUACUAGAAAGAGAACAUAUACAACGAUACUAGAACGAGUAACAAUAUAUUACAUAUACAUGAAUACGUUAACAUAAUUGUGAUCCAUUGUAUCGGAGCAUGCCUUCAAUGUCAUCACCCAUGUUGUAGCCAGAGUCUCUUGGAGGGAGAGCGUGAGUUUGUGUAUAGAUCUAUACUGGAUUGACUAUCCUACACCUUGCUGCUAGCUACAGCCGGACCUGCAGGUCUGCGGGUGCCAAACGUCAUACCUUUUUACAACCUACAUUGUCGUGUUACAUAGUCGAUAGUAUGGUACAAUUAAUCACAUAAUACCUUGAUUUAAAUCCGGUUUAAGGUGGUUAGUACAACAGUAGUUCCUAUAAUACAACACUACAAUACUACAUUAAUUUACCCUUUACAUAUAUUUAGUGAUCAUUUCACUUAAACAUUAAUGUACAAACUAUAUUUUGUUAAUGAUAGUUACACUUGGGAAAAUUACACACUUUUACAAUAAAAGAACAUACAAAACAGUUACGCCUUGGUAGAAGGCUACUUUUAAUAGAAAAUAUAGAUUUUUCUAAGAGAUUCAAACUUUUACAAACACUUACAAACAUACAGCUACUUAUUUCACCAAUGUUUACAAACUCAUACUUUAAACCACGUUCAAACGUUUUGGUAUAAACACUGACACUAAAAUACUUAUGAACUUACCAACUUAAUGCUGAUAAACUCCUUCAAAAUAACUUGUAUUCUCAGGUCAUCAGUAGACAGGUAUCGAGGCUAGCUUUUGAGAAGAUGGAGCGCAUUCAAGACUCAUCUUAUUAUUUUGAUUUACUUUUUGGUGUCUAUAACUGUACGAAACACGCUUGUAUUAAAAUUAUAUAUUUAAUGCAAUGGAUGAUGUUGUUCGCUUAUUUACUGUUAUACUGUGUUGUGAUACUUUAAACGACGUCCUCCGCCCCAGAACGUUUCUGCCGUUCUCGGUUUUGGGAUGUGACAGAUUAGUAUCAGAGUGAAUUGAGUAUAUCAACCCGUAAAAGAUAUACUAACUAUAAACCGAUAUGGGAUUAAAACACUCUGACCAAGAGUCUAUACUUUAAAUACUAAAAUAUUUAAUUAAGUAUACAAGUCUGCAUUCAUACUAAAAUCAGUGUCACAAUGACAAGAACAAAAGUGUUACGAUUGUUAAAUAUCACAAGUGAGCUCGUGGAUGUAUGGUCAGUCCUGGGAAUGGCAUAGCCUGAUCAACUAUGCUGGUCCGAGGAGUGAUUAGCAUAUGCCCUAGAAUGGUUGUGAGAUGUUAACAAGUCUAAAAACUUACCAACUAUACCAUAAGGAGAACAUUAGAACCUAAACUUAAAAUACUAUAGGGUAUUUUGUGCUACUACAAGCUAUUUAUACACUAGAUUCUUAUACCUCUCUUCUCGUGUAGAUUUAAAUGGCUGGAUUCCAUCAUGGCGACCCGUACUUUCCAAAUUAAGGUAAUGCUGGAUGGCUUGAAGAAGAGCCCGAAGAUGAGCAUCCAGUCCCAUUGGAUGAUCACCUUGCAGAAGGCUUUUCGGAUGGAUCUGACUCUGAGCCUGAAGUCAACAACCUACCGCCAGUAGGUCAAGCCCCAAACAACAAUCCCCGACCAGCUUUCUCAGGUCCCACACCCUUGUGGGCAACCAACCAUAAUCGUUGGAGUGACGAACAGGGUCAACUGUUACCUUACUUUGGGGACCGAAGCUUUUACAAUCUCAGUGAAGGUGGCUCUGCGGAUCGAGCUCUACCCGUCAUUGUCCGCAGAAUAGCUCAUAAUGUUGAACAAGGUCGAGCAACCAUCGACCGGGUCAUGAAGAUUGAUGCCAACUCUAGUGUCAACACAGUCUGCAUCUGCCGUCUUGAAGAAGAAAUGGAAAGGACCAGGAGAACCAAUGAAACCCUGCAGCAACAGUGGCUGCCUCCCGAGCCAAAGUCAUAGAACUUCGAGUUCGCCAGAGGGCUUAGGAACGACACCUUCAAGAGGUGGUCCGUCAAAUGGCAGACCUCAGGGUUCGCCCGAGGAAUUCCCAUCGCCGUUAGAAGAUGUCUAGCACAUCUUUGUCUUUUGGUUAAAGAAUAGCCUUUAGUAUCUGUUCUCUAAGUAUCACUUGUCUUUAAAAUAUUCCUAACUUUCAGUACUCUAACUAGGAAUCUAGGAACUGACAAACUUUUCGUAUGGUAUGAUGUAAGACCUACUAUUAGGUCGAUUUUCCCUGAACUUAUUACAUCAGUAAUACCAGUAUUAUUGAUAACCACCUAAUCUGUGUGAAAAAUCUGUACACUUGUGUUUUCCUACUAAUCUUCUAUGUUGUGAUCUCAAACAACCAUUCAACUAUUGGGCUAUGGUUAGUUAGCCCAUGUGUCACUCUCACCCCACUUACAAUUGAUUCUUACCAUUAUGUUUAUCUUUAUAAACUUAUAAUUGAAAGAUGCCUCCUCGCAAAUCUCCCAGGCAUAAUCCACCACCUCCUCCUCCUCAGGUCAUCGAUACUACAACCCUGAAUGCUGCAGUAGCUGCGGCAGUGGCAACUGCCAUGGCUCAGUAUCACUCUACUAAUGCCAGCAGAGGCAGAACCCCUGUUGAUUCUAUUCCUGUUGAAAUCCCUGUGCGCUCGAGAGAGUGCUCCUAAAAGGAUUUCACCAACUACAAGCCGAAGUCCUUCAAGGGAACCGGCGGAGUCAUUGCCCUCUCACAAUGGUUCAAGAAGACUGAAUCAGUCUUCGAAAUUUGUUCGUGCCCUGCUACAAGCAAAGUCAAAUAUGCCGCGUGCACCUUUGAAGAAAAAGCCCUGACGUGGUGGAAUGGCCAUGUUAAAGCACUAACUCUCGUAGUGGCCAAUGACAUGGGUUGGGAAACCAUAAAGGACCUCAUGAUCGAGGAAUACUGCCCGAGGGGCGAGAUCCAGAAAUUAGAGCAGGAGCUGUGGAGCCUAACCAUGAAGGGUUCCAAUGUAGUCGCAUAUACCGCCAGAUUUAGCGAACUGGUGGCCCUCUGCCCCAAUAUGGUUCCCAUUGAAGGGAAAAAGAUCGAGAGGUAUAUAUGGGGGCUAGUGCCUCCGUAUCAGGGAAAUGUCCUAUCAUCAAACCCUGCUACCUUCGACAGUGCCAAACGACUGGCACAGCGACUCAUUGACCAUGGAGUCAAAGCCCCAUCAGCAACGACAACCCUAGCCAUCUCAGAACCCUCCAAACCCACUGACACUAAGUGGAAGUUCUGGGAUGACAAGAAGAAAUAGCGAGCUGCCAAAAAGCAGCAAAUUGUGGCUGUGCAUGCCACAAUAACCCCUGCUACUGCUACUGCUCCUGUGAGGCAGAGUUUGCCUAAGUGCAACAAAUGCAACUUCCACCACAAUGGCCCCUGCCGUGAAAUGCAUUGCUCUAACUGCAACAAGAAAGGACACACAGUCUGUUUCUGUAAAUCACCGGCGAGGCCGAUCCCCGAAGUCCCCGACACUGGUGUGAGCCAGGCUUGCUAUGGAUGUGGCGAUGCGGGCCAUUAUAAGAGGGACUUCCCCAAAGCAAAGAAUGCUGGCGGAGCAGGGAGAGUACUAGCGAUAGGCCAUGGGGAAGCAGUUGCUGACCCGAUGGUGGUGACUGGUACGUUCCUCCUUGAUAACUCUUAUGCAUGCAUUCUGUUCGAUAGUGGAGCGGAGCGAAGCUUCGUGAACCAUAAAUUUGCUCGCAUGCUUAAACAACAACCACACACACUUAAAGAACAAUUCACAAUAGAAAUGGCUAAUGGAAAGAUAGAAAGCACAAAUAGCAUAUACUUAGGAUGUACACUAACUCUAGAUAACCAUUCAUUUCCCAUUGACCUUAUGCCGGUCUCAAUUAAAACCUUUGACGUAAUCAUCGGCAUGGAUUGGUUGAGUCUUCAUCGCGCUGACAUCAUGAGCUACGAGAAAGCAAUCUGUUUAAACCUCCCGUCUAACGAAACUCUUAUCGUCUAUGGCGACAAACCCAGUACGAGUCUUCGUAUAAUAUCAAGUAUUCAAGCACAGAAGUAUCUACGUAAAGAAUACCAUGCAUUCCUUGCUCUCGUUGUUGAUACGAGCCUCGAAACGAAAGAACUAAAGAACAUUCCAGUAGUGAGCGACUUUCCCAACAUCUUCCCAGAAGAGCUACCAGGAUUUCCUCCGCAACGACAGGUCGAGUUCAGAAUCGACUUAGUCCCAGGAGCUACCCCAGUACCCAAGUCGCCCUACAGAUUAGCUCCAGCAGAGAUGCAGGAACUAUCUGGUCAACAUAAUGAACUGCUCAGUAAGGGCUUUAUAAGACCAAGUUUCUCGCCUUGGGGAGCACCGGUCUUGUUCGUUAAGAAGAAAGACGGAUCAUUCCGUAUGUGAAUCGACUAUAGAGAACUCAACAAACUGACAGUCAAAAAUCGUUACCCUCUGCCUCGAAUAGACGAUCUUUUUGACCAACUGCAAGGGGCGAAAUACUUUUCCAAAAUUGAUCUAAGAUUCGGAUAUCACCAGUUACGAGUGCUAGAGGAGGAUGUUCCAAAGACAGCCUUCUGAACUUGUUACGGACACUACGAGUUCAUGGUGAUGCCAUUCAGAUUGACCAAUGCGCCCGCAGUUUUCAUUGAUCUAAUGAAUAGAGUAUGCCGACCUUACAUGGAUCAAUUCGUCAUUGUCUUCAUUGAUGACAUCCUGAUCUACUCCCGAAGUAACGAAGAGCAUGGCGAUCACCUGCGACAAGUUCUAGGAACUUUACAAACGGAGAAGCUCUAUGUGAAGUUCUCUAAAUGUGAAUUUUGGAUCCGAAGAGUCGAAUUCUUAGGACACGUGGUAAGCGAAGAAGGAAUCCACAUGGACCCAUCCAAAAUUAAGGCUAUUGAGAACUGGUCAGCACCGAAGACGCCUACAGAAAUUCGUCAAUUUAUAGGUCUCGCUGGCUACUACCGCAGGUUCAUACAGAACUUCUCUCGAAUUGCGAAACCUCUUACAACACUGACCCAGAAAGGUGUGGCCUUUGAGUGGGAAGAGAAACAGGAGAGAGCGUUCCAAACGCUCAAGUGAGCCUUGUGCACCGUACCAAUACUAUCCCUCCCCGAAGGGAUAGAAGACUUCGUUGUCUAUUGCGACGUGUCAAAUCAAGGGCUCGGAUGUGUUCUGAUGCAAUGGGGUAAGGUCAUCACCUACGCCUCGAGACAGCUGAAGACACACGAAGUCAACUACACGACCCACGAUCUUGAGCUAGGAGCAGUUGUGUUUGCUCUGAAGAUCUGGAGACAUUACUUGUAUGGAACGAAAAGCACUAUCUUUACCGACCACAAGAGUUUACAACACAUAUUCAAUCAGAAAGAGCUCACCAUGCGACAACGACGGUGGGUCGAGCUACUCAAUGACUACGAAUGCAAUAUUCGUUAUCAUCCGGGUAAAGCCAACGUAGUAGCAGACACCCUAAGUUGGAAGGAAUAUUCUGGUCGAAGAGUCAAGUCGUUGACAAUAACUAUCCAUUCACACUUGUCUAAGCAAAUUCAGGCGGCCCAGCUUGAAGCCAUGAAACCUGAAAACGUGACGAGUGAAUCCCUUAGAGGAAUGGAUAAAAAUUUAGAAGCCAAGGGUGGCGGAGCCUUAUAUUUCAUGAACCGGAUCUGGACCCCGAAGCACGGUGGUUUCCGAGACUUGGUCAUGACCGAGGCGCACAACACUUGGUAUUCUGUCCAACCAGGUUCAGAUAAGACGUAUCUGGAUCGUAAAAAGUUAUACUGGUGGCCUAAUAUGAAAGCAGAGAUUGCUACCUUCGUAAGUAAAUGCCUUACUUGCAUAAAGGUUAAGGUCGAAUACCAGAAGCCCUCCGGAUUACUACAACAACCAGAGAUUCCAGAAUGGAAGUGGGAGCGGAUCACUAUGGAUUUCAUAACCAAGUUGCCCAAGACAACGGGUGGACUUGAUACCAUAUGGGUCAUCGUCGAUAGAUUGACCAAGUCUGCACACUUCCUGCCUAUCAAAGAAACUGACAAGAUGGAGAAGCUUACGAGAAUAUACAUUAGGGAAAUCGUACGACUGCGUGGUGUACCUAUAUCCAUUAUCUCCGAUAGAGAUAGUAGGUUCACCACAAGAUUGUGACAAUCGCUACAACAUUCCCUGGGAACAAGGUUGGACAUGAGCACGACCUACCAUCCAUAGACCGACGGACAAAGUGAGAGGACCAUCCAAACACUAGAAGAUAUGUUGAGAGCACGUGUGAUGGACUUUGGAAAGGCAUGAGAUACUCAUUUACCCCUUGUCGAAUUUUCGUACAAUAACAAUUAUCACACGAGCAUCAAGGCUUCUCCAUAUGAAGCCCUCUAUGGCCGAAAGUGCAGAUCCCCUCUGUGCUGGGCUGAAGUGGGUGAUACCCAAUUAGCUAGGGGGCAAGUUUCUGACAGUACUCUCACAGGCCCGAAAAUCAUUCGGGAAACAACAGAGAAGAUCGUUCAGAUCCGUGAACGAUUGAAAGCCUCUAGAGACCGACAGAAAAGCUACGCUGAUAAACGAAGGAAACCUUUGGAAUUCCAGGUGGGAGACCGAGUCCUUCUUAAAGUCUCACCCUGGAAGGGCUUAAAACGCUUCGGUAAGCGUGGGAAGCUUAAUCCGAGAUAUAUAGGGCCUUUCGAGAUUCUCGCAAGAAUUGGCCCUGUAGCUUACAAACUCAAUCUACCCGAUGAACUUCGUAACGUACAUUCUACAUUCCACGUCUCUAACUUGAAAAAGUGUAUGUCCGACGAGACUCUUGUAAUCCCACUCGACGAGAUCGAGAUCAACGAGAUCCUCAACUUCGUGGAAGAACCAGUAGAGAUCAAGGACCGAGAAGUCAAGCAGACGAAGCAAAGUCGUAUCCUGAUUGUGAAGGUUCGCUGGAACGCCAAGCGAGGACCGGAAUUCACUAGGGAGCGUGAGGAUCAGAUGAAACUAAAAUAUCCUCAUCUUUUUGCUUAGUUAUUUGUAACUACUUUAUUUGUUUAGACUUUAAUUUCAGGACGAAAUUCCCUUUAAUAGGGGGAUGAUGUGACAACCUGAAAUUUCCAUUCGGUCAAACCCAAAAAGUCAACCACUUCUUGUUAUAAGUUAAUGUCAUUAUUUAUUAUUUUUAACAAAUUUAAAGUUCGUUUGAUUAUUUUAAUAUUAUUUUUAAACGAACGGGUGAAAGAAUGUGUCGUCUCGGGUUUUGAAUUUUAAAAACUGCAAACACCUCGUGUCUUAGAAGUUCCCGGCCAAACUAUUAUGUUUGGGUCGAAAAAUCACCCAAAAACCGUGAACUCAUGCAUAAGCAUGAGUUUACUCCUCAAGACUAGUCAUUCUUGUGUUUAGUCCCCAUUUACCGAAAGAGUAAACUCAAAAUCCUCUCAAGUAUCAUCCUAGAAUUUAUUCAAGAUCUUCAAACUAGUAAGUGUUCUAACCAUUUCAAGUUGGUAUUACACUUAAUCUAGUGUUUGUGCAUCUAUUCAUCCAUUCAUUUUUGUAUUUUGACCAGAUUUCCAAAAACACCAAGAACACACACUAAGUGUUCUUGAACUUUUAGCUAAAAUCAAGCUUCCUUAUAGUAAGUACUUCCAUCCUUGAGUCUUAUUAAGCUAGUAUUACAUGAUAGCAUCAAGAAAAUAAGCCAAGAACACAAGGUUUAAGGUAUUCACGGUCCAAGAAUGUUCUUGGGCCGUAAACACCACGAAAGGCACCAAAGUGUGCCUAAGUCCUUUAUCUAAGCCCUAGUUUGAUGUUUAAGCCUUCCUUUAUAUGUUUAAACCUUCCCUUGAUGUGUUUAAGCCUUGAAAAACAACAAAGUCCAACAUUAUUAAGUGUUUACGGUUUGGGGAGCUCCCAAAACCUUAAACACCCUAAAGUGUGUUUAAAUGGGCCAUUUUCCUUCCUUAGGCCUAAAAACUAACCUAGACAAUUACCUUGAUGAGUUAAGGACUUGAAAACAUGGAAAUACCCUUUUCCAUUUGGUUUUACGGUAGUAAACCGAAAGGGAAAUGACCAUGAGGCCGUAAACUCCUCAAAGGGGUGUUUUGUUGCCCUAGUCCCUUCCAAAGGCCAAACCACCAAGUAGAAAUGCUUCAAAAGACUUGUAAAACAUCAAAACAACAUAUGGUCUUAAGGUGUAGAGUGUACGACCAUAAACCAUUGAGUUUACUGCCAUAAACUCCUUGGGUAAUGGUCAUUAAAACCGUAAACUCCAAAGGAGUUUACCCUUGAACUCCAAACACUCUACCUUUGCCCUACAAACACUUGGAUGCAACCCUUGUGAUCUUUAACAUUAGAAAUAAAGUGUUUCAUGUUCUAGAGUGUCCCAACUUAAUUUAUUAGUUAUAAUUUGGCUAAUUAGUUAUAUAUAUAUUNGUUAUAUAUAUGUUCAUUAUAUGAUAACUAGGCUCGUGCGUGUGGACAAGUCUCCAUUUGUCACCUAGCACCGUAUCUGACACUUCAAUCCAAUCCACUCAUUGCAAGUAAGUUCAUACCCCUUUAACUAACCUUUGAAAUACUUUUAAAUGUUUUAAAUGCUUUUAUGGGGGGGGGGGGAAUACAAGUUGAAUACUUAUAGUUAUUACAUCAAUCACAUGUGAUUAAUAACUUCAAACCAAUGAUUUUAUUACUGUUCAAAUUGUUUUACAAAUUCUUUUACUUAUCAAAUACUUUUACUUCAACUUUGUUAUACUUAUUCUAAAUUGCAUGCCCAAAUAAGUAUAGUUAUAUAAGCAAUGUUUAAAAGGCUUAGGAAGCCCUCCCGCCCUAUUUCCUUUUCGCGCUUGAGAUGUGGUCUGGUGGGGUAUCGGGUAUCCAUCCGAAGGUGGUUUAAAUAUUAGUUAUAUAUCCUUUGUACAUUUAUAGUCAUAAAAGUUCUUCCAUAUUCAUACAUACCAGUUACAUCAUUAGUAAGCUACCAUAUGGGUAGCACAUGAUAAUACUUAUACUAUUACUAGAACAUUGAAAUGUUCAAUGAGUCAGUUCAUUCAUGAGUCAGUACUUAUUACUAUGAGAACAUAUACAUUAUAUUACUAUGAGAACAUAUACAACUAUACUAGAAGAAGAACAUAUACAACUAUACUAGAAGAAGAACAUAUACAACUAUACUAGAAAGAGAACAUAUACAACUAUACAAGAAAGAGAAUGUUUACAACUAUACUAGAAAAAGAACAUAUACAACGAUACUAGAACGAGUAACAGUACAUUACAUAUACAUGAAUACGUUAACAUAAUUAUGAUCCACUGUAUCAGAGCGUGCCUUCAAUGUCAUGGCCCGAGUUGUAGCCUGAGUCUCUUGGAGGGAGAACGUGAGUUUGCGUAUAGAUCUAUACUGGAUUGCCUAUCGUACACCUUGCUGCUAGCUACAGCCGGACCUGCAGGUCUGCGGGUGCCAAACGUCAUACCUUUUUACGACCUACACUUUUGUGUUACAUAGCCGAUAGUAUGGUACAAUUAAUCACAUAAUACCUUGAUAUAAAUCCGGUUUAAGGUAGUUAGUACAACAGUAGUUCCUAUAAUACAACACUACAGUACUACAUUAAUUUACCCUUUACAUAUAUUUAGUGAUCAUUUUACUUAAAUAUUAAUGUACAAACUAUACUUUGUUAAUGAUAGUUACACUUGGGAAAAUUACACACUUUUACAAUAAACGAACAUACAAAACAGUUACACCUUGGUAGAAGGCUACUUUUAAUAGAAAAUAUAGGUUUUUCUAAGAGAUUCAAACUUUUACAAACACUUACAAACAUACACGUACUUUUAUCACCAAUGUUUACAAACUCAUACUUUAAACCACGUUCAAACGUUUUGAUACAAACACCGACACUAAAAUACUUAUGAACUCAUCAGCUUAAUGCUGAUAAACUCCUUCAAAAUAACUUGUAUUCUCAGGUCAUCAGUAGACAGGUACCGAGGCCAGCUUUUGAGAAGAUGGAGCGCAUUCAAGACUCAUCUUAUUACUUUGAUUUACUUUUUGGUGUCUAUAACUGUAUGGAACACGCUUGUAUUAAAAUUAUAUAUUUAAUGCAAUGGAUGAUGUUGUUUGUUUAUUUACUGUUAUACUGUGUUGUGAUACUUUACAUGACGUCCUCCGCCCCAGAACAUUUCCUCCGUUCUCGCUUUUGGGGUGUGACAAUGAUUAACAAUGAUAGACCAGUUUUGGGUAUAACAUGUUGUAUUGACGGCUUCAACGCAAAAUGACAAGGAAAGACCAUCUUUAACGACCAUAGUUCUUCUAGCUUCAAUGAGAGUUCUAUUUCUUCUUUAUACAAUCAUUUUGCUGUGGAGUUCUAACUACCAAAAAGUUCCAAGAAAUUCCUAAGAUUGAGCAAAAUUCUUCCAGAGAAGAGUUUAUGAGUGCAGUUCCAUGAUCACUAUGUAAUUUCCUUAGUUUGUCGUCAUAGAGGAGUUCUAACUACUUAAUGAGGGCAAUGAUUUCAUCAGCGGCAUGACUGUUCUUUCUUAAAAAGAGUGCCCAUGUAAUCCUUGAAAAUUCAUCCACAAUGACGAGAGUAUAUUUCUUUCCAGCCAUUGACAAAACCAGAACUGGUCCAAAAAGAUCCAUGUGAAGAAGAUGACAAAGUUUGACAAUAGACGAGCAUGACAUUGUCUUAAAGGAAGACUUGGUUUUCUUCCCCUUUUCACACGUCGAGCACAACUUAUCCCUAACAAACUGUAUUUUAGGAAUUCCUCUUACGAGUUGAUUCCCUGCAAUCUUUGAAAUGUUCUUAUAGUUCAUAUGUGAUAGGCUCUUGUGACAUAGUUAAUUUAGAUGAGAUUGAGCUCAACAGAAGAAGCAACAAUGAAAAUUCUUUCCAGUAGAAAACAUAUCCAGAACAUAGAUGUCGUUUUGUUGACUUGUAGUAAGAUCAGUGACACUCUUUUGAUCAACAACCUUUCCUUCUCUCUUGUUAAAGAGAAUUUCAUAUCCAACCUCAAACAAUUGGCUAAUAGAAAUGAGAUUAUGCUGAAGACCUUUCACAUAAGAGACAUUCUUGAAAACAACAGAGUUGAACUUGAUGGAUCCAUAUCCCUUUUUAGCUCCCUUGCCAUUUUUCUCUGUAUAUAACAGUCGGACCAUCCUUCUUUAUGAAAUCUUCGAGGAGAGACCUGCGUCCUUUCAUAUGUCUUAAACAACCGCUAUCUAAAUAUCAAAUAUGCUCUUUACCCUAAAACUAGGACACACAUUAAGCCCUAAAACAAAGCAAAAAAAAACAAGCAAAAAUGUACACAAUAUACACUAACGCAUUUGUAAAGGACAACUUAGGAAAGGAUAUUAUUACAAUCAUCAGGAGGCAGUUCAAAAAGUUUCUCUACUUGAUCCACUUAUCAUUACGAUUCAUGAUGUUAUCAGUGCAAUAGAGUUCUUUUCAGAAGUGCACUCGCUGACUUUGUGAGAGGCAUAACCACAUCGAUAACAAUCUUUUAUUUCAUAAUUCUUUCCUUUAACAUAAGAUUUUAUUUUCUUUUCAACUGCUAAAUCUGAAGAACUUUGAUUUUUUGAUUUAAGAGUUAUUGACAUAGUUUUGGAAUAUGAAAUGACAUUGAUGUUAUGCUCAGAUAUUACUUUUUCAUGAGGCUCAUGAUGCAUUGAAGAAUCAUCAGAAGUAGAAGACUUUGAUUGAUCUUCAGGUUCAGAAUUGCUAACUGAUCACUAAGGAAACAUGCUAAGAAUUUCUUUCACAAAAUGAACUUCACCGUUACAUAUAGGAAGCUUUAGCAAAAUCUUAGUGGACGGAAACAACACCAUUAGAAUCAAUAGAGCAGUAAGUAUAAAUUAAAGUUUGAUUUAUAAAAUAAGAACUCAAAAAUCUACUCUUAAAAUCUUCUUUUAAACAUUCAACUUUAUAGAAGGUUUAUUUAGUCUCAAUAACUUUGGUUAAGGAAACAACACCAUCUAUAUCACCUCCAAGAAUUUUCUCACACUGAUCUGGAAUCUAAACAUUAAUAAUUCUUGUGACAUUAAAGUUAAAAGAUACCUAGCUUUUUAAAAUAAGUUGAAUGCAUUUAGCAUGAUCAAAAACUUUUUCAUUUUUAGUGUGAAUAAAAUUAUUGGUUAGUCAGAUACACGCGUUUUCCUUUUUUAACAUUGAAAGAGAUUUUUCGCGAAAAGAGAAUUUUUCUUUGAUUUUCUUUAACUCAUGUCAGAGUGCAGCUUUUCUUUAUUUUAGAUCAAUAAAUCAAAACAUAGCAAAUCGAUUGUGUCAUCUUUUUUAAUACUUUCAACAGAGGAGAAAUUAACAGGACUCUUUACCUGAUUUGCUAAGGUAUCGUCAUAUUCUAGCUUGAUUUUCUUAUCAGCAUGAGAAGGCUCAUCGUCAAGGGUGCCAACGUUGUCAUGUGAAACGUCAGGGUGAGAUUCAACAAUAUUAGCCAUGAGACACUUACCUUCAUCGUAUAAGGAGUUUUCUUUUUUAAAAUUAGAUGACUAAGUGAUCAUCAUUCUUGAGCAGUUGAGCAAUUUUGAAUCAAACAAUAGACGGAAAAAGGGAGUGAGUUUCCAUUAGCAGUUUCACCUUUACAUCGAUACUCAACAUAUUUUUCUCUCCCUUGUUAUAUCGGGGAUAGAUUUCCCUUUCAGCUUACUACCCAAUGCACCAUCAUUGGAUGAUUUAUGCAUAGCAACGAUAGGAACUUUAUUGAUGACAUCGGUCAUAUCAAACUCCAUGAAAUCGAGAGCUUCCAUGGCCUUUCAUUUCCAGGUAGAGAAUUUUUUUUAUCAAACGGACGGAAGGAGAUCUACAUAAUUUCCCGAGUGUAUCAAAAACCCUCUCAAUACCAAUUGAUGGUUUGUACCGGUCGGAUACAAUUAAAGUAUUAAACACAAAUGAAAACUAAUCUAGAAAAACAAAGAAUAGAAAGUAAAUAACACAAGUAGUUCUCCAAAUUGUCUUUCACCAAGAAAGGGUUUUAUCUUCACCAAGAAGGUAGAUUGUCACAAAGAAGCUUACGACGCCAAGCUGUGCUCAUAACAUUAGGGUUUACCCUAAUGUUAUAUAUAUACUAAUCUAUACAACUAUAUCCCUUAAUUGAAGGGAUUGCAUGUAAUCUAUACAAAGAAACGAUCUUAUCACAAAGAUACCAGAUCUAUGAUCUAUUCUAUACUUAUCUAUAUCAUUACCUAAUAUACAAAAUAUUACACAGAAUAAUUACACGAAGUGUUGAAGUUGAUAUUCUUUAUAUGCUGGUGCUAGUUCUAAAGUACAUGCUGACGUUGACAGAUGUGUGGAGUGUUUCGCUCAUCAGAUCAUAAGGUGCGACCUUACAAUAUAUGUAUCUUCAUAUGCACUACAAUAAGUUAUAUGACAUAUGCAUGUUCAUAAGUAUAUACAUAUGCAUAUGAAUAUCUGUAUGCAUAUUAAUAAGUUUAUAUAUAAGAAUAUGAAUAUGCAUAUGCAUAAUUAUAAGUAUAUGCAUAGGAAUAAGAGAUGCAUAUGAAUAAGAUAUGCAUAAGAAUAAGUAUAUGCAUAAUAAUAAGUAUAUGCAUAUGUAUAAGAAUAAGAAUAAGUACAUCCAUAUACACAUGCAAAGGAAUAUGCCUAAAUGCAUAUUAAUAAGUAUAUUCAUAUGCAUAUGAAUAAAUAGAUGCAUUUAGAUAUGCAUAUGCAUAUGAAUAAAUAGAUGCAUUUGGAUAUGCAUAUGAAUAUCUGUAUGCAUAUUAAUAAGUUUAUAUAUAAGAAUAUGAAUAUGCAUAUGCAUAAUUAUAAGUAUAUGCAUAGGAAUAAGAGAUGCAUAUGAAUAAGAUAUGCAUAAGAAUAAGUAUAUGCAUAAUAAUAAGUAUAUGCAUAUGUAUAAGAAUAAGAAUAAGUACAUCCAUAUACACAUGCAAAGGAAUAUGCCUAAAUGCAUAUUAAUAAGUAUAUUCAUAUGCAUAUGAAUAAAUAGAUGCAUUUAGAUAUGCAUAUGCAUAUGAAUAAAUAGAUGCAUUUGGAUAUGCAUAUGCAUAAGAAGAAUUAUAUACACGAGCAUAUGAAUAAGUAUAUGCAUAUAUAUAUAUAUAUAUAUAUAUAUAUAUAUAUAUAUGUGUGUGUGUGUGUGUGUGUAGGAAAAAAAAAAUUUUUAUAAUAAACUCUAAUAGGUAUAGUUUAUGAGUCAUUAGUAUUGUUAUAACAUUUUAGGACAAGACGAAUAAUUAUAUAAAAGUAUAUAAAUGUUGUAUACUAGAUUAAUACUACGGAAAAAUGAUAUUUACACAUACAAAGGUUUUCAUUAUACAAAAUGUAAACUUGUUGAAACAAUUAUCGGAGACAAAGUCAUCACCAUACCUACCAGAGUACACACUAAACUCCUGGAUUAUAAUCAUAAUCUCGGUAAGAGAGUGUGAUACUUGUGUAUAGUUCUAUAUAGUACUAACAAUCCUGCACCUAACCAGUUACCUGCAGCUAGACCGGUAGGUCUGGAGUGACAAAUGUCUAACAUUCUGACGCCUGAAGAAAGUCGCAGAAGGCCAACUUCUGUUUUAGUAUGGUUGUAAUAACUCCCUUGGGAAAUCAACGAUAAAUUUAGUUUACGGGGUAACAUGCAUUCAAAUGAUUCUAUAUAAGAAUUAAACUACGUAAUACUAUUUUAAGUAUAGAAAUACUUACAAAUUUUUGGUCUUAUGGAUUUUAAGACGACAAAUCAUUUUUAAGAAAAUAUUGGAUAUUCUGGGAACAAAUACUAUCAUUUCACAAGGAAAGAAUUACAGAUUUUUACCAUACAAAACUCUAAUGAACUCAUCAACUUAAUCGUUGACACUUUUCGAAACUACUUGUAUUCUCAGGAAAUCGUUAAACUAUAAGUCCCCAAAAUGCUUGUGUAUCAAUCAGAUCCGUUUGAUGGUGCGGAAUCCCAAUCAAAUGGAUGAUGUCAGAUCAAAUAGAAGAGAAGGAGAAGAAGAAGAUGAUGAAUCUUGUAUGUAUUGAUAUGAAUGAAGAUCCAGAUAAAAGAUUUACACACACUAACACACACUCUCUUUUCUCUCUCUCUCUCUCUCUCUCUCUCUCCAGAACACCUUAGAAUACACACACAUAAGCUCCUCUAGAUUGUACACUCUCUUCUGUUNNNNNNNNNNNNNNNNNNNNNNNNNNNNNNNNNNNNNNNNNNNNNNNNNNNNNNNNNNNNNNNNNNNNNNNNNNNNNNNNNNNNNNNNNNNNNNNNNNNNAGUAUGGGCAUAUGCAUAUGCAUAAUAGUAAAUAUGCUUAUACAUAUGAAUAGGUAUAUGCAUAUGUGUAUGCAUCUGAAUCAAUAUAUGCAUAUGCAUAUAAAUAAGUAUAUGAAUAUGUAUAUGCAUAAAAAUAAGUAUAUUACAUAUACAUAUUAAUAUACAUAUUGAUAUACAUAUACAUAAGAAUAAGUAUAUUCAUAUUCAAAAGUAUAUGUAUAUUCAUAUGAAUAAAUUUAUGCAUUUACACAUAUGAAUAAGGUUAUGCAUAUGCAUAUGCAUAAGACUAAAUAUAUGCAUAUGUAUAUGAAUAUGUUUAUGCAUAUGCGUAUGCUUAUUCAUAUAUGAAUAAUUUUAUUCUCUUAAUUUGUAAACUAUAUUUAAUAUCAUUUUUUACUAAUAAUAACAAUAUAUAAACCAAAACUUCUAAUGUUAGUACAUGUUUUUUUUAUCUUUUGGAAUUAUCGAUAAAAAAUAAGUAUUUUUCUGUUUUAAGUAACUAAUUGUAGGUACGAUAUUGGUUGAUGUUGUCUACUAAUUUCCUUUCGAUUUAGGCUUUUUUUUUAAUCUUUUUUCCAUUUGAUCUUUAAUUAAUAUUUUAUAAAUGAAAGACCAAAAUAAUAUCAGGGCUGAUGAAAUGACAUUUUAGAAGCUUCUACUCAUGUGCUAAGGUAACACUUUAAUAACAUAGUAAUAACUCUACGACAUUUAAGAAGAAGUUAAAAUGUCUAGUAUCUUUUAAAUAAAAACAAUGUAUUAAAAGGGAAGUACAAAUGUAAACGCGCAUUAAAAAAAUAACAUUGUAUUUGGUUAGCCACACUUUGAUUUUGUCUAAUGGAAAUGGAAAGAGUGAAGUUACAUUAAAUAAAUAUUCUAUCCAGGUUAAUAGAAAUGUGAAUGGUAACUCAUGGUUCUAUAAAGCGUAUAUAAACUAGAUUAAAAGUCCAAUAAUUAUGUAUAUCAGAAAAUACCCUUCCUCUAUCCCUUUUCAACAAAACUAAAUACAGGUCUUAAAUAUUAUAUACUACCCUCCACCUUUUUCUUUCAUGCAAAAACCUUUUUUAUCUUAUAAAACACAAUACCUUUCCUAAAUCCUUUUAAACUGCCCCGUAAUCUCCAAAAAAAUGUUGAUACGUGUAAGUGAACCUCUACCAAUCUAAUGCCUAGCCCAAACUAAAGUCGUGUGCAUUCCGAGGUUGAUGAGCUCCGAAAUGAAACUUGUUCUGAAGUGAAGAUAUGUACGAAAAAACUCAUAGUUUUCAGUGUUAUUUAGAGUUUGUAUUAGCAUUAAAUGUUUAUUUUUCUUUUGUAUUUGUUUUAUUAUAAAGUUCAUAGGACAAGAUCGAGUAAAUUUUGUAUGUCAGCUUUUUGACUUCUUGGAUUUACAUUCUCCAUGCAAUUAUGUAUUUUGUCUUUUUAUCACUCCUUGGCUAUUUAAGCAGUUGAUCUUUCUAUGCAAUGUAACCUUUUGAGCAUCAUUCUCUUUCACGUCAAUACUAAGUAUCUUGCAACUCUAAUCACUAUUUCUAUUAUUCUAAUUGUUCUUAAAUUGUCUUUACUUUGCUCAUAAUCAUUUUCUCUUAAAUUUUUUGUUGAAUAAUUUGUUGAACUUCGUACUCUAAGACAAGAUUGGUUUACCAGACUUAACUAGACUCUUCAUGCACUCUCAAUUGGUAUCAGAGUUUGUCCUUUGAAUCCAUAAGAUCAGAUUAUAACUGAUCUAAGAUUACCUUGCUAUCUCAAUUAUUUCUGAGUUCAAGAUAAAAGUUCUUUUAUAUACCACUUAAGCUUUCAAUAAUUUAACUUCAAUGGCUACUCUUAAUCAAUCUCAACAAAUGUUUUCAAUGUAAACAAGAAAUAGUGUGGGUUGCCCAACGCGUGCCGAUUGCUAUUUGUUGAAGAGUAUGAUCACUGGAAAGUUAGAAUGGAGAGAUUUAUAGUUGGUAAAGAAAAAGGUGAAGAGAUAUGGAGAUUGUUAGAUGCAUAUUAUAUGCAUCUUUUAGCACAAUUUCCUAUGUAUUUCAUUAAAAUAAGCUAACUAGUUCCCGAUUAAUUUUUUGUAUUUCGUGUUUCAUGAUUAUUUUGAAGAAUGCCCAUACUGCUCACGUUUGUUAUUACUUUUCUGGGCCAUUUGGAACACAUUGAUGAUUGCGCAAGUUCGGGAUGCGUUUGUGGAUGCUUUGGAGCUUAAUUGGAGUCUAGACCAAGGAGGGAUGCCGGGAAAUGAUCAGGAACUGCUUGGAAUGAGGAACGCCGAUCAAAAGAGCCAAAAAAAAGUAACAUGCGAUCACAUUUUGUCUCCUUGCGAUCGCAGGUUGCUUUCGAGGUUUUGUCGAGCCUAAAAAUUCAUCAGCUUAGAGAAAAAGAAACAUGCGAUCGCAGGUUGCCAAUUUGCGUCUAAAUAGCAACGUACUUCAUUUAAGAAGUCCCAUGACUCUUUUUGGAUAAUACAUGUGAUCGCAGGUUGUCCCUUUGCGAUCGUAGGUAUGGCGUUUUGACAGCUAGACGUAUAAAUAUAGCCCCAUACUCUUCCAGUAACCCUAAUUGGUGAUUCAUGGGCAAUUUUCAGAGGGUUUCAAGUGAAGAACGUAGCUCUAAAGGAGACGACUCAAUUCCAAGUCAUAGUUUAGUAAGAUUUAUUGUAUAGAUUCUAUUUUCAUUGUUUGUAAUCCAUUUUUAGCCAUGUCAGCUGGCUAAAAACCCAGAUUUCAGUUUCGCAAGACGUAACCUUUUCGUAUGAUUAAUCAUUAGGCAUAGUGUUUGACUAUGAGUAUUGUUUGGUUUGAUCAAUUCUAUCUUAAAUUGAGUGUUUGAUUUGAUUUCAAUUUCUGUUGGCCACUUAAAUUGUUUGUGAAUCAUUCUAGUCUUCUAAUUGUUUAGAUCCAUAAUUUUCUAGAUUAAUUAGUAAAAAGUGACAUAUAUUAGAUUAAUUCUGAGUUUAGGGUUAACUCUAAUAUGAAAUGAUCAAACAUGUUUUAACGCCUCCGAGCUUAUGAGAGGUAUUGAACUUUACUGGGAUUACACUGUGUCUAAUGCAACUUUUCUUUAUUAGUCAAGAGCUUGUUUGGUUAAUUUAGUAAAAAGUUAGAUUUAAUUCAAAGAGCUUAUUUUAAUUAAAUGGUUUUCUGUAAUAAAAGUCAUUAGAGCUUGUUAAUGAACCUUAGUACCAGUUUGAACAAGUGUAUAGUCGAAUAUUGUGUUGAGGAUUAGUUAUAUGAUUAGGGGAGUCACUGUGAAACUAGAAUUGCUUUCUCUUAAUUGAAUUUCCAUUACUUUAAAUUUAGUCAUUUUCUUGUCAUUUUCAAUUUCUGUUAAUUUAAUUUUCAGAAAUAAAUCCCCCUUUUUAUGUUUAUUGCAUUCAUCAAGAAUUAGUUCAUACCCUACGCAAAUAGGUGUAAACGUUAGGACGUGUCCCUGAGGAUCCGACCCUGCUUACAUGUACUACCUUUUAGUGGAAUAAAGCAGUUUAUUUUAUAUUUUUAUUUGUUAAAACAUGUACAAUAGCAGUCUUAACAAAUUGGCGCCGUUGCCAGGGACACAGUAAAACACUAAUAGUUUUAUGCCAAGAUCAUCAUGUACAGGUAAUCUGAUUUUUGAUCCAGAGAUUAAGAAGACUGUUAGGAAGCUUAAGAAGGAGGCAAAACUUCAAGAGCAACAAAAAGGAACCUCAACCUCACCUAUACCACAAGGCACUCCCUUGUGGAACGAACCUGAACACUCAUUUCAACCUUUUCUGAAAGCACCACCUACCUCAGCCAUUAACAGCCCGUUCAAAACCUACUCUUCAUCAUCUUCAGACAAACCCGGACUCACAGAUUCUUCAGAACCGAAUCAGAAUUCAUCAUGAGCGAAAACGGAGACGAAGCUGAAAAAACUCUUUGUGAGUGGGCAACACAAGAGGUGACCCAACAACCCUUGUGUAUUACCUUUCCAGAAGCUCGAAAUUUUGAGCUCAAAUCUGGUUUAAUCCAUCUGUUGUCCCCAUUUCGAGGCCUUGAGAAUGAAGAUCCUCAUAAAUUUCUUAAAGAAUUCCAUUUUGUCUGCUCCAGAAUGAAACCCCAUGGAGUUACUGAAGACCAGAUCAAACUCAGGGCGUUUCCCUUCUAAGUUCAAGAUGCAUCAAAGGAGUGGUUAAAUGACCUUCCGUCUGGUUCAAUAACAAGUUGGAAUGAACUCGCCAAACUCUUCCUAGAAAAAUAUUUUCCCGAGGCGAAAGUGUUAAAUCUACGCAGAGAGAUUUUGGGUAUAAAACACGGCAAAAGAGAUGCUAUCCACACUUAUUAGGAGCGAUUCAAGAAGCUAUUAGUUCGAUGCCCACAACAUGGAAUUAGUGAUUAUCAGUUAUAUUAGUGUUUCUGCGAAGGAUUGAUACCUAUGGAGAGGGGACUAAUACAUGCAUCUAGUAGAGGGUCCCUUUCACACAUGACACCAACAGAGAUUAGGGAAUUAAUAGAGAAGCUGGCCAACGAAUCAAAACAUUCAGCAACUGAGGAAGAGUGGUACCCAGACCAUCCAAGAGGAGUCAAGGAGAUGAGAAACGCCCACCUGGAAUCCCAGAUUUCAGAAUUGACUAAAGUUGUCCUUUUGUUGACAAAAGAAAAAGGUAUUGAGCCAAAGGUCAAACCUUGCGGGAUUUGCUGCAAAACCGAGCACCCAACUGAAAUGUGCCCAAUACUUCAAGAAGAUAAUGAAUAUGUGCAAGCUAUGGGAGGAUUUCAGCAAAGGCCAUUUGAUUAACAUCGCAAUAACCAAGCUUAGGGAGGGCCUCAAAAUAACAACUUCCAGCCAAGACCUGAACAUAAGUUUUAGCAAAGAAACCAAUAUCAAGCUCCACCCGGGUUUCAACAACCUUUUAAGCAAAAUCAAAACCAUAGCAAUUUUCAGCAACCACCUGUUCAGCCACAAGCUAGCAGUUCCACCAUGUCUUUGGAAGACAUAGUUAAAAGUAUAGCAACCAGCACCCAAGGUUUCCAGAAUGAAACAAAGUCUAGCAUCAAAAAUAUGGAACAACAGGUAUCACAACUCGCGAACUCCAUGAGCAAAUUAGAAGCAAAAACAUAAGGAAAAUUCUCAUCUCAGACUGAGAAGAACCCGAAGCACAAUGCGUGUGUUGUCACCCUCAGAAGUUGUAAAAACUACAAAGGACCAGAUCAGCAAAAAGAUAUGGAAGAAGAGAUCGUGAUUGAGCAAAAAUCUGAGGCAAAUGAAGAGGUGCAGAAAAAAGAUGGACCCGCUGAAGUUGAAGUGAAAAUUACCCCUCCUUCUUUUUCCUCAAGACUGAAAAACACGAAAAAAAGAAACGGAAGAUAAAGAGAUUAUGGAUUUCUUCAAAAGCUUGAGGUAAUUAUUCCCCUUCUUGAUGCAAUUAAACAACUUGUGACAACCAAAAAUUUUCGGUCAAUUCAAAGUCAAAUAAAGUCAACAAGUCAAACCAGUCAACUCAUCUAACCCUUGUAUAUUAGGGUUUACAAUAUGUUACUAUUAUACAACUCGUUAUGUUAAUAAGAAGUUAUCACUUGCAAAGUUCGUACGUUCAGAAAUUCAAAACCCUAAUCAGGGUAAGUGAUGAAACUAUUCGAAACUGUGUUAGGUGCAAAUAGUUCAGGUUUUCACCUUUAAAAUGACUACUUGCACAUGUCCAUACGAUUUUUCUACAAUUUAUGGUGAUUUUUACAAAAAUCCCUAUCAAUAUAGCUACAAAUUCGGACCAGACUAUGAAUAUGAAUGUUUUACACAAGUUAGAUGCUUAUAAAAAUCAUGAUAAAAUUUAAGAACAAGCUAGAAACAUUUUCUAAACUCUUAGAGUUUACGGAUUUACUUUUUUAUUUUGUAUGAAUUUUCUGUGAUUUUUGUAACUCAGUGCAGAAAUGGUAAAAAAACGAAUUUAGAGAUUACAACUUUCAUGAUUUACAAUUUCUAUGGAAAAUACUAGUACAUUAAUAGUCUUGGCAUUUAAUGCUACAUUACAUUGUUAAAAGGUAAAAUAUUGGAUUUUCUGGAACAAACAUACUUUUACAAAGAAAGGAUUUCAACAUUUCAUUCAAAGGCUUAUGAACUCACCAACCUAAUUGUUGACAGGUUUUCAAAACUACUUGUAUUGUUAGGGAAUCAGUAAAAUAGGUAUGCAACGGCUUUUGAGGAUGGAACGCUAAGGCGUCAAACAUUUCAUUUUUGUCAAUAUAAUGUAAUUGAUUUAGAAACAUGUAAACGUAUACUACGGUGUAACUUUGUCAAUUAUAUUUAUGUUGGUUUUUUGUACUUUGAGCAUUAUUAUACUCGUUGUUGUGAUACUAUACAUGAAGUCCUCCAGUCUCGGACGUUUCCGCCUUCCUUGGUUUGGGGGUGUGACAAAUUGGUAUUAGAGCAUUGUUUAUAGUGAACUUAGUAUAUCAAACCACAUAAGAUGUACAAACUACAAAUGCAUUGGGACUAAAAGUCUCUGAUUAAACAUUUUUCAAAUAACUAUACUUUUAGAAAUGAAACAGUUUCUUGAUAAAAAGUAUAAGUACAUGCAUGCAUGCCGGUAUAGUGGCACAUCUAGGAGAAAUUACGAAAAGUAAAAAAUAGGAGUUGUACACUAAAAUUAUUCCUUGGGAUAUGUAAUCAAGUCUAGGAGGAAUAUAGCAUGAUCAACUAUAUUUGUCCAAGAAGUGACUAGGAUAUAUCGGGGGAUAGUUGUAGUGGGCAACAAGUCCAUUAACCUACCAACACUCAUACAAGAACUACAACUAGAGUAAAUAAAAUGUUUAAAAUACUAUAGGAGUAUUUUAUGUUACUAAAAGUACAAUAUUUUCAAAUUCAUUAUGUGCCCCUUACACCCCUAUUCUCGUAUAGAUGACAUGGCAGGAUUCCAUCUACCUGGAGACCCUUACUUCCCUAAUGAGGGAAACGUUGGAUGGCUCGAUCCAGAACCCAAGGAAAUGAUCGACGAGGAUCCAGAAUAAGAUCCUGAAGAAGACCCAAAGGAAGAAGAAGAAGAAGAAGAAGAAGAAGAAGAAGAAGUGGAAGAAGAGGAGGAGGAAGACGAAGAAGAGGGUCCCGAGGUAUAUGACCCUCUCCCUGCACAUGCACCCACACGGGACUAUCCGGGACCGACUCCCCAAUGGGGAACUAGCUUGGGAUUGUGGAGCCAGGAACAAGGCCAACCCCACCGGUACUGCAAUAACAAAGGUUUCUACAAUCUCGACAGGGGUGGCUCGGCUGACAGGGCCCUCCCUGUCAUUAUCCACCGCAUCGCUCGCCACGAUCAGAGGAUCCGGGCAUCUGCCAACCAGAUUAUGGAGGUUGGUGCGACUGCGGAAGUCACAGCAACCCGCUUUCGACGCUUAGACCAGGAUCACGACCACACCAGGAAUCACACUGAGGUCCUGCAGCGGGAAGCUACCAUCGCUCGGAGUGAAGCUCGAGAAUAUCGGGAGCAUCAGGCGAACAUCGAGAGACAACUGACGGCAAUGGAGCGUAAGGCAGCCGAGGAUAAGGAGGAGAUCAGGGCAAUGUGGGCCCUCAUAGCCGCUUUGCAGGGACAACCAGAUGCCACCCGCCAUGAGUAGUGCUUACACUACUCGCAUUUUGUUAUAGACUAGGUUUACGAGUAUGUGUUGGUGCUACUUUUUCUUGCAAGUAGGUUCGACCCUACAUCUAAGUGAUUACACUAUCCGAGGAGUCAUUUUGCUAUCAAAAUUUUCUUCUACAUUGAUGUAAUGUAAACUUCCUAUGAGGUGAAAUUUUAUUUAGCAAUAUGUAUUAAAUUUAUAUCACUGAAAUUGGCUUGCAUUUUAUUUUGUUGGAUAUUUGGCAUGGGAACUCAUAACUUGAUAAUACAAACAAUUUGUAAAUGAUAACCCUAAAUUUCUUAAGGUGUACCUUGAGGUUAUGUGUAACUAAGGGGCGAUCGACUUAGAAAUGGUGAGUCCGCCUUAGGACCUGUUCUUUGUUUGGUUGUGGACUUAGGACAGACUCAUUAGGUUCAACGGUUUAUCAAAACUUUAUUAAAUGAAACUAACAUACGUCGAGUAAAUUUUAGGAGUGGAUCAGGCACAGAGCAGAACAUGAGUGUUUGGUUGAGUCACUAUUACUAAAUUCAAAAGUUUAUUGGUAUAGACUUUAUUUAUGAAUUGCUUGCAAAUACACUAAAGUGGGACAUAAUACUGAUAAUGUAGCUCAAAUAGCACCCGACUCAUCCUUACUAUUGAAGACUCACUGACUUUUCGUCUUUAAAACUUAUGAUAGAACUAUGCCGCCAAGGAAAAAUCCUAGACCUUCCAACAGCGCAACACCACUACCUCCUCCAUCACUGCCUUCAUAGUUUGAUUUCGCGAUGUUUCAACCUGUGGUAAAAGCGGUCGUGGUGGCAGCAAUGUCACAAAUGGGUACCAAUAGUGCCGACGGUUCUGGAUCUGGUGCUACCCACUCUAAUCAUAGGGACAGUACGGUUCGUACAAAAGCAUGCUCUUACAAAGACUUCAUGAAUGGCAAGCCUGAUUCUUUCAAUGGAAGAGGGGGCGUCGUCACACUAAUGCAAUGGUUCGAGAGGACCGAAGCAGUUUUCGAGAUCUGUGCUUGUCCCGAAACGAGCAAAGUCAAAUAUGCAGCAUUUACUUUCACAGGUAGAGCUCUCACUUAGUGGAAUGGCCGACUUAAGUCAGUUACUCCUGUAGUGGCUAACUCCAUAAGUUGGGAAGACUUGAAAGCUUUGAUACUAAAUGAGUAUUUCCCGAGGGGCGAGGUGCAAAAACUUGAAAAAGAACUCUGGAAUCUCAAGAUGUCGGGCACUGACCUUGAAACUUAUACUACUCGAUUCAAUGACCUAGCACUCCUUUGUCAAUCAACGGUCACUCCAGAAGAGAAGAAGGUGGAACGAUACCUAUGGGGACUAUCAUCCCAGAUUCAAGAUAAUGUGCUGGCCUCAAGACCCACUACUUUUGACAGUGCCAAGGAAUUGGCAGAACAACUUAUCGAGCAUAGUGCCAUCCAUGGUACUAUGACCACCACCCCUGAUCAAGUAAGAGGGGGAAGCAAUAAAAGAAAAUUUUUGAGUAACAAAAAGAAACAGUUGGGACCAGAAUCCGCUAAGAAGCAGCAGACAGUUGUUAUUCGUGCUGCCACCACUCCUGCCAUCCCAACACGACAACAUCGUUAAGGAAAUAUGCUGGAACCCUUCCCAAGUGCAACUUCCAUCACACCGGUGCUUGUCGGGAAAUGCACUGCAGCAAUUGCAACAAGAAGGGGCACGCUGCUCGAUUCUACAAAGCGCCAGCCCAACCCAUCACUCAAGUCACCAACACUGGAGCAAGUCAAGCUUGCUAUGCCUAUGGGGAAGCAGGACACUUCAAAUGAGACUACCCAAAAGCACGAAAUGCUAAUGUUGUAGGUGUAGGAAGAGUCCUGGCUAUAGGACAUAGGGAAGCAGUCAAGGAUCCCAUGGUGGAUACUGGUACGUUCUUCCACAAUAACUCCUAUGCAUGCAUACUAUUCGAUAGUGGGGCAGAGAGGAGUUUCGUGAGCCAUCAAUACAAACAUUUACUUAAACAAAAUCCCCAGUCACUAAAAGAUUCAUACGUCGUAGAAGUAUAAAACGGAAAGGCAGAGCGGACUAGUGAUAUUUACACAGGGUGUGGUGUACCCUCACUCUAGACAACCAUUCGUUCAAAAAUGACCUAAUGCCGGUCACAAUAAAAAGUUUCGACAUCAUCAUUGGUAUGGAUUGGUUAAGUUCAAAUCGUGCCGACAUUUUAUGCUAUGAAAGGUCGUCCGCCUUAAUCUGCCAAAUGGCGAAACCCUUCUUAUCUACGGCAAUAAACCUAGUACAAAUCUACAAAUAAUCUCUUACGUCAAGGCUCAAAAGUAUCUACGAAAGGAAUACCAUGCCUUCUUAUCCCACGUGGUAGAUAAGAAACAAGAAACAAAGGACAUCAAAGACAUCCUGGAGGUCUGUAACUUUCCCGAUGUGCUCCCAGAAGACCUUCUAGGUGUACCACUUGCAGGACAAGUUGAAUUCCGAACCGAUUUGGUCCCAGGAGCUACCCCCGUAGCCAAAUCUCCAUACCGUCUAGCACUGGCAGAAAUGCAAGAACAGUCUAGUCAACUCAAUGAGCUACUGAGUAAAGGGUUUAUUAGACCGAGCUUUUCACCUUGGAGAGCACCAAUCCUAUUUGUGAAGAAGAAGGAUGGAUCCUUUCGCAUGUACAUCAACUAUCGGGAGUUAAACAAACUUACCAUCAUGAAUCGAUAUCCCCUACCUCGAAUCGACGACCUCUUUGACCAACUACAAGGAGCAAGUUACUUUUCAAAAAUCUACUUGAGGUCAGGUUACCAUUAACUGCGAGAUCAAGAGGAUGAUAUUCCCAAGACAGCUUUUAGAACGCGCUACGGUCAUUAAGAAUUUUUGGUGAUGCCCUUCGGGCUAACAAACGCACCUGUGGUGUUCAUGGACCUAAUGAAUCGAGUGUGCUAACCCUUCUUAGACAAAUUCGUAAUCGUAUUCAUCGACGAUAUUUUGGUCUAUUCACGAAGCGAAGAAGAGCACAGCCAGCAUCUGCGACUAGUAUUGGAGACUCUAAGAACUGAGAAGCUUUAUGCUAAACUCUCUAAGUGCGAAUUUUUUUUCUCCGAGAAGCGGGAUUUCAUGGCCAUGUAGUUAGCGAGAAAAAGAUACAUGUGGAACCCUAAAAAAUCAAGGCGAUCGAAAACUGGGCUACACGGACAACACCAACAUAAAUCCUAAAAUUCUUAGGGCUUGCGGGAUAUUACCAAAGAUUCAUUCAAAACUUCUCCAAGAUCGCAAAACCACUCACCACCCUGACUCAGAAGGGUGUAACAUUUACUUGGGAGACUAAAUAAGAAACGACCUUCCAACUGUUGAAGCAAGCCCUGUGCAGCGCACCGAUCUUGUCUCUCCCAGAAGGGACUGAGGGUUUCGUAGUCUAUUGUGAUGUUUCAAAUCAAGGUCUUGGUUGUGUGCUCAUGCGAAGAGGAAAGGUCAUCGCCUAUGCCUCGAUACAACUCAAAACGCACGAAGUUAACUACACUACCCAUGACCUCGAGUUAGGAGCAUUAGUGUUUGCCUUAAAGAUCUGGAGCCACCGCCUCUAUGGCACAAAGUGCACUAUCUUCACAGAUCAUAAGAGUCUCCAACAUAUCCUCAAUCAGAAAGAGCUCAACAUGAGAUAGAGACAAUGGGUAGAACUACUGAACGACUACGAGUGCAAGAUUCGUUAUCAUCCGGGCAAGGCCAAUGUAUUAGCAGAUGCCUUAAGCAGAAAAGAAUACUUGGGGCGCCACGUAAAGUCACUAACAAUGAGAAUCCAUUCGCACCUGUUCACACAAAUCAAAGAGGCCCUACUAGAGGCCUUGAAACCAGAAAAUGUGAAGAGUUUGGCAUUGUGGGAAAUGGAAAAGAAGCUUGAACUCAAAAAAGAUGGAGCUUGUUAUCUCAUGAAUCGGAUUUGGACCCUGAAAUUCGGUGGAUUCCGAAACGUUGUCAUGAACGAAGCCCACAAAACUUGAUACUCCAUCCACCCAGGUUCAGAUAAAAUAUAUAUGGAUCUCAAGAAGUUAUACUGGUGGCCGAACAUGAAAGCAGAGAUUGCUGCUUACAUGGGAAAGUGUCUGACUUGUGCCAAGGUUAAAGUAGAAUACCAAAAACCGUCAGGCUUACUUCAACAACCAGAAGUACCCCAAAUUUUCAUGUUUUCUUCAAGUUUUAGGGGGGGGGGGGGAAUACAAGUAAAAACACCAACAACAUAACUAAACUCAAACAUCAGCUUUCAACAGAAAAGUUAAUGUUCAUUCAGGAACUGUUUUGGACAUCUAAAACUUUUUAGCUUUCAAAACUAUAUUUUUUUUAAAACAGUUUAGGAUUAUACCUUUAAAUUACUACUUGCACAUGUCCAUACGAUUUUUCUACGAUUUAUGGUGAUUUUUACAAAACUUCCUAUCACUAUAGCUACGAACAUCGACCAGACUAUGAAUAUGAAUGUUUUCACACUAGUUAGACGCUUAUAAAAAUCAUGAUAACAUUUAUUAACAAACUAUACACAUUUUCUAAACUCUAAGAGUUUACGGAUUUAGUUUUUAAUUUCGUAUCAUUCUUUUGUGAUUUUUCUAACUCAGUGCAGAAAUGGUAAAAAAACGAAUUUACAGAUUACAACUUUCAUAACACUUUGUAACAUGUUGAGCAAAGUGUUAAUCCUUGAUGACUUCAUAUUUUGCAUGAGAUUUCUGUUGAGAUAGAAAUAUAUAAUAGAAAAUUGUUAACUAAAUUGUAAGAGCCUUUAUUAUUACAAUUAACACAAGAUGAAACAUAGUAAACAUAGUUAUGUUUUGCUACAUAUUCUAUUUACACAGAAAAGGUUACCAUACAUUACCAACAUGUUGAUAAAUUAUAAUAGUUAUAGUUUAUGUUUCAUAUACAUUACGAAAGAGUACUUUCCUACAAAAAGGGGAUUUCAAUUUCACACUACGUAAAUCUGUUAAUGAAUAAAUUUGUGAGACAUUCGCUUCACAUUACUUCCAUAGUAACGCAAGAAAUGUCAUGUAAUUAUAACCAAAAUCUCUUGUAGGGAGAGCAUGAUAGUUGUGUAUGGAUCUAUAUUGGGUCUAAAAAAUCCACACCUUAGUUGCAUGCAACAGCUAGACCGGAAGGUCUGUGGUGACAAAUGUCAUUAACAUUCUAAUGCAUGUAGAACGUCAUAUACAAGGCCGACUAAGUCAUAGUAUGGUUAUAAUAACUCACAUGGGGUAUUAACAAAACAUAAGAUUGACGAGAUUCCAUUUAAACAAACGAGUUUAAUGUCAAUUUAAACUUUCAUGAUUUACAAUUUCUAUGGAAAAUACUAGUACAUUAAUAGUCUUGGCAUUUAAGGCUACAUUACAUUGUUAAAAGGGAAAAUAUUGGAUUUUCUGGAACAAACAUACUUUUACAAAGAACGGAUUUCAACAUUUCAUUCAAAAGCUUAUGAAAUCACCAACUUAAUUGCUGACACUUUUUCAAAACUACUUGUAUUCUUAGGGAAUCAGUAAAACAGGUAACCAGCGACUUUUGAUGAUGGAACGCUAAGGCGUCAAACAUUUCAUUUUUGUCAACAUAAUGUAAUUGAUUUAGAAUCAUGUAAAAUUAUAUUACGGUGUAACUUUUUCAAUUAUAUUUGUGUUGGUUGUUUGUACUUUGAGCACUAUUAUACUCGUUGUUGUGAUACUAUACAUGAAGUGCUCCACCCCCGGACGUUUCCGCCAUCCAUGGUUUGGGGUGUGACACAACUACCCCGAUAUGCUAAAAUUUUAAAAGAGUUAUGUACUUAAAAAAGGAAAUUAAAAGGAAACAAAACAGUUAAAGUAAGCGAGAAUGUUUCAUCUUUUUUACAAAAAAGGCUACCCCCAAAGUGUAAGGAUCCAGGAGUAUUUACUGUUACUUGCAAGUUGGGGAACCUUUCAGUGCCAAGAGCUAUGUUGGACUUAGGAGCUUCUAUAAGUGUUUUACCAUAUUCAUUUUUUAAAACGAUCGAGGUAGGGCCUUUAAAAAGAACAGGAGUCAUCAUUCAGUUAGCUGAUCGUUCUCUGGUGCACCCAAAAGGUGUAUUGGAAGACGUUUUGGUUCAAGUGAAUGAACUCAUAUUCCUAACUGAUUUCUAUGUUUUGGAUAUGAGAGAUGAUGACUCACCAAAUUUGGGUUCCAUUCUUUUGGGGAGACCAUUUUUAAAAAUUGCCAGAACCAAAAUAGAUGUUUAUGAUGGUACCCUUUCAAUGGAAUACGAUGGUGAAGUUGUCAACUUCAAUAUCUAUGAUGCCAUGCGUUAUCCUGACGAUGUUUCAACCCUCAAUUUUAUUGAUGUUAUUGAACCACUAACUGUAGAAUAUUUUGAGAUUGCUAACCGUGAGUCACUAGCAUUAGUGCUCCACAAAAAAUUUUCUAUUAAUGUUGCUCAGGUUAUACCAGAAAAUUAUGUGGUUGGUACAGAAGUUCAGGAAAUGGUAGCUCAUAUGGAUCAGCACAGAAAGUUGAGGUAUGGUAUCCAAACUCUUAAAUUACCGAUUUCUAAAUCCAAGCUUUUCCCUUUUGUAGUGCAAGCUCCUAUCUUGGAGCUGAAGACACUUCCAAAACACCUGAAAUAUGCAUAUCUUGGAGAAAAAGAAACAUUACCAGUUAUCAUAUCCAACAAGCUGUCAGAAAAAGAAGAGUUAGAGCUGAUAAGAAUUCUGAAGGAGUAUGAAACCGCAAUUAGGUGGACUAUUGCAGACAUCAAAGGACUCAACCCAUCUCUUUGCAUGUAUAAAAUUUUGAUGGAAGAGGAUUUUAAAGUCGUUGUGAGAAGCCCAAUGCAGAUUAAACCCACCUACGAUGGAGGAGGUUAAAAAGGAAGUUAUGAAGUUACUGGAUGCUGGGAUGAUAUAUCCAAUUUCUGACAGCAAGUGGAUCAACCUAGUUCAAGUUGUUCCCAAGAACGCUAGGGUGAUAGUGGUAGAGAACAAAGAAGGAGAGUUGGUUCCAACUCGGGUUCAGAACGGAUGGCGUGUGUGUAUUGACUACAGAAAAAUAAACGCAACCACCUGAAAAGAUCAUUUUCCACUCUCAUUCAUAGAUCAGAUGCUAGACAGGCUUGCUGUAAAAUCCCACUAUUGCUGCUUGGAUGGAUUUUCAGGUUUCCAUCAGAUUCCAAUUGCUCCAGAAGAUCAGGAGAAAAUGACUUUAACUUGCCUUUUUGGGACAUUUGUGUAUAGGCGUAUUCCCUUUGGACUAUGCAACGCACUCGCUACCUUUCAAAGGUGUAUGGUUAAUAUCUUUUCUGAGUAUGUCGAAAAUAUCAUAGAAGUCUUCAUGGAUGAUUUCACCGUCUAUGGAGACCCCUUUGAUAUUUGUUUAAAAACCCUUACAAAAGUUUUACAUAGAUGUAUAGAAACAGACCUGGUCUUAAGUUUUGUAAAAUGUCAUUUUGUGGUUGACCAAGGUCUGAUUCUUGGACAUAUUGUUUCCAAAAGAGGUUUAGAGGUCGAUAAAACAAAAAUCGAUGUUAUAAAGAGCUUACCCUACCCUAAGAAUGUUCGGGAAGUGCAUUCCUUUCUUGGCCAUGGAGGGUUUUACAUGAGGUUUAUAAAAGAUUUUUCAAAGAUAUCAGUUCCCAUGUGCCAGCUGUUGCAAAAAGAUGUUGAAUUUGAAUUCAAUGAAGAUUGCAAGAAGGCUUUCGUUGUGCUGAAAAACCUUCAUACUUCUGCCCCCAUAAUUCAACCACCAGAUUGGAGUUUUACCAUUCGAGAUAAUAUGUGAUGCCAGUAACACGACUGUUGGAGCUGUUGUAGGAUGGAGAAAAGACCGGGUUCCCCACGUUAUAUAUUAUGCAUCAAAAACCUUGGAUAAUGCCCAAGCAAAUUAUUCAACCACAGAAAAAGAGUUGUUGUUAAUUUUCUUUGCAUUGGAAAAGUUCAGACAAUAUUUGUUGUGCACAAAAGUUAUAAUAUUUUCUGGUCAUGCAGCUAUCCGGUACCUUCUUGCCAAUAAAGACUCAAAACCAAGGUUGAUUAGAUGGAUUUUGCUGCUACAGGAGUUAGACAUAGAGAUUACGGACAAAAGAGGGAGAGAAAAUUUGGUAGCUGAUCAUUUGAGUCGACUCACCCCACCUGAAGACCCGACACCGAUCUGUGAAACAUUCCUUGACGAGCAUCUAUUCGCUGUUCAGAACCCUCCUUGGUUUGCUGAUAUUGUGAACUACUUGGUCUCCAGAGAACUCAUUUCAGAUCUCACCCGGGCCCAGAAAGAUAAAAUAAAGAAGGAGGCGAAAAGAUAUGUUUGGGACGAACCAUAUCUAUGGAAACACUGUGCUGAUCAAUUGAUUAGAAAAUGUGUACCUCAAAGUGAAGUCAAAUCAAUCUUGAAUUUCUGCCAUUCAGAAGCUUGUGGAGGGCAUUAUGGUCCACAACGAACCGCAUGUAAGGUCUUGGACAGUGGUCUUUAUUGGCCUCAUAUUUUUCGUGACUCUUUUCUAUUUUGCAAAAUCUGUGAAAGGUGCCAAAUGAAUGGGUCUUUGACAUCUUGUAAUCAAAUGCCACUUACUCUGAUCUUAGUAUGUGAAAUAUUUGACAUUUAAGGUAUAGAUUUCAUAGGUCCAUUUCCGCCUUCUUUCGGGUUUGUAUACACCUUACUUGUUGUGGAUUACGUGUCCAAAUGGGUCGAGGCAAAACCUACAUGAAUGGACGAUGUCAAGGUUGUGGUCGAUUUUGUCAAGAAAAAUAUAUUUGCUAGGUUUGGGAAACCAAAGGCCAUUAUUAGUGAUCGGGGCAUGCAUUUUUGCAACCGCACCCUCGAAACGGUCCUCAAGAAAUAUCGUCUCACACAUCGGGUAUCCACAGCGUAUCACCUGCAAACCAAUGACCAGGCCGAAGCUUCAAACAAACAGAUCAAGGGCAUUAUAGAGAAAACCAUCAAUCCAGUAAAGAUGGAUUGGAGUAUUCGAUUGGAUGAUGUGUUAUGGGCUUACUAGACAGCAUACAAAAGUUCUAUUGGUAUGUCACCAUAUAGAAUUGUUUUUGGCAAACCUUGUCGAUUACCGGUUGAAUUGGAGCAUCGAGCAUAUUGGGCUAUCAAAAAGUUGAAUAUGAGCAUUGAUGAAGCUGGCAAGAAAAGAAGAUUGGAUAACCAAGAGCUAGAAGAAAUUAGGAAUGAAGCUUACGAGAACGAAGCAAUUUAUAAGGAGAAGACGAAAGUGUUUCACGACAAAUGAUCUCACGUAAGGUAUUCACUACUGGUCAAAAGGUACUCUUAUAUUACUCUCGUUUUAAACUUACUUAUGGUAAAUUGUGGUCUUGUUGGGUGGGACCUUUUGUUGUUACUAACGUGUUUGAUCAUGGUGCUAUAGAAAUUAAGAGUGAACAGUGUGGUGGAACCUGCAAUCGCAUACCCAGUCUUUACGAUCGCUGGUUAUACAAUUAGUGUCGCAGGUAAUCAUCGAGGAUUUUUUGGAACUAUUUUCACGAAAUUGAACAAACCUGGGAUCGCAGGUUUCCCCUUGCGAUCGUAUGUAUCAGUUUUUAGGGUUUGGAAAAUUUUUAUAAUCAACUCUAGUUUAAUUGAACAAACCUGUGAUCGCAAGUUUCCCCCUUGCGAUCGCAUGUAUCUCGUUGUUGUUCCUGGCUUACUUUUGAACAAAAAAAAUUAGAUUUCAGGACAUUCUUUGAAACCUGCGAUCACAGUUACAGCCCCUGUGAUCGCAUGUAUCAGUUUUUCUGUAUCUGCGACAUAUUUGAACGUUUAUCUCAAAACCUGCGAUCGCAGGUUAAGCCCUUGCGACCGCAUGUAUUACGUUUUCACAUCUAGACAUUAACCUGCAUCGAAAAGAGUGCCAACGGUCAAAUUUCUAAAACCUACGCUCAUAGGUUCCCCCCUUGCGGUCGCAUCUUAUGUUUUCCCUAUAUAUACUGAUCGCAAGCCUCAUUUUUAACCACCACACUCGAAAAAUUCUUUCUGAAAUCCAUUAUACUUCGAGUUCUUUCACCAAAAAAACACCCAAAUCGCUCAUUUUUCGUCGAAAUCAAACAAAUAAGGUAUCAGUCUCUUCUAUUUUACUCCUACAACAUGUAUAUGGUAACGAAGUCAUGUUUUCACGGUUGAAAUUCUCCAAAAAUCUCAUUUUGUUCAUUUUGAAAUUUGAAUUUUUGUGAGUUUUUUUUUUCAGAUCUACGUUCUGUUAAGUCAUCCACAGGCCACAAAAAGUAGAAACAUUUGCUCACGACGCGAUUCUGAAGAGAUUCAUCCGAACGAAAUUUCAAAAAUCAAAAAAAAAAAUUCGGCACGAAAAAUAUACUGCUGCUCAGCGCACAAUCAAUCAGGUAUUUUCAUUCUGAAACUGAAUCUCUAUUUUUGUUAUAUAUUUGUGCAGUCGUUUGGGAGUAGUUAGGAAUAUUCAUUUUUGCUUUAUUAUUAUUAUUAUUAUUAUUAUUAUUAUUAUUAUUUUCUUUUACCUGAAAUUGUGCCUUCCUUGUCCCGCUUUUGACCUGAAAAAAAAUGCCCCCUAGACCAUCUCGUUCAUGCAGACAGGUUGACGCUCCAGAGCCGUCAUACACUGUCCAGGUGGACAAUGUCACUGUGGAUUUAGGUUCACAACUCGACUGUUACCAGCGGCUUCUAGACCCCGAGAUUAUGCCACAAGCCUAGGCCCCUAGCCGCACACUAAUGUGGGAACUCUAUAUUUAUGAUGGUGUUCAUGCUCUUUUUGCCAAUAUCGGCUGGGAGCGCCUAUUAUCUACAGAUUUUGGCAGUUGUCCCCUAUUUUCCCGAGAGUUUUUAGCCACGCUUAGCGAGAUAAAUCAUGAGGGAAAUUUCUCUUUUCACAUUUUUAGCACCCUUCACACUAUUCACGUGGACCCGUUAUGUGCUAUAUUCCAUACCCCCAUCACCAGUUUAUCCCAGCCCACCCCCGCUUUUGAUGUACGCGAGUUUUGGUACUCCAUCACUGGAUUGGAGUCUUAUGAUUCAGCCUAAUCUGUACAAACCAGUAUUAUGCACCAUGUUCUCAAAAUUGCAUUGAAAAUUAUAUGCAAUAUUAUUUAUGCACAGACUGAGACUACAAAAGUCGGUAAAGCCGAGUUUUUUCUUUUGUGGUGCAUGGUCACCGGUUCACACCCCCCGCAUUUUGGUGAUCUUAUUAUCAAACGAUGCCCUUUGCACCGGCGGUGCAAUUCGCUGUGGUGGUCUGAUUUCUGUCAUUGCCCACUCCCUCGCGGCGCAAUCUUCUCCGGGGUACACUUUCUUUGCGGGUGAUUCUUUCCGUUUGACCCUGCAGACCCUUCGGUCUAUGGAUAUGCUUCGUACUGCCCCAGGUGGGUAUGUUUGGAUGCAGGGUCACUCCACUUAUUACAAGGUCACUAGCCCUGAUGUCAUCUCCCUAGCAGACCCUAUUAGCGACACUAUGUGGGUUCUUCCGUCGAACAUCCCACCAGCUCCUCGCCCACGAAGGGCACCGCAGGUACGGCAUCCACAGUCUGAUCGACCAUCUUCAUCCACUCAGCACCCAGACUUCGCAGACGCCACACCUAUUUCCUUUAGCCAUCCUGAUCCUAUGCAGACUGACUUUCAGAAUCAGCCCCCACCCACCCAGCCAUCUCACCCUGACCCCAACUUCCCCUUCACUUACCAGCUUUAUCUUGCCCUCCAUUAGGAUAUUGCUUCUCUUCAGCAGACUAUGACCAGUCUCCGCCUUGAUUAUCAGCUAUAUAGUACUCAGGUUACUGAUUAUCAUGACGAGCUGUUAGGUUUGCGUGACGAUUUCAACACUUUCCGCGACGAUUUCUUCCGUCGCUAUGCACCCCCGUCCGAGUAGUCGUCUUCCACUCCUCCCUAAGCAUUGAGGACAACGCUUAAUUUUAAUCUUGGGUAGGGGAUUUCCUAUCUUUUUGUAGAAAAUUUUUAUUUUGUCAUUUUUAUUUAAAAAAAAUCCAAAAAGAUUUUUCAUUUAUGUUUCUUUUAUUUGUCAUUUUAUUUUUUUCUAGUUUUUCUAAAAUAUUUUCAUUUUGUUGCAUUUUGCAUUUGCAUUAAAAAAAAUUAUGAGAUGAUGACACUUUUUACAUACGAUAGCUCCAUGAAGUGGGAUAUUGAGAAUUGAAAAUGAAAAAAUCUGAAGCGACUUGAUUGUUAUUGGAAGUGUAGAAUCAGCUGUCAUAACCAGGGGAUCCAAGACACCGUAAUUCGAGACCCCGACCUUAGAUAAUAAAAAAUGGCAUACUGAAACGUUUUUUGGGCGGUAAUAACAGCUCUAGGAUGAUUUGCUUAUUUAUGUUUAAAAAGAAUCUUUAUCGGCAACUCUAAACCCAUAGAACAUGACCCUAUUUGUUGACACGCGUUACCUCUCGUGGUAGCAGAGAGCUUAUGUAUCAGAUCCACACAGUCAAAAUGAAGAAAGGGUACAACGUAAUAUCUAGUACCCAAUUCAAAGAAUUUCAAGCGCUCAAUUGAAGAAACUCAAGAAAUUCUAAAAAAAAGGAGAGAGAGAUUGAAGAAAUCAAGCUCAAAACGAAUUGUAAAUCAAAGUUCAAUCAAGUUAGAAGUCAUUAAAAAGUUACAUCUGGCGAAUAAAGAACUGUGUGAUAUGAUUCUUAUGGCUCUCGAAAAAGUGAAAGCAUAGAAGUCGGGCUCCUAUGGGGGUUGGUGCUUGCUGCUUCGGCGAAAGUUGAUUUGGUCGUGCGGGUUCUUAAGGAUGUGUCGAUUCUGAUUCUUGGUCAUCUAGUCUUAAGGACAUGAGAUCUGGACUAUGUUAUUUUUGCUCAUAAAGCUAAUUAAGGUACACAGUUUAAAUAAAACUAUAGUUAGAUUAUUGGGUUACACCAUUUUGUGGUCUUCCUUACUUUGGGAGUCUGUGAUACAUGAAAGAUAGGAAGAUGGUUGCUUUGAUGUUAGUGAUUGGAGCCCAUUAUCGAUGUAAAGUCUGAUCGUAAGAAUAAAAAAAAUAUAAAAAAGAAAAAGAAAGAGAGCAUGAUUCAUUUUAAAUGUUCGUUUGUCAUUCGCAUACUAUUUUAGUUUAUUGUUCACUUUCUUUAUCUUUGCAUGCAUGUUUUAUGUUUAGCUUUGGUAGUCCUUAUUAUUUAGGAUUCCGUUUUUCUAGUUGACGUGUGUCUAGGUAAUUCCAUUAUUACCUUUAGCUUCAAUUCCAUUUCCAAAGUUAUCGUUUCCUUACUUGAGGGCAAGUGAGGUCUAAGCUUGGGGAGGUUCGUUAGAUGCAUUUUAUAUGCAUCUUUUAGCACAAUUUCCUACGUAUUUCUUUAUAAUAAGCUAACUAAUUCCCGAUUAUUUUUAUGUAUUUCGUGUUUCAUUAUUAUUUUGAAGAAUGGCCGUACUACUCACGUUUGUUAUUACUUUUCAGGGUAUUUGGAGCAUAUUGAUGAUUGUGCAAGUUCGGGAUGCGUUUGUGGAUGCUUUGGAGCUUAAUUGGAGUCUAGACCAAGGAGGGAUACCGGGAAAUGAUCAGGAACUUCUUGGAAGGAGGAACGGCGAUCAAAAGAGCCAAAAAAAAGUAACAUGCAAUCGCAUGUUGUCUCCUUGCGAUCGCAGGUUGGGUCGUAGGUUGCUUUCAAGGUUUUGUCAAGCCAAAAAAUUCACCAGCUUAGAAAAAAAAAAGAAACAUGUGAUCGCAGGUUGUCCCUUGCGAUCGCAAGUUGGUCAAUUUCUGUCUAAAUAGCAACAUACUUCAUUAAAAAGUCCCAUGACUCGUUUUUGAUAAAACCUGCGAUCGCAGGUUGUCCCUUUGCAAUCACAGGUACAACGUUUUGACAGCUAGAUGUAUAAAUACAGCCCCAUACUCUUCCAGUAACCCUAAUUGGCGAUUCUUCGCGAUCCAGAGGCAAUUUUCAGAGGGUUUCAAGAGAAGACCGCAGCUCUAAAGGAGACGACUCAAUUCCAAGUCAUAGUUUAGUCAGAUUUAUUGUUUAGAUUCUAUUUUCACCAUUUGUAAUCCGUUUUUAGCCAUGUCAGGCUAAAAACUCAGAUUUCAGUUUCGCAAGACGUAACCUUUUCGUAUGAUUAAUCAUUAGGCACAAUGUUUGACUAUGAUUACUGUUUAGUUUGAUCAAUUCUGUGUUAAAUUGAGUGUUUGAUUUGAUUUCAAUUUCUGUUGGCCACUUAAAUUGUUUGUGAAUCAUUCUAGUCAUCUAAUUGUUCAGAUCCAUAAUUGUCUAGAUUAAUUAGUAAAAAGUGUCGUAUAUUAGAUUAAUUCUGAGUUUAGGGUUAACUCUAAUAUGAAAUGAUCAAACAAUUUUUAACGCCUCCGAGCUUAUGAGAGAUAUUGAACUUUAUUGGGAUUACACUGUGUCUAAUGGAACUUUUCUUUAUUAGUCAAGAGCUUGUUUGGUUAAUUUAGUAAAAAGUUAGAUUUAAUUCAAAGAGCUUAUUUUAAUUAAAUGGUUUUCUGUAAUAAUUUUCAUUAGAGCUUGUUAAUGAACCUUAGUAUUAGUUUGAACAAGUGUAUAGUCGAAUAUUGUGUUGAAGAUUAGUUAUAUGAUUAGGGGAUUCAGCGCAAAACUGGAAUUGCUUUCUCUUAACUGAAUUUCCAUCACUUUAAAUUUAUUCAUUUUCUUGUCAUUUUCAAUUUCUAUUAGUUUAAUUUUCAGAAAUAAAUCCCCCUUUUUAUGUUUAUUGCAUUCAUCAAGAAUUAGUUCAGACCUUACGCAAAGACGUGUAAACGUUAGGACGUGUCCCUGAGGAUCCGACCCUGCUUACCUGUACUACCUUUUAGUGCAUUAAAGCAGUUUAUUUUAUAUUUUUAGUUCAAUAAAACAGUUUAUAUUUUUAUGAUUAGGUGUCUUGUGACCAAUCAGGUCAAGACAAGGAUCCUAAUGAAGCCUAGAACUGACGUCACCUGGCAAUUAGUUAGCAUGUGUAUACUUCUCCCAGUAAGAGGAUGCCACGUCUCACGCCCACAUGGAAGAGUCACAUCAUUCUGUUAGUAACAGGUAUAAAAGGAUCUCUUCCUGUCCAAGGAAAGGAUCCAUCUUCUUCCUCCAUAGAAUUUACCCGAAUCUCUCUCUGAAUAAAGACUAACUUGAUCAUCAGAGCGACAUCCCGGGAGAACACCCGAUCAUCCUUUAACAAUUCUUAUGUGUUAUGUUCUCAAGUAAACCUCCAGGACAAACCCAACUUCAAAAAACUAGUUCCCUGUAGAUCNNNNNNNNNNNNNNNNNNNNNNNNNNNNNNNNNNNNNNNNNNNNNNNNUAUAUAUAUAUAUAUAUAUAUAUUUGAAAGUCUUUAUAAAAUAUAAAAGCUAGUUUUAUAAAAUAGAGAAUUUGGAGUUUUAAAAACAAGAGAGAAUGAAUGUUUGACUAACUUUCCCUCCUUUUUCUUAUGAUUUCGUGUAUAAGCACCCACACCCACCUUUACGGGUGGUCCAAUGCAUGUAAAUGCUUUUAUGUUAUUCUUGAUUAACUCUUGCUUGUGUGGGAUAAUUAAACGACUGAAAUGCUUUCAUUUUUUCUUAUGAUUUAGCAUACGGAAGGAACUUUACUCUUGCAAACUCUCUCACUCUCUGUCAAAAUUGUUAGUUGUAAAAAGAAGAUAAUGCAUACUUUCUUGAACACCAAAAAUUCGUUUUUGGUUGUUCAAGAUCAAGAGGUUGUAUUAUCAAGAGUUGAACUUGAUGGGUUUUGGCCAUAAGAACAUCCUAUGUGCUCAUAUAAACCCUCAUGCUUUGAUCUAGGUUUCUCUAUUGUACAUGCAUGUUAUCCAAGACUAUAAACCCUAAUUCUAGCAUACAAGUAAUCAUAUUAACAUAAGAAUGGGUUUAAGAUAUUACCUUGAUUGUUAUGUAGCAAUAACAAUCCAAUUCCUCCUUGUAUUGACUUUAGAAAGCUUAGAAUCACAAAUGUCACUUCUCUAAUGGUUCACAAACACCAAGAGCAAGAGGAUGAAGAGGAGAGAGGAAGGAGGCUGCCCUAAAACGUGUGAAACCCUAGAAGGAUGCUUAGCCACGUUUUCGGGUCAUAAGGGAUCUAUAUAUAUAGGAGGCUAUUAGGGUUAUCUAACAAGGAAACCCUAAUUUGGAUGCUUAAGCCGUAAGCAACCCAUGGAUCCCUUUCCUUAAGGCCUUGGACAAUUUCCCCAUGGGUUUCCCAUAGAAUUCAUCCACUCCUUAAUAUAAGGCAAUCCAUGGCCCAAAUUGCAAUUAUCUUAUAAUUACAAUUCCACUCCCUUAAGUUUAAUUAAUCUCUUUUAGUCACAAACUAAUUACCAAUUAAUUAUUGACUAAUAUUAAUUAAACAAUAUGAUUUCUCCUUUAAUAUAUUAUUCUCAUAAUAUAUUAAUAAAUCAUAUUUAAUCCUUUCUCUCCAUAAUUCAUCCUAUCAAGUUGCUUUAGUGAAGGCAACCCAAAAGGACCAUGCACCAUCGGGUCAAGUACAUACCAAAAUAGUUAUGGACUUAGACACUAAUCCAACAGUCUCCCACUUGGAUAAGUCUAAUAACUAUUCUGCGUAUGACUUCAGAUCCUGAUCUGCAAUCGUAGCUUUCCAAAGCCGCUGUCAACUCUGAUCCUAUCAGAUACGCGUGUCCUUAGAUAAGGGAUCAUAUAUUCCUCCAUUCUAGAUAUCGUAUGAGAUAUGAUUUCAAAUCAUUCUCUUUGUACUAUAUCUCGAUUCCCGAUUUAUGACGACUGACUAAUUGAACAAAUCAAAUUAGCCCUAGCCCGGCCGAGCAUUUACGUUUGUCAUCACUAAAUCAUCGAGGGGCCCAAAGAUAUCGCUUUUAUCCUACUUUGGAUAAAAGGAACGGAUAAACUUUGAUACAAUGCUUGCUUGCACUCACUCACCGAAUUACACACAACAAUAUGUUUUAUAACACCAAGUUACUAGUGCGUUUACAUAUUAUCAAUGUGCAACCGAUUUGCAAGAUACAACUCACACAUCUCGGUUUCAAGAAUAUAAGAUGUUAUCGUCUCACCAAUCACUCGUGAUACAAUUCAUGGAGUGAUCCAAGUGAGCGUGGGUUUAAUCCAAUGCUCAAAUCAUAUUCAUAAGCACUCAUGAACGUUGCAGCAAACAUUUGCUUAUGUCUAAUACUCUUUUAGACAAUCCACACACCAAUUCACGACAGUCUUCAUUCAUAUCUACUUCCAACAUAUGAACGACUGUGGCCCGUUCGAAUAAUUCGAUUAUUCUUAAUAAACUCAAUUAUUCUGGAAGUCAAAACAUGCAAAUGUGAAACACAAGAAUAAUACUAAUCCCAUAUGGCCUCAAACCUUUGAGUAUAAAUAAAACACCUUUUAUUUAUCACCAUAUCGAUUACUCAUUAUUUGUCGUUUCGGGUAAUCAACUUCUUACUUGAAUUAUUACACUUGUCCCAUGCUCCUAGCAUGCACACAAUGUUUACCUAUGGUUCUUACUUUGUGAAAUAGAUCAAAUUGAACACAUUUCCAAUCAUUCUCAUUUCACAACUCCAAAUCCUUUUUCAUAAGUGUGAGAAUAUCAAAUUCUUGUUACUUAUAAAAUAUGCUAGAUUCUAACAUUCUAUGCAAUGAUCCUUUCGUAAUGUCACUGCACCAAAGUCACAAAGACUAUUGCCAAUGAUAUUACAAAGUCCUCUAUCGGAGAUUGUUACAAGACAAUUCCUUAGAUAUGAUGUCUCUCACUCAAAGUACAUUCCUUUGAACAUCCUUUUGCAUAAAAGUUUCUAAUCUAGACAUAGAUUUUCAAUAUUCAAUUCCCAAUAUGGACACGCUUCCAUAUUUUCCAUAUGACAACUCAUUCUUAAUAGAAUCUUAUCUAUUCGUAAUGAUGUCGAUAUGGUCCAUCCAAUAUGGAAACAUUUCCAUAUUUUCCAAUACUAUACUUCCAACUACUCACAAGCGACCAAUCCUCGUCGAACUUUGGAUUGUCCUUUGAUAGUUGUUUAAUUAUUUUAGUCAAAACCAAUUCUAGUCCCUUUUCCCUCUAAAUGUGCUCGACAUUUGGAAAAUUUUAGAAUGGUCAAACAUUAAAGCAUUUGCAAUCGAUCCUAUACCCGAAGCGUAUGGGACACGACGCAUAAUGUUUUAUUUGCUAUGUUCUCAAAAUUCGAAUUGUGAAGAGGAAUGCCGUAAUCAUAAUCGAAAUUUUAAGAACACACUAUGUACCUUUGACUAAAUUUAUUAACAUUUCUCAACCUAAUCCUUUAGAUUUGAAAUGAAGCAUAAUAUUCUCUCCCUUAAUUAUAGCAAAACAACUUUACAACCCUUACGACUUUGCAAGGUAUAACUCUUGUUUUCUAUAAUUAAUAUUGCCAACUUGCAAUACGUGCCUUAAUAAUCAUACAAUCAUAACAUUUAUGCUCCCACUAUCAUGAUGAUUAUUAUAAACAUAACACUUAUGCUCCCACUAGCUUUGACAUGUAUUCAGAAACAGCUUAACUUUCAGAAAAACAAUGCUUAUUGAAUUUCUUAAGUUCAUGUUUCUAAUACCUAGUGCUUUGAUAAUCUUUUAUCAAGGCCUCUUGAACUUAUACAUCUUUGUCUUAGAUAGCUCAUAUGUGUGACUAAACAAUUCAGACUACUUGCCAAACCUCACAAUUCAAAUUAUGGAAAGGGAUACCGUAACCAUAAUCGAAUUCGAGAAUGCAAUUUUACAAUCACUAUCUUCUUAAAAUCUUUCUUAGUGAAAGCAUUUCCUCACAAUCAUUUUCAUGAAGGAGGAAAUCUUAUGACACUUAGAUUUAAACGGUGUAUGUGUUCCUAUCCAUGUGAAUUUGUUAAAACCAAAGUUUACGACAAAUUCAAACUCAUAUGGACCGAACUUUCUUAAUCUUGAUUUCUUGCCUUAUGGUAGCACAGCUGCCCACCACGUCUUCCAAGUAGUUAAGCAGCUCACCCUUUCCUAUCAAUGUACCUUUCAUUGAUUAAGGUGCCUUGCCUUUUAUGCGUUCAAAAUGAGAACUCAUAGAACUCACAUGCAUAAUUAACUCAAUUGAAACAACACAGAAACAAAAUAAUGUCAACACGAUAGGUUGUAAACCUCAACUCGUGUGCUAGUAACGAUUGAUAAGGUCUAUUUUGAUUUGUUCUUGAAACCUUUCAAGACCAUUAAGACUCCCACUGACUCAUUGACAUAUAAGAUUCUCUUGUCAAUAAACAUUUCUUAACAAACAAAUAUUCAAGAGUUAGCGUAGUUUUUAUCAAAACACUUCCUAAAUUGGUCUUAGUUGGUCUUUGUCUUAUCCAUGGCAUCACAACUUUCCAAAUUUGAUGAAUGUUAUAAACCUUCUUAAUACUUAUCACUCAAUUUCACAAUCUUAACUCUAAGACUUGUUUUGGAACGAAGUAUGAUUGACUUCUUGAUUUAACCAUUUCUUCAAUUCUUGAUUCCUCUUCUUAGACAUACAAUUGUACUAAGACUCACUUAGAGGAUCAAUUGAGAUAUGGUUCUUAAUCAUUAAGACCUAUCAUAAAGCAUAAAAGCUACUCUCCCUUCUUCUUAGAAUGGAGAAACUUUUAUCUUUCUGCCUACAUGAUUCUUCUUAUUCGUUUUGCUAUUGAUUAAAACUUUUUAAUCAAUUCCGAAUUACACUUAAUCUUAUGAUUAUAAUCAUAUUUACUAAACUUUUAGUAAAUCAUGACGAAUAUCUUGUUAAUAUUAUGGUGGACUUUGACAAACACACAACUUUGUGUACUCGAUCGUCCUUCACUUGACACUUUGUCAACGAAUUAGUCUAAUUUCCAAAUAUGAAAUUUUUCAUUCAUCAUGCAACCAAGUUGCGUGAUUCCAAAUUUCUGUCCAAUUGAAAUUUGGGCGACGAGAAACUCUUCCUAUUUGGUAAAUUCUCGACAUUUCCAUAAAUAAGAAUCAUGUCCAUUCUUUGUAGAAAUAUUCAAACAUCAAUUUUCAUAACGAUUUCAUUGCAAGGAAAUAAACUAAUAAAUAAAUAAGUCAAACCAAAAUUUAUUUUAUUUAUAAAAGCAGCGGAAAACAUUUGUCCUUACAAUGCAAAAUCCAUUGAAAACUAUGUAUUUCAAAAGGAAAAUUUCUAACAACUCUAUCAUAACUAUCUAAGCUCAAAGUCUAAUCUUCAAGUCCAUGCGAUCAAGAUCCAUUCCUUGUGAUUAGAUUCAUCUUGCUCUUUCACCAAGCUUCCUUUCUUUUCACUGAUCCUGCAAAACAUUUAAAUGCAAUCUUAUCACAUCAUGUAUUAAGAAUAAACGAAUAGGAACUUAAUGGAUUUAGAUAGUGGAUUUUACCUGAAGCACAGCCACACUCUUUGAAUCUCCCAUCUUCUGGACUCUUCAGGCUCUCUAGGCAGACAUGUAUCCAACGCCCUUUCUUUUGGCAGCAAACGCAGGUUGGUUCUCCUAGAACGUCCUCGGAAGCAUGGUCGGUUGACUUUCCCAACAAAUACGCUCCAUUGCUUCGCCAAAUCAUUUCUGAUUCAGCAGCAAUGAGCAUGUAAGUUAGGUUAAUGAGGUUAUCGUUAUGAUUCAUCAUAUAAUACUUUCUUUUGAACUCAUUAUAUGAUUCAGGGAGUGACUGCAAAACCCAGUUCACAGCCAACUCAUCCGGGAAUGACACACCCAACAUUAUCAACCUAUCAAUGUGUGAUUUCAUUCCUAGAAUGUGAGCACACACGGGUUUACCAUCUUCAUGUUUCAUUUCCAAUAGGGCUUUAGUGAUAUUGAACCUUUCAAUUUUUCGAUCUUGUGGGUUAGGGAGAACAAUUGGAGGAGGUGGAGGAAGUGAAGGAUGAUUUCUUGUUCCUCAAUCGAAUCGUGGAGUACCAUCAUCAUGUGGAAUGCUUGUUCCACGGGAUUUGGGAAGACCAUAGUUGACGAACUUAGACAUCUACAAAAUGGGAGAAACAAUUCAAGUUAGUUGAUUGAUUGAGUCCUUAGUAAAUCACCCAAAUGAGAUACUAAGGCUAGGACCCAACACAGUAUUCUACAACUCGGGAGAGGGAUGUCGUAACCCAAAUUGCAGAACAUUUGAAGGUAAGUGAAUGACGAUUCACUAAUUUCCACCAUGAAAAACGAAAAAGAAAUUUAAGUUUUAAAUCUAUGAAAACUCCUAGAUCCUUUGAGAUUCAUUGAACUUUCAAUGGCAUGUUUAAAUCUCGAUAUGCCCCUCUUGUUUGUGACUGGGAUGCCGAGGAUCACAAAGCGGGUGUGAAUAACCAUGCAAACUUACAUGGUGCCCUCACAUGUUACAGUCACCUAUUCGAUGUGCCGGUAAACCACACACGCUCCACCGAACUAUGACAAACAUUGAGUCACCCUUUGCUACCUUUGCUUAGAACCAUUUAGUGUGCCGGUAAACCACACACGCUCCACUAACGUCUUCGCAAGGGCACAAAGUGUAAUUUCAUGGAAUUGCAUCAAUUCACUUUUGCCUAAGUAACUAAGAUUGGGAAUUUUAUGAAAACAUUUAGUUACUUUAAUAAUUCAUUAUACUUAUAAUGGAAGGUUUCGUCCUAUCCUACCCGUUCGGCUAACGACCCUCCACUAGUCAAGAGUGCGGUGGGUAAGAGUGGAUACCCAUUCAAUCGCCAUUUUAUAGGCAAUUUCCUUAAACACCCCUUAUAGACCAGCUUCGUGAAUGAGGCCUACUAACGGUAAGACUGACUUUUACUCAUAUAUAUAUAUAAUGUUAGACUUUUAAUGUUAUAUAUAGUAUAGGGUGUAUUUUACACUUUUAAAAUACUAGGUGGUCAAAUUUAACAAUUAUACUUUUAAUUCAAUUAAAUUGUAAACCAAAACUUUUAUGGAUUUAUUAAACCUCUUUUAAUUAUACACCUUAAUUAAUUAAUAAAACCAUAAGGGUGUGAUUUGAACUUUUUCAAAACAAUACUAGGGUUUUAGAAUUUAACAUUCCUAAUUAAACUUUUAAUCAACUUUUAAAUUCCAAAACUUGAGGGCAAGUUUUGAAACAUUUCAAAACAUUAGGGUUUAGAAUUUAAAUAUACAUCAAAAUUAAACUAUUAAUCAAAAUUUAAAUUCCAAAACUUGAGGGCAAGUUUUGAAACCUUUUUCAAAACAUUAGGGUUUCAACUAUUUAAAUUUCAAAACAACAAAACUUUUGAGUUCAAAUUUAAACUAUAAAACCUAAAGGGGAAAAUAUGAAACAUUUCAUAACACAAGGAUCAAAUAACAAAUAAUCUAAAUUAACAUUUAAUCACAUAAUUAUCCAUAUUUGAUUUAUUUAAUGAUUUCUUGCAAAACAAUUUACCAAUUUAAUUAAAAUAAUUAAUCAAUUAUCACAUAAGGAAACAAAUAUUUUAUUAAUUGAUAAAUAUCUUCAAUUAGAUCAAGAAUAUACUCAUAUAUAUAUAAAAAAAUCGGAUUUAUAUUAAUCUAAUAUGAUAAGGCAAGUAUCCUCAAGCAAAAACAACAAGAAAUCUCGGUUUUCCCUCAUUCUGACCAACUGACUCGUCGAGUCAGGCAUGGACUCGGCGAGUUUAGCAAGCAGAACCACAAAAAAACGAAUUUUUUUUAACAUACAAUGCAUCAAUACAAUAGAAACCAAUCUAGUCUCUGAUACCACUGAUGGGUUUUGGUCAUAAGAACAUCCUAUGUGCUCAUACAAACCCUAAUGCUUGGAUCUAGGUUUCUCUAUUGUACAUGCAAGUUAUCCAAGACUAUAAACCCUAAUUCUAGCAUACAAGUAAUCAUAUUAACAUAAGAAUGGGUUUAAGAUAUUACCUUGAUUGUUAUGUAGCAAUAACAAUCCCAAUUCCUCCUUGUAUUGACUUUAGAAAGCUUAGAGUCACAAAUGUCACUCCUCUAAUGGUUCACAAACACCAAGAGCAAGAGGAUGAAGAGGAGAGAGGAUGGAGGCUGCCCAAAAACGUGUGAAACCCUAGAAGGAUGCUUAGCCACGUUUUUAGGUCAUAAGGGAUAUAUAUAUAUAGGAGGCUAUUAGGGUUAUCUAACAAGGAAACCCUAAUUUGGAUGCUUAAGCCCUAAGCAACCCAUGGAUCCCUUUCCUUAAGGCCUUGGACGAUUUCCCCAUGGGUUUCCCAUAGAAUUCGUCCACUCCUUAAUAUAAGGCAAUCCAUGGCCCAAAUUGCAAUUAUCUUAUAAUUACAAUUCCAGUCCCUUAAGUUUAAUUAAUCUCUUUUAGUCACAAACUAAUUACCAAUUAAUUAUUGACUAAUAUUAAUUAAACAAUAUGAUUUCACCUUUAAUAUAUUAUUCUCAUAAUAUAUUAAUAAAUCAUAUUUAAUCUCCAUAAUUCAUCCUAUCAAGUUGCAUUGGUGAAGGCAACCCAAAAGGACCAUGCACUAUCGGGUCAGGUACAUACCAAAAUAGUUAUGGAGUUAGACACUAAUCCAACAGAACUAGCGUUCAUCUAGUGUUGGAGCUUGUUGGAGAACUUUCUCUAGAGAGAUUCUACUUUGGGUUCUUUCCAUCAUUAUCAUCGUUUAACCUCCUAUGAGGAUUAAAGGACAUCAAAGGUUGUUAAUCUUAUUCUUCUAUGGUUGUUGAUUUAAAUCUUUCAUGCUCAUGUAAUGUGAUCCUUUGUUGGAUUGUUUGAUGUUCGUGUUUUAUAUUAGAUGUAUUUAUUUCCAAACUCAAAGUUCUAUGUUUUAAAACUAAAUCUUGAACACCAUAUUUUCGUCAGAGUUUGGUUCUCGUUUACACUUUAGCAUGAUUUUCUAUCCACAGACCAAUGGUCAGAGUAUAGAGGAUAUGCUUUGAGUCAUGAGUUAAUCCAAUAGGUACGCGAGAUAUUGUAACCCAUGCAGAGUCAAAAGAAGAGCUAUGCAGAUAGGUGUCGAUCUAAUUUGGAGUUUCUAGUCAGAAUAUGGUACUCCUAAAGGUGUCACCAUGGAAAUGUGUCAUCCGGUUCAGGAAGCAGGAUAAGUUGGGUCCCUGAUAUAUAUCAGUCAUUUCAAGGUUAUUGCCUGGGUGGGCUGGGUUACAUUUCGCUUGGAGGUUCCAGAAGAGCUCAAUCAGAUCCAUAACACUUUUCACAUCUCUGAACUGGGGAAGAUUUUGGUUGUUAAUUCUACAGUGGUUCCUUUGGAGAAAAUUCAGGUGGAUAAGCGCCUGAAUUACAUAGAGAGACCGAUCACAAUUCUAGAAAAGAAGAUGAAGACCUUAUGUAACAAGGUUGUGAGUCUAGUGAAUGUGAAAUGGCAAGAUUAGAAAGGCUCAGAGUGGACAUAGGAUCCCAAGGAGGAGAUGAAAAAUCACUAUCCAUGCUUCUUUGUAGCAACGGACUUCGAGGACGAAGUCAGAUUCAGGUGGGGGGGGGGGAUUUUAACAUCUAGUCUUUGGAGGUAAAUUUUGUUUUAGUUUAAAUUCAAGACCUUUGGGGCGCCACGGUGUGGGGAAGAUAGCCCUGACGUGGAGAGAUACUUUUCGUCACGAGUCACUUUUUACUCACCACAAAGUGGAAAGGAAGGCUACGACGUGGUCGUUUCUAAUGUCUUAAACCCUAAAUUUUUUAUUUUGCACUAUAUUUACAGGUAUUAGGAGGCUAGGGUGUGCUCACCCUCAGCUUCCACCACCCACUUUUAUCUAGAUGAAAACACUUGCUCUUUUCUGCAAUUUUUGAAGCUUUCUUGAGUGCUUCUAAGGGACUUCAAAGGAAGAAACAAGAAGCAUUAAGCCGAGGAUCUACAAGAAAGCUCCAUCUACCUUCCUAGUUCAAUUUUAGAUGAUAGGAUGUUAGAUCUUGAAAUAUGUCCUAUUUUCAACUUAAUAUUUAUAGUUGGGGUAGUAGGAGUUCAUAAAGGUUGCAACUUUAUGAAUCUCCGUAUCAUGUGGAGUAGUUCAUGGUCCAGAUCUAAACCUUGGAUGACUCUUUGAGCCAGGCAUAAGAUUUUAGUCAUAAAAACCCCCCUUUUGACCGAAGUUGAGUCCAAGAAACGCAUUGGAUAUGCAUGCUAAAAAGUACCAAUCUUUAGGUUAUUUUUAGUGUCAUAAGCUCUUCUGGAGAAAAUAAGCUGGAGACUUAAGGGAUGAAGUGCUUCUCGAUUAUGUACUUUCCAUUUAUAGCCUUUUUGGAUCUAAGACUUGAGAUCUAGACCUCUUGCUGGGUAUCGAGGGAUAAAGAUGGAAAAUUUAUCCAUCUUGACAUUAGAAAUGAUCAGAUCUUGACUUUGGAACCUUUUCAAUUAGAGGAUUCGAGUUAACCCAUUAAGACAUUUUGAACCCAGUGCUCACGGUGUGGCCUAGGUUGCCUUGACAUGGAGACUAACGAAAACACAUAUGUUUUGUCAUUUGAAGGCCACGACAUGACCAAGGAUGGCCAAGAUGUUGAGGGUCAACAUUGACUGUUGAAUUUGACUUUUGACUUGCAUUGAGUUUUGAUCAGACCCCUAGUUUUGGAGGGGAAGCUAUGGUUUUACUUUCUAUGGCUGAAUAGGUAGCUUGUAUUAUCUGUAUUCGCAAUAGUAAGAGUUGUAAUAUUUCAUCGUCGUUUGUUAGGUGACUCUCUUCACUAUACAUGGGGGUCGAAGGCACCAAUUCCUACCCACUAUACUAUGUUUGUAGGAUGAUAGUUGUGUUUGUGACACUUACUGAUAUGCUUAUAUGUGCUUGUUGUCUUUGUGGCUCUUGCGUAUAUGAUUGUGUGCUUAGUUGUAGGGGUGAAAUAGACCUAAUGUCGGUUGAAAGUGACUUUAAGGGUGAAACAGAUCCAAUAUCGUUUAAAAGAUACCAAAUGGGGUGAAACAAGCCCAGUACCAGUUGAAAGAUACCGAAGGAGGUGAAAUAUACUUAGUACCGGUUGAAAGAUACAGAAGGGGGUGAAACUCAAUAAGGUAUAGGUGUCAGAUCAAUUUCUUUGACAUCAAGUUUGUUUAGAAGCCACCGCAUCCAAAUUAUUUCGCUAAAUGUAGCACCAUUUCUUGGUAUUCUACUUUAGCAGAAUAUAGAAAAACAACCAUAUUCUUCUUUGAUUUCUAUAAGAUUAGAGCUCCUCCCAAAAGUAGAACAUAUAUUGCUCGAGACCUUUGAGUAUAUGGGCAUCCAAGCCAAUCCACAUCGCAAUAUGUAAUGAGAUUUGUUCCUCACUGGUUGGGAUAUAGGACGCAUUGUCCAAGAGUAGCUUUUUGAUAUCUCAAGACCCUCAUUGCAGCAUCUAAGUGAUCUUUCUCAUGGAUCUGAUACAAAUUCACUUAAAACGUUCACGAUAUACGUGAGAUCAGGUUGUAGAUACAACAACUUACCAACCAAACGAUGAUACUUACUUGCAUCAACACAUGGUUUUCAAUUUUAGUUGUCAAGUCUCAAGUUUUGUUACGUCAGGAAGGAACAUGGUUUACAUCCCAACAUUCUGAUAUCUUCAAGAAUGUCUGGAAUAUAUUUUAUCUGACUCAAAACUAAACCAUACUUUGCCCUAGCCACCUUUAUACCAAGAAAAUAUUUUAAGGAACAAAAUCCUUUAUGUUGAAUUGCUUGUCAAGGAAAACUUUGGCUUCUUCAAUUUUAUUUAGGUAAUUUCCCAUGAUGAUAGUGUCAUCAAUAUAUAAAAGGAUAGAAAUGAAAACUUUGCUUUUUUUUUUGUAUAUGAAGAGAGAAUGAUAUGCAUGAGGAUAGAGAUAAUAAGUUUUUGGUACCUGUUUCUUGAAGCUUGUUUCAGAUAAAGUGACUUCUUUAACAUUCAUGCUUUAGUCACUCCCCCUUUCUCAUAACCCUCCAAUAUCUUCAUGUAAACCUCCUUAUUAAGCUAACCAUGUAAGAAUGUGUUGUUAACAUCUAAGUGGUGGAUAAUCCAAUCUCUUUUAACAACAAUAACAACAAGGAGAGCCCUUAAAGUAACCAACUUUGCAACCGGUGCAAAAGCAUGAUGAUAAUCGUCUCCAUCCAUUUAGGUGAAACCAUUUGCUACAAGUCAGGACAUGUACCUUUCAAUCUCACCAUUUGGCUUGUACAUUAUCUUGCAAACCUACUUGGAAUCAAUAGGUUUAUUUCUACUUGGUAAUUCUUCAAUGGACCGUCUUUCAUUUUCUUCUAAAGCUUUUAUUCCCCUUUGCAUUCCAGUUCUCGAAUUCAGGUCAUGCAUAACUUGAUUGAAAGACUUUGGCUCAUCAUUAGAAGUGAUUUCACCAUGAAGGCUUUGUGAGAUUUUGAAAACUUUUCAAAAGAAACAAAUUUGGCCAAAGGAUAUACUGUGGAGUGUUCUUGACAUGGAGUGGGUUGCAAAUGGUCUAUGUAUGGAGGGAGGUUCACUUCGUAUUCUUCUAAGUGUUUUGGUCUUGGCGUAUUUCUUUUUUCUCUUAUCUAGUCAAAAUUUACAUCUCCUUCAUUAAUAUGAGGAUUCUUGUUGGUUUCGACUUGCUUAAUUUCACUUUUGAUAAUAAUUUCGUCCUAACACUGUCUUUAUUAUUCAGUUGUGAAGUCAAUUGAUGGCUCGUCAACAUUUGAUCCUUCUUGGUUGACUGUUCAUCAUUCUUUUCACUUGGUUCAAUCCAUAUAUCUCCAACAUCAUAGGGAACAUAUGUCUUACUGUUACUUGCUUCUUUAUUUGCAUUCAUAGUGGUACGAAAAAGGGAAAGCAUUUUCAGAAAACUUGACAUCCCUUGAAACAAUGAUUUUGUUGUGGAUUUGGUCAUAAACUUUGUAACCUUUUGUUCCAUGUGGAUAACCCACAAACACUCUUGGUCUUCCUCUAAUUUCGAAUUUGUCACCUUUUGUUUUUGUGCUUCAAUAGUAAACCGAACAUCCAAAAACCCUUAUGUAAUUAUUAUUUGGUUUAUAACCAUAUAACAACCUGUAUGGUGUUUUAUCUUCUAUCAAUUUCGAUGAUAUCCUAUUUAUGACAUAAGAGGCCGUCGAUGUGCACUCACCCCAAAACCUUGAUGAAACAUUUGCCUAAACCAUUAAAUCCUGAGCAACUUCAAGUAAGUAUACAUGCUUCCAUUCCACAAUCCCAUUUUGUUGCGGGGUAUAUGGACAAAUAGUUUCCAGGAGAAUUCGAUUAUCGGCAUAAAAACUCACCGUCUUAUUCAAUGUCAAUUCACCACUAUUCUUACACCUUAUUCAUUUAACAUUCUUAUGAAAUUGAGUUUUGACCAUCUUAUGAAAAUCAAUCAAGCAUGCACUGCCUCAUGUUUGUGUUUAAGAAUAAGAACCCGAACAACUCUCCUAAAAUCAUCGACAAUUGUUCAAAAAUAGUUUACCUUUGAAAACAAAGGGGUUUGAUAUUAACCCCAUAUCUCAAAAUGUAAUAAAUCAAAACAAGCAUUUGUCUUUGUAAUACUAGAAGGAAAAGGUUGUCUAGUAAGUUUAGAUUUAGAACAGGAAUCACAAAUAUGUUCCUUAUUCUUGAAAGAAAUGUUUCUAAGAAAACUUAUCUUGUUAAACUUUUUUUUCACAGCAUACCCUAUCCUCUUGCAUCAUAUAUCACUUUUCGACAUCAAAGCCUUCCUCUUCAUUCCAAGCAUUUCCAUUUCAUAUAGACCAUUCUCUCAUGACAAAAAUUCAAAAAUGGUCCCUGUGGUUUCCUAAAAACUGAAAUUUAGUUCCUAAUCUUUAAAAACCUCACAAAUGGUCCCUGUAGUUUCGAAACUUUUAACAAAUGGUCCUUUUCAUUAACUUUGUUAGCUUUUGGCCGUUAAGUAAAGGGAAUUUAUGUCAUUUCACAGUCAUAGGAACCAUUUAUGAAAGUUUGCCUUAUUUCUAAAAAAAAGAAAGAAAAAAAUAUAAUUAUUUAAUAUUAAAGGCUCUCUCUCUCUCUCUCUCUCUCUCAUUAAAUACAUCGUCACCAUUGGUUGCUCAGCCACAACCACCCCUACCUCCUUAUCAUCCUCCUUUUUCCCCUCUCUCCAAACUCCACCUCCACUAUCGCUUUCUUCUAUUUAUUUCUACCACUACCACUGCUCUCUCCCUCCCCUCCCUCUCCAUAACCUCGCCACCACAAAAACAACUUGGCACCACUAUUACUCACUAUAUAUUUAUUGACUUCGUAUCUGGCCUAGCUACUUCCAAACCUGAACACUAGGAUCAGAUAUUGCCCUCUGUUGUGAUACAAAACCCGUUGGCUACAUCAUCCUCAGCCUCUAUAGCAACCUCUUCCCUGUUAUUAUUUCUAAUUUCAAAUCAAUGUGCACUGGUGUCUCCGGUUACUACAAAGGAACGCUAAUUCAGAAAAUCUUUCCGGGUCAGUUUUUAUGGUGGGACAUCAAGGACGGAGGGAUAAAGAAGAAGUAAAGCCACCGGUAGGUUUGGUUAGAAAUAAACAGAAUAUCGACCCUAUGGCUAGAACCUGUAGUUGGUUAGAUGUUUUUUUAUUGUAAUUCUGUUUUGGGAGAGAUGAAGUUGAUACAAAAUGGGGUUGAUUUCAAGAAUACUGAUGGGGAUUGUACUUUGGAUUGCGAUUCUGGUUCGUUGGCGGCAAAUGAUGAGAUACCGAAGUGCUUGUUUAGGUUCUUUGAUAUCUUUGUUUGGUUUUGAUUAACGAAUUUGAUUUUUAGGGUCUUACUUUCACUAUUGAUUUUGGUGAUUUUGUUGAUGUUAGGGUUUACUGCAAUCUGUAAUUAUAACAUAAUUUACUAUCAGCAAGAGCUGCAUCACUACAAUUAGAUGUUUUAGUAAUCCUAGACUAUGAACAAGAAAUGGGUUAUCAGGGGUUUCUUUUCAUUUUUGAAUUUCCAUGCUUCUUAAACUAAACCGAAUUAAGUGAAAAAGGGGGGAUGAGAUUAAUGUAAUGUUCUUGGUUUGGGUUUUGGUAGAAGAGACUAAAGUGAAGAAGGAGGGAGUAAACUUGUUCAUUUGACCCCUGAAUUAUUCAAAAGGGUUAGGUAGAAGACGAGAGAGAGAGAGAGAGAGACCUUUUAAUAUUAAAUAAUUUUAUUUUUUUUCUUUUGUCUUUAAAAAAAAUAAGGCAAAUCUUCAUAAAUGGUCCUUGUAGUAGUGAAAUGAUAUAAAUACCCUCCACAUAACGGCAAAAAGCUAACGGUGUUAACAAAAAGGACAAUUUGUUAAAAGUUUUGAAACCACAAGGACCAUUUGUGAGGUUUUUAAAGAUUAGGGACUAAACUUCAGAUUUUCAGAAACCAUAGGGACCGUUUUUGAAGUUUUGUCAUCUUUCAUCUAUCCACUCCAAUAAACUUUUCGAAGUUAGGUCCUGUAUGACAAAGAAAUACGGAAAGAAAGUUACAACACACUUUAAAUCACUUGAAAGGUUACUAACGGCUAAACUAUUGCACUUAAAAUCAGGAAUGUGCAAAACAUAUUUCACUUUUAUCCUGUUAGAUAGAGUCUGAUUUCCUCUUCCCUUGAUAGAAAUGGAUUAUCCAGUAUUUAUGAUCACAAGAUUCUUAUCGAUGGAAGGCAUUACAUUCUCAAGAAUAUCGGUUUUUUUGGUCAUGUGUUCAGUGAUUACUAUAUCAAAAAUCCAAUAGUCAAUUAGACUUGUUUUACGUCAUGUUGGUUGCUGGUGAGGCGUCAUUCUUGUUUUUUUGACUCUUCUUGUGUGAAGUGCUUUAGGAAUUGUUGAUAUUGAUCUUUAGUUAAACCUUCAGAUGGGCUUGAUUUAAUCUUGGUACAAGCAACCCUUGGUUUCCUUUGAUUGUUUGUUCUUUCCUUACCACCAAUCCGGAUAGCCAAUUUGCUUGAAGCACCCAUCAUGGGUGUGACCAUCUUUGUUACAAAAGCUGUAAUGUUCUCCUUGCUUUGUUAUUUUCUUCACUACCUUGUUUCUAUGUGGAUUCAUAUUGGUCUUGAUCUUGGUAUAGGCCUGGAAAGUUGUUGCCUCAACAGUGGGUCUCUUGGUGUUAGUGAUGGACCUUUGUUGUUCAUCCUGAACAACAAUAUCAUAAGAAAAUCCAAGAGAUGGUGUCGGUUUCAAAGCUAGUAUUUAUGUUUUCACAAUCGAGAAUUCACUAUCAAGCCCAUGAGAAACUCAUAUAACCUCUUAUAUAACCUUUCAUUCUCCUUCAAUUUAGCAAGUGAUUUUCCCAAAACACAUACACAUUUGUCACAAGUGCAAUGAGGAGUAGGGAGGACUGACUGAGUCUCAUCCCAUAGUCCUCGAAGCUUUGUGUAGUAUGCUAAAAUAGUUAACCCAUCGUGCCGAGUAUUUGAGAUUGCUUGCUUCAGUUCGUAUGCGUGUGACACACUUUCUUUUUCAAACCUCUCACAGAGGUCUAAGCAUAUCUCAACAACAGUGGUGGCAUAUUUGAUGCUGGUAUGGAUCACAUUUUCCAUGGUAGUGGUAAGAUAGCCUUUUAUUAUUGCAUCACACCACAUCCACGUCAUGUGCUUUGCUUCCGUCUUUUCUAGUUUUAUUAUCGAUACAUCAAUAAACCCAAUCUUGUUCAUGGCAAACAAGAAAUUUUCCAUCUCUCGAACCCAAUUAUUAUAAUUGUUAUUCAUCAAGGUGUCAUUCACGUGCACUUUUCGUGGAUAAUCUGACAAAUCAAGAUAGGUGGGAGAGUUAACAUCAAGUCCGCUCUCUUCACUCUUUUUGUUGUUGUCGUUUUGUUGUUGUCGUUCUUGUCAAUGGCUAUGAGCUUAUCAGUUUAUUAUUAUGGUUGAUCAAUUGAGCAGUAGUACUUGCUCUUAUACCAUAAAGAAUUUGAUUAUUUAUUGAUUAUUUGGAUCACACAAAUACAAAGUACAAGGAAAGUGAUUAUAUACAAAAGCAAUACAACGGGAAGGCUGGGAAUUAGGAGUAAUAUGAGUCAACAAAUCAAGAACUAAAUACAGAGAAUAUACAAAAGUAAAUAAGGAUAGAAUAUUGAAUUCCUAUACUGAUUCUAUAAUUUUUUAAUAGCAAGCAAUUUUUUUAUGAGUCUAGAGAGGGGCUAGCAACUUACAAAAGUAUUAAAAACGGUUAGGACUUGUACACCAGUUCGACUCCAUAAAUUUACCUUUUUUAAUCCUAUUUUUUAUCAACUCGUAGCUUGCACCUUAAUGAGCAGGAAACUAUAUAUUUCUUGCAAGUGUUAACCAUCAUUAAAGACUUUUCCGUUUCUGCAACCCCACUAGACUCGCACAUAAGCCAACAUAAUUAAACGACCAAUCAUUCUCGUCUUCAGCCCCGCAUCAAGAUACUGCAUUAGCUUUAAAAAUAAGGCACCACAAAUGAACGAACUCGCAUGAAAAUCCAGGAUAACAUAGCAACGUAGCAAUAGAUGAGUCUUAGGUUCUUGCCUUCUUGGAAUGUAUUUGAAAAGAGACAAGCCAGGGAUGGUAAAUGAAUGCCUUUUGUGAUCCAGGUUACAUCAAUUGGGAAGGCGUCUAGUUAUCGAAAAGAGUAAGUUGACUUUGAUAGGUACACGUUUACACCAAUAAGUGGCCGGGUGGAUAUGUCACUGUGCUCUAGAAACCUAGCAUCACUGAGUAAAUGAAGGGAUCUCAUAGUUNNNNNNNNNNNNNNNNNNNNNNNNNNNNNNNNNNNNNNNNNNNNNNNNNNNNNNNNNNNNNNNNNNNNNNNNNNNNNNNNNNNNNNNNNNNNCCCCUAUUGUGGGCAUCAGAGCGCUUGCAGCCAAGGAUGUAGGGUGGCUCAACCGUUUCGGGUUCUAAGCGAACUAAAAAUAUAUGACUCUUUCUAGAUAUUUGAGAUAUAGUAAUAUUGAGUUCACUUCGGAGAAAAUGAAACAUUUUAGAAUUGCAGACCCUAAAUCGUAUUUUAGAAAAAUAUAUGGUUGAGUUGCCCGUGUAAGGCGGCCAUGAGGCCAUUAGCUCUAGAAUCCAAAGCCCCAAAUUAUCCCAUCUCGAGGUCUUCCACUAUUUGCAAAGCAAAGAAAGGCUGAGAGGUUUAAGGCUGCCAAUUUCCAGCCUCCCUUUAUCUUUGCUUUUCAUUACAUUCGUCCACACACUCCAAGUUUUUUUUUUGGUACGCCAAUUAUAUAUGUUAAAGAUCAAAAUCAACUCUUGACCUAUUUAGUUACAAAUAAUUGAAAUUGGGUAUGAACUUAGGGACUUAUGGCAUCCACAAUUAGGCAAAGUUGUAUAGGGGUUAAAUAAGAUGACAAUUAGAAUUAAAUAAAUGUUUAAAGAAGGGUGUGGGUAAUGACGUGGAGUGAAUUUGAAUGGAGAAGCUGAAUGAUUAUUCAAAUGUUCAAUUAAAAUGAUUAUUAGGAUUUAACAUAUGAUUAAUGUGUUGCGGGCGGUAGAAAUAAAGUUGUAUAGAUAUUUAAUAAGAUGACGUGGGAAUGAUUCAUGAAGAUUAAUUUAUUAAUUAGGAGAGAAUGAAACUACAUCAACAACAAAACAUCGAUUAUUUUGAGCAAACAAUGGGUACCUAGCACAAUAUGAUCAUAAACGCACAUGCAUCUUAAACAGAUAAUGAAUCAUUUGGAGUUGCUUGUAGCAGCAGAAUCACUUUCUCCAAAUUAACAGUGGAUGAACCAAAAUGAGAUGAACAUGCUUUUUCGGCCUUGUUCUUCAAGUCGGUUGCAUUCUUUCUCAUCUCUUUCCCUUUUUCUCCAUUCAUCAACUCAAUGACUAGCUUCGCAACUUCUUCUCUCUUUACAUCUUUGUCAAUCUCCAUGCCAACCCCCCACCUGUUACAACACGACCAGCAAUUGGUUUGUUGGUCACCUGAAAUUGGACAACAAAUCAUUGGGACUCCACUGGAAAUACUUUCAAUUGUCGAAUUCCAUCCACUGUGUGUUAAAAACCCUCCAAUUGAUGGGUGAUUUAGAACUUGUUCUUGUGGGCACCAACUAGCCAACAUCCCUCUACUGCUUGUCUCUUCCAAAAACUCUGAUGGAAGCUGUACUGCAGAUUGGCCAAUCACCAGGUCCGGACGUAUUAUCCAUAAGAACGGACAAUUGCUAUUUGCAAGUCCCCAACAAAACUCAAGUAGAUGUUGAUGUGUCAUCACUGUAAUGCUACCGAAAUUCACAUAAAUAACUGAAGAUGGUGGUUUAGAUUCUAGCCACUUCAAACAGUUGUUAUCUUCCUUCCAAAGACUUGAUUUGACGAUCGGUAAUGAUUCAUCAAUUUCCUUCUCUAGUAAGUGAAACGGACCAACACCAUAGCAUGGAGCGAAGACUGAAGAAAGCGUGUCCAAAAGAUCACUGUCUAGUUCAUGAAAGGUAUUGAAGAUGAUGGCAGAAGCGCUUUUCGCUCUCUCUGUUUGUAAACGCAAAUAUUGAAGCAUGUAUUCAUCACCAGGGCUGGUCCUUCUGGUGAAUGAAGGCAGGUCUUUUAGACGCAGACCAGGCAUAGUUGGUAUACAAUCAAUCAUGGUAUUUAAAUACUCAUUUGAUAAAAAACUCGAAUCUGUAGAAAAUAAAUGAUAAAAUCACCUUGAAAUAAGCGACUACGUACAAUGUAUACAUAUAUUUCAUGUCCUAAAGAAACUGAGAGUAUAUAUACUAUUACCUUUACGUGGAACCAAAUCUCUCUCCAAAAGAUUGGGAUACUCAUGAAGACACAUUAGAGAACCAACAUCGCUGGUCCAUAGAAUUAUCUCGGGGAUAUCAAAUUCGCUGGCUGCAUCGUGGGUGAAGCCCAUGAAUAUGUCAGCAACCAUGCAAGUCACCGGUGGAGAUGAAGCAUUCAGUUUGGUAAGGAGGCUUUUUAAAGGACCCAAACAAAUUUCAUCAACGGACAUGCAAAAGGAUAGAGCAUCUGGGGUGGCACCAGGGUUUUCUGCUGGCGGAAGGCCAUCUGGAAUGGCUUCAAAGCAGAAAGAAGGGAGACCAUUUAGGGCGUCGGAUCCCUGAGAUUGAAGGAGGCGUUGAUGGUAGAACUCAGUGUUAACGAAGGUAAUAUGAAACCCUCUGGAGUGGAGGAUUUUAGCAAGUUUUAGCAUUGGGUUAAUAUGGCC